GAUCGAAACGUCACUAGAUUAACUGUACUUUAGCCGUAAAUUAAUUAACUAUAUUUUUAGUGGAAGGUAUAAAGAUUAAAUUUUAGAAUUUAAUUCAAGAAUUUUUUUUUCUUUUUUCUUUUUUAAAAAUAGUUCAAUACUAGAAUAAAACAAUUUCAAAAAUAUUUUUAGAAUGGGUUCCAUGCAUGGUGAUUCGAACCUGGAUUCUUGCCUAUAUGAAAUACUAUGUAGAUGACUAUUGAGGCAACUCAGUUAUUUAUUAAAUCUUUGUAAUCAAAUUUACUUAAACUUAAUCUCUUAAAUUGUUGGGUUUUUAAUUAAUUUAUAGGGUUGGACUUGCAUAAUCUUAAAUAGGUUGAGCUUCCAUAGCUCGUUUCUUAAAUGUGUUAGGCUCGUGGUGCUAGAUUAUCACAAAAUAAUAAUCUAAUUUCAUUUUAUUUCUCGAGCUUCCACAAAUAAUUAAGGGCUAGAUGGCAGGUUUACUACAACUUGUGGGAUCAUAUUUCAAUCAAUGGAGCUUCUCAACAUGCACGUAAGUGUUCUCAAUUUUACAAUUGUUUGUUAUUAUUUAUAAUUAUUGAUUGUAUAUUUAGUACAUAUAAGAAGUACCCAAAAAAAAAGGUGGGGGGGGGGGGGGAAAAAAAAGGGUGGGGCGGGGGGGAGGGGGGAAUGAGAGUUCACUACUUUAAUUGAAUUUCCUUCUCAAACUUUGGUAGUUAUACAAGGUCAAAAAAUGUUUACAAAAAUUUAGUUGUUACUACGUGCGAGUAAAGUUCCUUUAUUUUAGAAUGAAUUAGUAUCAUUUAUUUUUGAUGAAGUGUGUUUAGAACAUAUACUACUUAUUUGUGAAAUUAACUUUAGUUCACAUAUGAGGCACAAAAAGAAAUGGGAGUUCCUAUUAAUUAUUGAAUUUGUUAGGGGGAUUAUUUAAUAAUUAAAAUGUAUGAAUUGGAAUGAGUCUUCAAUAGGAGUGAUGAUUGUGUGUGAUUCUUUAAGUGCAAUGAACGCAUACUGAAGAGUCAUGACCUUUGAAUAAAAUGAAACUUAAAUCGUCAUACCUUGCCUCAAUCUGAAAUAAUGUAAUCAAAUGGUCAAAAUUAAUUUAUACCAAAAAUGCAACCAUUCAAAAUAGACACAGUGAAAUCUAAAAAUUGGACCUCCUAAUUCCAUUUUUUUAUCCAAAUAAUUGAUUUCUAAAUUCUUCUUUUUCGAAAUUCAAUCAAAAUAACAUUCAAUAUCAUUCAGUCUAGAAAGAUACGAUCAAGGUUAGUUUGUUCGACAAAAUUAAUAUUGCAUAUUUUUCUCAAUUUGAUGAGUUGGUGAGCGGCUCGCAUGGUCAAAUUGCUGCUCACCACAUGUCCAGGGCAAGCUGCUCGCCCCCACCUUUUACCCCUAGUUUGAUCCUAUUAGCACCCUUGAAGGGGAUAAAAUCCGUCUUAAGGAUAUUUGUAACAACAUACAUCACUUCAUUUUAUCCUCUGUUUUUUGCAUUUUCCACAUUUUAUUCGAUCGUCAUUUGUUCAUUUUGCAUGCAUUUAUUUUUAGCAACGGAAUAUAUUAUUAAUAGACCAAUCUUACCGACACAAUUUCCUUCUCGAACUUUAAUUGUGACGCAAGGUAAAAAAGAGAAGAAAAAGUUUAAAUACUAUCUAGAACUUAUAAUCAUCAUUUUGUUCCAACUCAAUUUUAUCAUAAAUUUAUAACAUUUCUCAUUAAUUAAUUAAUGCCCAAAUCGCAAACUAUAGAGUGGUCCAUAUUAUAAAACAGUGUCCUCAAUCUUUUCAUUUAAUUUCAAUAUCUGAAGGCCCUCUUUCCGCUAAAAAGUCAGUCAACUCUGCAUUGUAAUUAUUUAAUUUUGAGUAAUUGGCACAAAACUCCUUUGACCUUAUCUCCGUUGUAGAAUAGUUCUUAUCAUUUCAAAUUAACAAAAAAUCCCUUUGACGAUCGUUUAUGUGCAAAAGACCUCCCUAUUGUCUAAGUCCAUUACUAGAACCUUUAAAUUCACUUAAACAAGGCCGAAAUGAAAAAGGAAUAAUUGCAGUUGUAAUCUCAAAUUUUUUAUUUUUUUGCAGAUUAUACUCAAAUAAAAUAAUUGUAUCACCCACAAUCCCAAACUUUCUCCAAUCUCACCUCCACCCCCAUCUUCACCCUCAAAACCUCAUCUUCUUCCUCACUCCACCCCCACUCCAAACCAAAGACCAGAAAAUCCAGCUAAGUCCAUAUGCAGAUGUGGAUGGUAGAUGGACUGGUCCUGGACCAAUGCAAAAAAGAAGUGGAAAUGUGGAUGCAGGAAAUGGAAUUUUUUUAUUUUUUGUUUUGUAUAGGAACCAUAUGUAGAAAUAACAGACGGGAAAUUGUGGAGGCCAUAUCUAAGUUCAUACAAGGGAAAGUUGAUGUUCAUUCUGGUGUUUCGAAAUAUUAGAAGUACUUAAGUUUGUUAUGACAUCAAUUAUCAAUGGUAAGAGUUCGAUUCGCGCUUUAGAACCCAAGCUUUCAUGCCUCAGAGGGAGCACAUUCACCAGCCAUCGCAGUUUUAAAAACUUCCUUCCGCAACCUAUAAUAGCUCGACAUAUUUUUAGAUGCCAAUGGAAAAAAUCGAGCCAUUGUAAUAUAUAUUUCAUUGUAGCUCGAUAGUUCAAUAUUCUUUUUAACGCUUAUAUAUGUUAUCUCAACUAUUAUAUAUUUAUAUUAUUAUUUGAUCAUUAAUUUUACAAAGCCAAAGAUAAGUGGAAACAAUUUGAAUUCUCUCUACAUUGAAUUUAUUUCUUAAAUCAAGAUUCCUUACAAUCCAAGAGCUCCAAGGGGUGUCUUCCCUUGGCCAGCUUCAAAGUAGAAUAUAAGCAUAGCCACCAUAGCAAGUCUUGCAUGUUUAAUUUCUGCAAGUUUCAAUCUCUCAAGCUUCUCCGUGUCAGGGAUAUAAACUCCAUUCUUGAGUGUACCGGCAAAGCCCAAAGGAUCAAAGAAUUUGCCUCCGGGAUAGCCUUGUUCGCCGGUUGCAUUGGCGAAGUUUUCUGCAGUUCUCGACCAUGGAGUAGCCCACUCGACAGAUUGAGAUUCCGGGUUGAAGAAGUCGACCCAUCUUUUGCUCUCGACCCAACCCAUGAGGAGGAGUUGGGUGCCGAGGAGAGAGCCGAAAGAGAAGGGCGCAACAGCACCAGGUGCAGCGCCAGCUUCGAACCAGGGGAUGCCACUCCAAGCUUGGCCAACGAAGAUGCCAACGACUGCAACCAUUGCCCAUCUGCCGUGGAUCAGCUCGGCUUCUCUGUACCAUUUCAAGAAUGCUGGAUCCUUUCCAAGACCUAGCGGGUCGAAACCGUAGUCACCAGGGAGCCUGCAAUAGGAGCGUUCAGAAUAUUAAUCUCAAGGCGAUGUUGUGAAUAUGGAAUUUCAAAGAAGAAAAAAAAUUUCAAAAAAAAAAAACAAUUGAUUCAAAUGGUGCACACGAUACUAGUCACCAGCUCAUAAGAUUAUUCGACAAUAAACGAGAAAGAAUUAAACUACAUGUAUAGGGUCAAUCAUCCUGUACAAGUUACAGAUGUAGUGUUGGCAGCACUGCCCCCCAUCCAAUGACAGAACAGCAUUCUGUCAAAAUCCCAGUACAUGUAGCCUUGUUCAACGAGAAACUAUCCAAUUUGUGGCAGAGCUACACUAAUAAAAUCUCAAGUCGGACUUGAAUUACUACUCUUAACAAAGUUCACAUUUUAAGAUAAAACUCCGAAUCAUAAUAUUGUUGAUGGUCGAGGGCUACUUUAUAGUUGAAGGGGGAGGGAUGGUGGCAAGCAGGAUACUUACGAUCCAUCGAGCCACUCGGGGUCGAUGAAGUUGCCACCACCUCUAACACCAGGAAUCCAAGACUUCUUAGGAGCAGCAGCAGCAGCCACAGCAAACCUCUUAGGAGACACUGCAGUUCUAGCUGCAAUUGGCGCAGACAACAAAAUCUGGGCGUUCUUGCCACCAUUCAAGAAUGCAGAAGAGCCCAAUCCAUUCACCAAUGCAGCAGAUGUUGAAGCCAUAUUUCUCUCUGUUAACUCUCUAUCUCUCUCUCCGCCUAGACAAAUUGGUACUGAUACAGACACUGAAACUGGACUAUAUGGUUUAUCUGGAGUGGGGAAAUCAAAAGGAUUGAUUUGGGUGCAGCCAAGUAGGACAAGUGAAAUCUAGGAAUUCCUUGAGAUAGAUUUCGGACCAAUAAGAUCAUCAACUCCAUCCUCAUCUUCUUUGAUGGGGCUAUCCACGUGGACAUUUUUUUCUCCUCUACUUUUGAUCUUUCUUCUUCUAUCUAUCUGCACCACACAAGUACUUGUUUUCUGAUGGGUUAUAAAUUUUUCUCGAUUUACACUGAAUUAUAUGUAUCAGUUUUCGAAUACACAUAAUAAAUAUAUAUUUACUCAUCCAACAUUUUGUACCCCCUUCAUUAAAAUAAAAUCAUGUAACCAACGCUAUAUAGUGUUAGUGCACUGGAAAUUUACAUAACUAGUACUUAAAAGGAUCGAAAAGAGAUUUUUAUCCACUCGUGUUUUGAGUAAAAUAUAAUGAUUACCAUCGAAUAGUUAAGACAACACAAGUAAAAAUAUGAGUUUUGCUGAAUGUACAGAACCAUUUCAACAGAAAUUUUUCAGAUCCUUCAGAUAAGGUGAGUCCCACCUCAUUAAAAAAUGACCCCAAAAAUUCCCACCCCUCCCAUGUUUGUGCAUGUUCUGUAGGGGUUCUGCCUGGUACCCAAGCAUGGCUCUAAAAAUAUUUCUCAACUAAGAAGUACCAAAAAAUAUUUUUUUAUUUUUUGUGAAUGUUAUUAUUCUCUAUGUUUGUUUAUCUAUUUCUUUUAUAUAUUUUUAUAGAUAAGUAUAUUAGUGGUGAAUCAGCAAAUGGUUAGAUUUCUAACAUAUCAUGGAUAAUUUAGAGAGUGCUCGUUGAAGGACCAAUUCAAUAAGAGAGCUCUAACGAUCGUGGAUAUAUAUGACGUGACAAAAGAAACAAAUAGACAUUGUCAAGAAGUCUAUCUAGAUGUAGAAACUUAGUUAAACAAGCCAAUGAACAAAAUUUAAGGACUGUUUGAUAGAAUUUAUUCGAGAAUAAUGAGUUAUUGAAUAGUAUUUUUUAGAGAAUGUGUAAUUAAAAAAUAAAAAAACUGUAUUGAUUUAUGUAUAGAAUGUGUGAUGGAAAACGAUCUUAUAGCAAACAAUUUAAAUUUUUAAAGGAUGACAAAUAGGGACUAAAGCUUUCUUCUCUCAAUUUUUUAAAAUUUUCACACACAAUUAAAUUCUCUCUCUCUCCCCAUCUCAAAUUUUUAUUUUAUUUUAGAGCUUAUAAAUACACAUAAGCAGUCCUUUUGAAUUAUACAUUGAAUCUUUUCGAGAUGAAAUUUGAACUUGAAUGUCUAUUUAAUAGACAUUGUACUAAUCCAAAUUAGAAUUCUUGCAACUCAAUUGUCGUCUAGAUGACAAUUCAUAGUACGUAUUGAAGAUGCUCUUAUAAAAAUAAUAAACAACUAUCAUUAUUGGUGUGAAUGCUGAAAUUAGAGCAUGUUUGGCUAAGAUUAAGAGAUUCACUUGCAAGGAAACAAGUAAAACUUUAAAAUUAAAUAAUAUUUUUAUCGGUGAAAUUCGAAAAUAAUAUAAUUGUUUGUUUUGAGCUUAUUCAAAAAUUAAUUUCAAAAGAGGUAGCAUAAGUUUAGUAAAUAAAUGGUCGAUACAUGGAUAGCGUAUGAACUUCUAAAGUAAUACGUAAAUUGACUUUUAGCAAGUGUUUAUGUUUAUAAACAUUCGCCAAACAUGUAUAUUUAAAUUUUUUUUUUUUACAAAAGAUAACAUAUUGAAAUAUGUAGAAAUAAAAGUUAAUUAAAGACCCCUUUGUAUUAUAUUUUCGAAAAACAAAACCUAUUUCUUAGUUUAUAAGGCACGGCACAAAACUUCAACCUUACGUAUAUUUUCAUCCUUUUUAUCUGCUUCUAUUCUCUCUUUGCUAUAUAAUAAGACUCUAGAAUUUCAUUCAUUACGUUAAGUCGUCUCCCUAAUAGCCUAGUUGUCACAUGUGAAAAAGAUCGAAGAUGAAGGCUCAUGAUGUUCUCAAAUCUUUUUUAUUUACUUUAAUUAGCGUCAUAAAAAAUAUUCUCCAUUUAUAAGUCAUUACCAAAUAAUUGAAGUCAUAAUAAUAUUGUACUAGGAAUCACGCAUUUAUUUAGGAAGGUUACAACUUACAAUGGAUUGAGCCGAACCGACUCGACUCGAUCCUCUGACAACUGAGCUCGGCUCGUGCACACAAACAAGGCAUGGUUCGACCCUUUGGCUCGUGAGCCUCAUGGAUCGAGUUGAAGCAAUCCAUGAGCCUCCAAAUCAACUCCUUUUGGCAACAAAAUUAAUAAAACAAAAUAAAAAAUGAGCCGGUUCAUGAGCCAACUCACAAAAAAAUUUGAGUUCGACUCGUCUAUUGUUUAUCACAAAACGAGCUCAAGUCAAUCAUGAAUCGAGUAAGGAUGAAUCAAGCUUGCAAAGAGCUCUACUUGUUUGUUAUUCCUACUUUGAUUGUCUAGAAUGUAAUAAAAUGUACUAGAAAGAAACAGUUUAAGCACAGAUCAAAAUGAUACCAAACCAGGGAUUACGCGUGUGAAUAGGCCACCCAUUUCUAGCCACAUAUUUUCUAUCUUGAUCAAGUUAAACUAAUCACCCUUUAAACACUAAAUACACACGGUUUUUGAUUCCUAAGAUUGACCAAUCUUGAUUAUUAUUCAAUAAUCGGAGACCACGUGUAAGGUUGGGUCAUGUAAUGAUCAAUCCAGACAUAUUUCAAUAUCAAUAAUAUUGACUGAUAUUGUAUAUUAACUAAUAAUCUAUUUAGGUCAUAACUCAAAAAAAUAAGUUUAUUCUUUCCCAAUGAGUUUUUAGUUUUGGACAAGUUUGUUCAUUAUAGUAUCAUAUCAAGUAAUGGUUAGUUCGAAUCUUGUUGUCAACUCAAUUAUUUAGAGAAGUUUGUUUACCUUAGUAUCAAGAUAUCUAGAAGUUAAUUCAAGACUUAUUGUACUUCAAGAAUCCUUGAACAAUAUUUAAUUAUCCUCCUAAGUUUUAUGUAAUUAUACAACAUACAAUAUACCAACAAGUAUUAAGCUCGAAUGCAUAUUUUUUAUUUUGAACUGUGAAUAGACGUGUCAAACACAUGGGGCUAUGACCCUUUUGUAGAUAUCUGAUACAACUCAUAAUAUUUGAUAUAAGCUACCCAACUUGGACGUAUCGGUGCAAAAAAAGUCUAGAGAUUUAACAAAUUCAUAAUAAAUUAGUCCGAUGCUAUAUCAUGUUUAAUUUUUGUAUUUCUACUAAACUCAAGGAUAUGGCCUUCAUUAUAGGUAUUAAAUCAAAAUAAAAGUAACCAUUGGCGACUUAUAGCAUUUGAUAUAUUUUAGAGUCAAUGUGCCAUUCUAGGAAAUCAGUGCAUAACUUUUGGCCUUCGCGUUCAGUGCACGAGGUUUCAAAAAAUGACACAAUUGACCCCAAAUAUAUCAAAUGCUAUAAGUCGUUAAAAGUUACUUUUAUUUUGAUUUAAUUCAUAUGAUGUAGGUUUUAGUAGAUAUGCACAAAUUCAACACAAUAUAGCAUUGGGCAAAUUCAUUAUGAAUUUGUUUAGGAGAAUUUCAAACUCGACUUUUUUGCAUCGACUCGUCCAAAUCGAAUAACAUAUAUCAAAUAUUAGGAGUCGUAUAAGAUAUCUAUAAAAUGAUUGUUCCAUGUGUUUGACACCUCUUUUUAUGGGUCAAAAUAUAAAAAUUGCAUUUUAGUUCAACAUUUAUUGGUGUUAUGCCUCCUCUAAUGAGACUCCAAACAAUGGUCAUGUGGCAACCAACUAACACGUUUAAUUAGACCCGCACUCCACAUCACUAGUCUAAGUAGCCUAGCCAAGACCAUAUAUUAAGGUAGCCGGAGUAGUGCAUCAUCUCAGUUGAUGUGUCAUUUAGAGGCCGACCCUCCAUGACCUAGGCAAUAUGCUAUAAUUUACUGUGAGUGAAUUCGAUUCAGCUGGCCUUCUAAUGAGAGAAGACAUUUCCCACUUCGUUUCUUUCCAUAGAUCUUUCGUACAAGAUCUUUCUAUGAUUUAUUGAUGUGACAUCUCUGUGCAGCAGAUGCCUCACGAUCAACUGUUAAUAUACUUUUCAAAGCUCAUACCUAAACUAUAGGGUAACUACUUUUCAAAAAUAUUAAAUGUUCAUGAACAUACGAUUGAUGAAGUGAUAUAUAGGAGAAGUCGCAUCGACCAUCAGGAGAGGGCCACAUAUCAUUUCAUUCAACGGUAAUCAUUCAUCCGCUUCGACUAUAAAAGCCCACACUUGGUACAAUUUGAAGGUAAUGCAAUUUUAUACAUUCAAAUAAUAUUGCUCUCAUAUUUAUUCGAUCAUACUCUCGAUGUCCGAACACUAAUGUGGCUCUACAUCUUUCACACAUUUCACAUCCAAAUACAUAUAUACUAGUGACUGAUUUAAUCAUCGAAGUGCAUUUAAUCAUCUAUACUAGGGGACUACCUAAAUACUUGUUUAAGAGUUCUAGAAGUAAAAUGGUUCCUUUCUCAUUACAAAUUUACUGAAUUUAGUCCGACCAAAGUCCUAAUAAUUAAGAGCUUCUAAUAAAAUCUUAUCGCUCAUAAUUCCUUUCUCAUCGUAGUAUAGUCUAACCAAAGUCAUUUUUAAAUAAUUAAAUAGCCUCUAAUCAAAUCAUUAUCCAAAAUAAAUAAAAAAAUUCCCCUUUUCCUCAUAUUCAAUUAAUUAAUUAAAUUCAUUUCUUUCAAGAAUCAUUUGUACCAUGAAGGGGCGAGUGACAGCACCAAAUACCCAUAAAAGUCACCAAAGGCUGUGGAAGUGGCAGCAAGGUCCCUUGUAUUUCAAUCCAAAAUAUCUAAAAACCGCGUUUUGUUGUCCAAAAUGCCCCCUGUUCAAUAAUUCGUUUCUCUCUAUUUCUCCACUCAAAUCUCAAAUUUUAUAUCCUUUCGUCGAGGUAAAACCUAGUCUUUUUGUUAACAAAAUUUGUUUAUUUCUUUUUGUUGUUCUGAUAUGUGGGUAUCUAUUUGUGUGAAUUAUUUUUUUCGGGGGAUUUAAUUUGGUCGGUUCUCCUUGAAAAUUUUCAUGAUUUAUUAUCUGGGCUCGCUUUGUUUUCUCAGAUGCUUUGUGAUAUUUUUGGCGGAUAAAGAAUUAUAGAUCGUGCGAAGGAAGUAAAAUUUCGAAAUUUUAUUUAUGGAUCCUUGUCAAUGAUUUUGUAGGUUUAAAAAAAUAAUAAAAAUAAAAAUAAAAAUAAAAAUUGACUGUCCAGAAAUUUAUUUUGGCUCAAUUUUGAUUGUAUGAAUUGCAAUUGAAUUUGAAUUUUUAAUUUUAAUAUGGAAAAAAUUUAAAUCAUAUAUGCUUGAGGCAUUAGAAAUAAUGGGUUCUGGUAUCCUGUGUUCAUUAGUUUUGACAUUUAGGGUUAUUUAUUUUUCUUUCGAAUUUGUACAUAAAAAGUUGAAUUUCUGAUUUGGAUUUUAACUAUUGGAGUCUUCGCUAGGUGAUAUAUAAGUCUGAGAAAUGUUAUGAGUCCAUAAGAAGUGGUUUGUGAAUUUUUGGAUGAUGAUCAUCAAUUGAUCACUCUGUUUUAUGUGUGUUUCGGAAUAGGAAUUCAGUAGUUCGUUCUUUCUGAUCUUAUACUUGUUGUAUAUAUCCUUUAGCAAGAAGAUGGAUUUGCAAUGCAUGCAAUAGAGGAUUGAACAAGUCAUAGAUACUAAUUUUUCUUAUAGAUAGGAAGGUAAAGAAGAAGAAACCCAAAUGGGAGCUAGAUUGAGUUCAAAUAAUCAAAAGGCAAGCACAAGUGAACACUUUGAGGUCUCACAGAUUGAAGCGUGUAAGCGACAAAGGACAUCAUCAAGCUUUUGGGAUGAGAAUCCGCGGCUAUUUCCUAGCCUUCCGGAUGAAAUAUCGAUUCAGAUCAUCGCCCGACUCCCAAGAAUUUGGCAUUUCAAUGCAAAGCAGGUCUCCAGGAGCUGGAAAGCUGCUAUUAUGGGUGGAGAACUUUAUAGGUUAAGAAAAGAACUUGCAACAACGGAGGAGUGGCUCUACAUUUUGACGAGAAUCGACGGCGAUAAGCUUGUUUGGUAUGCCCUCGACCCUGUGUCCCAGAUAUGGCAAAGACUGCCUCCAAUGCCCAAUAUUGCUGCUGAAGAUGGUUCUAGAAGGGGCUUAUCUGGAUUUCGGGUGUGGAACAUGGUUGGUUCAAGUGCUAGAAUUGCAGAUGCCAUAAGAGGCUGGCUUGGCAGGAAGGAUAUGUGGGAUCAAAUUCCGUUUUGUGGUUGUGCUAUUUGUGCUGUCAAUGGCUGCCUUUAUGUCCUGGGUGGUUUUUGCAGGGCUUCAGCCAUGAGGUCUGUCUGGCGUUAUGAUCCAAGUGUUAAUUCUUGGAGUGAAGUGACACCCAUGUCUACCGGCCGAGCUUACUGUAAGACAGGUGUCUUAAACAACAAGCUUUAUGUUGUCGGAGGUGUCACCCGGGGUCGUGCUGGACUCACCCCUCUUCAAUGUGCUGAAGUAUUUGAUCCUUGUUCCGGUAUAUGGACUGAAAUCCCUAGCAUGCCUUUUUCAAAAGCUCAGGUGCUACCAACUGCUUUUCUAUCUGAUUUGCUGAAGCCUAUUGCAACCGGAAUGACAUCAUAUCGGGGAAAACUAUAUGUUCCUCAAAGUUUAUAUUGCUGGCCAUUUUUCGUCGACGUUGGAGGGGAGGUAUAUGAUCCAGAAUCAAAUGCGUGGGUUGAAAUGCCUAUUGGCAUGGGAGAGGGUUGGCCUGCCAGGCAGGCAGGGACGAAGUUGAGUGUCAUCGUUGAUGAAGAGUUAUAUGCAUUGGAUCCCUCAAGUUCUCUUGAUAGUGCUCGGAUCAAAGUGUAUGAUCAUCAAGACGAUUCUUGGAAAGCAAUUGAAGGAGACGUGCCCGUCCUUGACCUCACUGAUUCGGAGUCUCCAUAUUUACUUGCCGGUUUCCUUGGAAAGCUUCACGUGAUCACUAAAGACGUGAAUCAUAACAUCUCAGUCAUGCAGGCUGAUAGGCAAAACCAAUUUGGUUCGACUCCAUCUACCUCAUCGUCUUCUAUAGGUGAAUCCUCGCAAGAGCUUUCUGAAGCGGUGACUAGAACUCCCGAAAGUAUUUGGAAAGUCAUUGCCAGAAGGCGCGUUGGACUGGCCGAGCUAGUCAGCUGUCAGAUUCUUGAUAUCUAGUGAGAUUAAGCAACAAAGUUGAUCGCCUUUCUUGAUAUCUGAUGUUUCCUGCUUCUAUAAAUCAAUUAAAAUGAUAGCUCCGGCAAAUUGCAUUUAAAGUUUCACUUCCCGUGAGAUUAGUGAACACUUCAUAUUACUGAACAUGUUGUGCUAUAUAUUUGAAAUAUAUGAUAUGUGGCCUAUUUACACAUCUAGUAGAGCACGUUUGCUGGAUUUCCCGGAUGUCGAAUUUGAUCCGGACGAUGAUUAUUUUCUACUUCAAUGAAGAAUUUGGCUGCAACUUGGAUAACAACAGCAUUGUGUAAAUUAUAUAAUGUUGGUAAUUUCAUUUGCCAGUAGUUUUUUCUUAUUUUCAUACCGUACACCUUUGCACCCUUACUCAGAAAAGAAAUAAUAAUUCCAAUAGUUUUAAAACUCAUCCCGGAUUGAUCGGGUCCACUUGAAAACCGCUGAUCCAGACUGUCACCGAACCGGGCCGUCCUAAUUCAUAGGACCAAGCAGCAUAUGAACCGGUUAACAUACGAGUAAAUCGAAAAUUGAGGUUCAGAUAAUCUUAUUCCUUGAUAUACAUUUUUUUCAUUCGUUAAUAAUGAGAAUGGCUUUUUGCAUAAAAUAAUAUGAAUAGAUAUAAAGUUUAUUGUAAAUUAUAAACCAGUGUGUAAACUUUGUUGCAAGAAUAUGAAUAAUAUAAACUUUAUGGUGAUGCUAUAUUAUUACAAAAUUACGAAAACAAUGUGUGAACAACAUGGAAUAUGAUUUAAAACUUCAGCUUGCCUGAAAAGAAUUAUAUGUUGAAAUUUUUCAAACAAUAAUUUAUCGAUGAUCCACCAAUUCAACCAGUGACCGAUGGUCAACUACCUUAAUCAUGUUUGGGUUGUUGAAAAUUAUGUAUACAAUCUUUAUUAUUCAAUCAAUUAAUGUAUUUAAUUGAUCCAGUGAAAUUAUUAUUUUAUUGUAAAUUAAAUUUCACGGAGUCAUGUCCAAUACAUGAAUAACAUUGCUUCUAUUAUCCAAGAAACUACUCAGUCAUUCAUGAAGACAUACAACUCAUGGUGCAGUACUAUCGACGAAUUUGCUCUAUUAUACUGUUAUAUUCUUGUGGGAGUGAUCAAGAUCAAGAUUAAGACGCGUGAAAAUUGGGGGAAAAUAACUUAUUUAGAAAGUGACAAGGUAGCUCGUUUGAAUACGAUCUAAUAAUUGCCCAAACAUCAUAUUUAAAAUCUAGAAUCAAAUUCGAGAGCUUGGAGGAAAGUUCGAUUACAAUUAAUAGUUGUGAAAUGAUGCCUUUAGCAGCUUAUAACGAGACUAAUAGAACAGUUGGAUAAAAAAUCUAUUCUGUUCAUUUAAUAACACAUUUGUUUUUCAAGCACACGAUCCUUUCACUUAUUUCUCCUCUUCUCUUCUCGGAUCUUGAGAAUCAAAUUUCUUUAUACCAUUUGGAAAAGACAUUAUCAUUUUGACAUUCUUGAUUCCAUAUGAAAGAAGCACAAUACCAUAAUCUUUCAAAAUAAAAAGCUAUUGUGAUUUAGCGACUAUGGGCAAAAUAAUAAUUAUUAAUUAUGUGGAUUUCUUUUGCAAAUGAUCCACAAUUUCAUGUUUCCUAUAACCUUUUAAUAUAUAUUCAAAAAUAUUAAAUACAACAUACUUAGGGAGCCGCUAUUUAUAUAUCCACCACUGUUAUAUAUCCAUCAUACUCAACAUCUGUCCAUAUUAAAAUUUGAAAAUUUUAAAAAUGAUAAUUAUAUCCACACAACAACUUUUUAUAUAUGCGCCAAUUUUAAAAUAAAAGAAAGGUUUCCAAUAUUUGACCACUUUUACUUUUAUGGCCCCAACUUUUUUCUCAUCUCAUUGUUAUUCUUAUUAUUCAAUUAAUUAACAUAGUUUGUCUCUAAUCAUCAUUUUUAUCCAAAUAUUCUACUAAUGUGCAUUGAAAAUAUGGACAAAAAAUUUGUUUAACAUUUGUAUUAAUUAUUUAUUUCGAUUAUUUGAAAAUACGAGAGAGGAUCGAUUUCACUAGUAGAGCACUUUCUCCAAGCGAGCCCCCACUAGUCCAACUUGCUAGUGAGCGGUUCUUUUGGGCGAAUGUCUUUUGGCCUUCAUAAUAGAGGGUUGAUUAGGGUUGGGCAAAUCUCCCGAACCGAACCGACCGAAUCGAACUGAACCGAACCCGAUGGUUCUUGUCAAAUUAAAUACCCGAACGGGUAUCUGAAUUAAGAACCGACGGGUACGGUUCGGUUCUCGGUUCUAGACCAAGAACCGAAAAAUCGAAUCUUUCUAAUUUUUUUUAUAUUGAGUAAAUCAAAUUAUUUUAGUUUUAAUUUUUUCUAAACAAAUUAUCAAAUUAACAAUUUCUAAAUCCAAAUUUUGGCUCAAUAAUUUGUUUCAUUUCUAAUUUUUUAAUUUUUGGCCGAAUUACCCAUUUUAUUGUUUCAUUUCUUAGCCUAACAAGAUUCAAUCCACUAAAUAACCCUAAACACCUACACUAAAGUGCAUAACAUUGUCUCGGCUCUAUCAGCCUCGCUAAUAUUCCAAAAUCUAUACAAUCGUCGGCCGACACUGUGACCUCCGAUCGAAGCUGUGACCUUCGCCGACCGAAACUUUGACCUUAGCGAUCAUUUGAACAAGGUAGUUUAUUAGUCUCUGACAUUCCAAAACCAUUGAAUUUAUCAUUAGUUGUAUUUAUAUAAUAUUGUUAUAAAUGUUAAAAAAUUUAAUUAUAGCACAGAAUCGAACGGAACCGAACCGAACUGAACCGAACAGAACCAAACUCGAACGGUUCCAUAAUUAUAUUUGGACCCGACGAUUCCAUUUACUAGAUACCCGAAAAUUCCGAACCGAACCGAACCGAACCGACUCGCGCCCACCCUUAGGGUUGAUGAUAAAUAUUUCAAGAGAAAGUUGAAAACAUAAGUAUAGAAAUAAGAAAAGUUUAGAAACAUUCAUUGUAAUUAAAAAUGUGGUGUAGUUAACAAAAUUUGUUGUGUAAAUAUAUUUACACUUUCAAAACAAUUACUAUUUCAUUAAUAUCGUAAUGCAAUAUUGUUCUUUGUAAAAAGAAAUAGAAUGGAACAAGAAAAGAAAAAGUAGUCGACAACAUUUUUACACAUGAUGUACUACAUCAUAUUAUAAAAAGCGAGAAAUCAUAAUAAAUGCGUCGAAAUAUAUCGAUCGAAGUAAUGUUUAGCCAAAUAAAAUGCACGCAAUAUUAAAUUGAAUUUACUAGAAGUUUUUGGACUUGUAGUCCGAAAAUUUUAAAGGUAUAUACUUAUACGAAAUGAAAUGAGAAAAAUGAAGUCAUAAUGUGUAAUGCACGACUUUUAACACAAUGAAUUUCGUAAUGAUCAUCGUGGAUGAAAUCACAAGUCUAUAUCAUGUUAUCUUCACGAUACAUGAAUUUUAAAAUAUAUGAUAGUCUACUUAUCUAGCAUGACUAUUAAUGUUAUCUUUGAAAGAUUUAAUAUGUCUGAAGCAUAAGUCAAACGAUACACGCCGGAGAACCAUGUUCUCAAAUCAUUGUAUUGAUUGAAACAAUCCGGAUGCAUAUGGCAUAAUCACCUUAGCAAGCAUGUGUUGAAUGAAUGCUAUAAAAAUGACGAUAUCUGCCCAUAUAUUUUCACAAAGAAAACAAAUGUUGGAUUUGCAUAAUGACAUUUUAUAUUAAUAAUUUAAAUUUAAUUGGAACUCCUGAAGAGCUCAACAAAACUGCUAAUUAUUUGAAAAAUGAAUUUGAGAUGAAGGAUUUGGGAAAAAACCAAAUUUUGUCUCGGAUUGCAAAUUAAACGUAUAAUGAUUAUAUGUUCAUCAAUCUACAUAUACGAAAAAAGUCUUAAAACAUUUUUACGAAUAAUGGAUAUCCAUUGACAUCACCUAUAAUUGUUCGAUCACUUCAUGUGAAAAGAAGAAGAAGAUCAAUUUCGUCCACUCGAAAAUAGAGAAAAUGUUCUUGGUCCUGAAGUACAAUAUCCUAGGGUAAUUGGAACAUUAACUUAUCUUGCAAAUUGCACUCGACCUGACAUAACUUUUUCUGUAAAUCACCUUGUAAGAUAUAGUAUUACACCAACUUAAAGACAUUGGAAUGGUGUUAAACGUAUUUUUCGUUGUUUCAAGGGCACUAUUGAUUUGAGAUUAUUUUAUUCUCAAAAGUCGGGAUUUGUUUUAGUAGGAUAUACAGAUGCAAGUUAUCUAUCUGAUCCACAUAAAGUUAAAUAAAAAAUAGGAUAUGUGUUUACACGUGGAAGAACAACUAUAUCAUGGAGAUUUGUGAAGCAAUCCUUAACAGCUUCGUCUUCAAAUUAUUCUCAAAUUAUUGUAAUCUAUGAAGCAUGACGAAAAUUUGUAUGGUUGAGAAACAUGACCCACCAUAUCCAAGCAUUAUGCGAGUUAACUUUAACAAAAGAUAAUCCAACAAUUUUGUAUGAAAACAAUGCAACUUGUAUUGCACAAUUCAGAGGAGACUAUAUCAAAGGUAACUGGACGAAGCAUAUUUCUCUCAAAUUCUUUCGUACACGUGAGUUUCAAAAGAAUAGUAACAUCGAUGUCUAACAAAUUCGUUCAAGCGACAAUAUAGUCGAUUUAUUCACAAAAGCAUUUCCGACAUUUACAUUCAAGAAAUUAAUUCAUAAGAUUGAAAUGCGUCGACUCAAAAAUUUUCAAUGAUCAAUAUCAGAGGGAAUAGUUGUAUUCUUUUCCAUCGCUUAGGUUUUAUCCCACUGGAUUUUCUUAGCAAGAUUUUAAUGAGACAUUAUUUACUUUUAAUACUCCAAAAUAACUGUACUCUUUUUCCUUCGUUUGAUUUUUUUGUCCCAUUGAAUUUUUUCAAACAAGGUUUUAACGAAACUAAUAUUUUGUAAUGUGUCGUUCAAGAGAGAGUGUUGUAAAAUGUAAGUUUAUUAGAGUUUAGAUGUGAAUGAUAAUUACACUCCUGUAUCUCUAGAAAUUAUUACUGUUGUAUUCAUGAUUCUGUCAUAUAAAUACAGGAUUUUGGUUCUUAAUAAAAUACACACAAAUAUAUUGACUUCUCUUUGCUCUCUUCUCUUUUCACAACAAUGUUCAAUUAAAAAGGGAAGAGAUUUUGACAAUAUUAAUUCAAAUUAUUGCUAGCUGCAUUCGCUAAAACUUUAUCAAACAAUUCCCAAAUUCUUUUAUUUUUUGUUUGUGGAUCUCUAAGAGUAUGUUUGUUUACCAUUCUAUCAUAUUAUUUCUUCUACAGUACUCAUUUUCAACCACACAUUUUUCAUUAAAAUAAUAUUACAUGUAAAGAAAAAAAUUUCCUUCUUUUUUAACCACAAAUUUCUGUUGGUUAAUGAACUUUAAUCAUCACAAUAGGAAAUUAAUUUUCCUUUGAAGAUUAAAAUCAUGUAAAUAAGGAUUUGAUUGACCUUGAGAUCAUUGGAUUAUAAAAUCCUCACAUAUAUAGAAAGGGGAGAUGAUAACCUUUUCGAAUGAGCUAUUAAUGGUCUAAUCAAUUGCUUCCUCCCUUAGAUCUUUUCUCUUGUUCUCCACUAGGUGUUAUUCCUUUUUGGAGAAUGUGAAAAGUGGCUAACCCUAAAAUCACACCAAAAUAUACCAAUAAUGUGCAUAUUUAUAAUGACCUAUUAGGGUUUGAAAAUUACACAAAUUUUCUUAGACUUUAUUGUAGUAGACCAAUUAAGUCACACACCUUUCAUUGGAGCCAAGAGAUGGACCUAAUUGAACUCACAUGACCCAAACUCCAAUACAUGUCUUCAAUUGGGUCAACUCUUGACCAAUUGAGAUACAUCUAUUAAUCCCUGCUUAUUCUACCAAAAAAUCGAGAUUGCACUCUCGAGUCGAGUGAUAGUUAUAUAAGCAAAUUAUGAUAUAAUAACAAUAUCUUCUGAUUAUCGUUUCACAAGUCAACCCCCAUUUGACCGUCAAUAUGUUGAAACUGGCAAAAUGACCGUUUUGCCCUUCAACAUGCAUUACCCUCUAAGUCAAUUUUUCAUACGACAAAUUCGUUGUGAUCAAAUCACAAUAUAAAGUCCAACGAUCUCAUCAUCGACCUACUGAGUUCAGAUUCAAUUUGCCUAGGAAAAUACCUUAGAGUGACGAUAGUUUCAUCUCAAUGAUUAAUGGAUUCCAAUAUUGUAAGUAUAUGAUCUCUAAUUGUUUCGGCCCGAUUCCCAAAGCACCGAGAUCAAUCUUCUAUUUAAAACUUCACUCAUUGGUACCUCAAAGAACUUGAACUAGCAUUCAAAGGUACAUUACUCACUCAAGAUUUAGGUGACCUGUUUGAUAAUCAAGUAGAGUCUCAUUUCAAACGGUCACAAAUGAGUCAUCCACGCGGUCCCGUUCAAUGUGCAUCGAAACACAUUAUUGUUCCUAUUUCAAGAUCUAGACAAAUCUUAAUAAGAACAAUACAAUCUUAUCAACAUAAAGCGUCCAACUUUAUGAACCGAUUAUGAACAACAUAAUUUUGAUCACAUCACAAAUUGUGUCUUACUAUAUCCGAUCCAUCGAGUAUACAACCUUUAUGAUCAUGAAACCUUAGACAAUCACUUCAAAUUAUAACACGCAAAUAAACGAACGUAAAUUCAUAAUGUGAUUUUACAGAAUAUUACUCGAAGAAUGGACAUCAAACUAACAAUUUCAACAUCAAUAACUAUUUCAUAAUACAUUACUUACAAAUAAUGUGACAUGAACACCCCCCUAAUAUUCUGUGAGGUUUUGUGUAGGGUUUAAAAAAAAAUACUAUGGUAAUACUAAUUCUUUUUCCACAUUUUCAAUUAUAUCUUUAGUAUUUUGUUGAAAUUUUUAGUCAUAGUAUUUUGUAAAUUAGGGAGAUCAAUGGCUAUGUUCGGCACUUUCUGCUCGCUAAUGACGGCUUUUUAUUGAAUUUGAGUAAUGUUUUCUGAUUUCUUUUUUAUUUUGUAGAAUUGCACUGGAGUUGUAUCUAGUUGCAUUACGUGUACUUUAAAACAAUUCAUGGGGUAGCAAAGCUUUUAUUUACCCAAAAUAUAUUCACAUUUGGCCUAUAUUUUGCUCAUGUUUAUAAACACUCAAAGCCAUUUUCAUACACAAUUCGAGAGACCAACGAAUAUUACUUAUUUAUACACAUUCCAUAUUUUUAUAAUCUAAACCAUUUAUAAACUCUUCCCAAACAUGCUUUUAAUUUAAUGAAUCAAGUCACCGACCAGCAUUUCUUAGAUCUCUAUUCGCACAUGUAUUAAGGUGUCUUUUAUUUAUGGCUUUGACAGUUUAGUCUGCAGGCUUCCUUCCAUUAUGAUAUUACCGAUAUCUUCUAUGUAACAUUUCCGCUUUAUUCCCAGAUCUGUUACGCACCAAUCUGAAUUAUUGUAUGAUUUUAUCUCUACCCCGUUUUGCAUAAACAUUGGAUAGCAAAGUAGUUGUAUUCGGUAACGAGGUGCUAUUCUUAUCAGGUAUUGGGAUUUGAGACAACCAAAUCCAGCUCAUGUCCAACAACUUUCUGAGCGCUGCUAUGCACUUACAAUCAGACACCCUCUUCUGGUUGUUGGCACGGCCGAUAGAAAUCUAAUAGUUUUCAACUUGCAGAACCCUCGGGUAUUCUUUUCCCUUUAUAAAGAAUACUGAAACCAUUAAAUUGUUUCCCGAAGCGGAUUGUAUAUCUGUAACAAAUGUCAGGUUAAUGCUAUCGCUUUGGAAUAUAUACCUCAGAAAAAUGUAUCAGGCAGAAGCUACCUAACAAUGAAACACUAAAGAGUAAACUAAUAAGUCUGCUAGGAAAAAGAAGAACCAUUAUUGACUCAAUAAUUCCCGAUCAUUCAUUUAUCAUUUGCAAACAUUCCUUUUGAAGUGGUUUAAAAAAAGCAGUCUCCUAUAGGGUAAAGGGUGGAACCCUUUGAAAAGGGAACGAAAAAAAUAAUAGCAGUUGCAAACUGGAAACCUUGAAGUGAGGAAGGAAGAAAAGUUCAAAGUUUUUAAAGACAAAAUAUUUUUAAUUUAUCUAAGGAGGCCAUUAUUGAUACCUAUCAAAAAAAAUAAAUAAAUAAAUAAAUAAGAGAGAGAGAGAGAGAGAGAGAGAGAGAGAGAGGAGGCCGCUGUUGAUGAAAGUAACCAUCUUCUGGAGUAUUCCUUAGUCCGUUGGUAAGAGCUCAUUUUCAGGCACUACUUUUUUUAUUAUGUAGAAAACAACAUUUCUAGUUCAAACCAAAUAGAAGUAGGUAAGUUGAUAAGAUUUUUUUGAGCUCUAAUUCGCAUAAUCCACUGCUAAAAUGAAGAGGUUUUAAAGUCCAUUUCUUCCUGCUACUAUAAGCAAUAUGGGAAACCGAUGAAUUAUAAAAAAAAUUAUCUUGGUUGGAGCUUAUGCUAUCAAACAAGGAGAAAUCUCAGUUAAGUGCCCCCUUCAACAUAAGCUAUUACUGUUAAUUUCCUUAAGAUAUUUGGAGGCUCAAAGAUUUUGUCCUGAUAAUUUCUGGUGAGCUCGUAUCGAAAGGACUUGGACCAAACCCUUUAAUACAAGUCCAAUAAAAAAACAUAAACAUAAAUAGUCAAAGUAAGAGUCCAAAAUAGGUGAUGUCAUCAUCAAACUCUCGGUUAUAUCAAUCGAAUUCUUUCUUGUAUUUGUUGAUUGUUCGGUUAGAGAAGUUUUUCACAUAAAAAUAGGCCUCUCACAAAUGGUUGAUGAAACCUGACCUCCACUUCGUUGGCCAAAUGAUUAUAUGCCCUCUUUCGCAAUAAGGCCAUCACACUACAUUUUCUUAUGGGCUUGCCAGACCAGCAACAAUGAAAAUGUUUUGUUUGGUACCAUCAGGAUAGAAACGUGUUUUUGGUGAAAUGCUGCCUUAAGUCAGUAGUUUUAUUUUUCUUUCUUCCUUUUGUAUCUCAUCGGCUGAUUGUGAGAUUAUAUGCACAGAACCUUUGUACAUAUUUCUCGCAUUCCCUAUUAUUUAACCAACCUAUGACAAUAAUUUGCACUUUGGAUUCAUGGGAUGUGUUGUUCUGCAACCAUGAUUGAAUACUCUUCCUUAAAUUCUCAUUGUCCCUCUUUCCGACCGACAUCUCUGCUGCAACAUUUUUAUUGAUUGAAUGCCAAUAGACUUUCUAAGAUUUACGAGCUAUUUUCUUUUAUUUAUGUCAUUAUUACAUGGUUAAUUGGUUUUUGGGAUAUGACAGGCUGAGAGUUGUUUCACCCUUGAAGUACCAGAAAAGGUUUUUAGCUGCUUUCCCAGAUCAGCAAGGUUUCUUAGUAAGUUCUUUCUGACUCUCUGUGACUUAAGUUUAUGCUGUGGACUAUUUUUAAUCUGCUGCAGUGUUUUGUUAUGUGACCUUCUUAUCUUGUAUUGGUUACACAUAUAUUGAUAGCUUGAUUUUACAUGUACCUUCUCAAGUUGUGCCGUUCAUAGAUACUUGAAGAUCUGAAAAUAUUUUUGAUGCAUGUACUUAAUUGAAUACAUCUUGCUUGAUUAUAGCUAGAACGGGAGUUCUGCACGAACAAGUACUGACAUUAUCAAUGAUAGUAAACUGAAGUUCAGGGAUAUUUCCAUUUGUAUGCAAAUUUGAGAUUCUCAAUGUUUGAUUGAUAAGUAAACGAACAAUGAGAAGUAGAAUUUCAAAACAAUUUGGGUCAAUAUAUUUGAUGUCAAGGAUUGCAAUUAAGUCUCUUAUGUACUUCUUUGGCAAACUUUCCUGUAAAAUAAAUAUAUACAAGGAAAUAGCAAGCACUCAUGCUGCUUAACCUACCUGAUUUCCACUUCACAUUGUACUAGAUACUUUUGAGUCUUUUGUAGAUUCUGAUAUUUUCCACAUUCAUUUCCUGAACUUACAAAAAGAAAUUGCAGAGGGAGAUCCGUGCACUGUGGCAGUCCUAAGAGAAGAUAGAAGAUUGUCCACUAAUCUCUCCAGUGUUAUUUGCUUUCUCUCUUCCGUGCAGCAUUGCAGGGUUUAAUUUUUAAUAUGAUAGCAAUUGUGAGUGUCUUGCCUCUUUGAUUUGUAAAGAACUGUUUAAUAAAAUGACCUCUUCUCCACCUACGCCACCCUGCCUCCGCCGCCCACUCUAAUUAGUGCUAGAAGAAAACCAUUUUCUUUCUUCUUAGUUUUUUUGUUUAUCCAUUUUCAUUUCUCUUUUUUGAAACAUUUUAAUAAAUGAGAUAAUACAUAAAGUGUUGUAAAAUAGUAAGUUUAUUAUUGAAUGACAAAUGUAUUCUUGCAACUCUAGAAAUUAUUACCGUUGUAUCACUCAUUCUUACCUACAAAUAUAGGACUUUUAUUCUUAAUAAAACAUACUGAAAUUUAUUGACCCUUAUUCUCUCUUCUUUUUUUCUCUCUUUUCAUAACACGUUAUCAGUAUGAAAACUUAAUUUUUUCGUCAUCAUCUUCACGAUAAAUUAAAAAUUGAAUAUCUCAUUGAAAAAGAUUCAUAUGCUCUUUGAAAAAAAUUAACUAGAAGAUUUAAUCAUCAUGACUAUAAUCCACCCCAAAGCCCUCAAUGAAUGAAUGGACUUUCGUUUGCAAAACUUUAAAACUAUUAGUGAGCACUAUACGGAUCUGUUCAGAAUAUGUUCAAAAUUAAUUGUUUGAACAAAAAAUCACGGAUAAAAAUAUGUUGGAAAAAACGUUUUUCAUCUUUCACGCCUUGAAUGUGCUUCUGCAGUAGCAAUAUCGUGAGUGUGGUUUUAAAAGAUACUCAAAACUCAUAUCUUGCAUGCUUGUGGCGGAACAAAAUAAUGAACUGUCAAUGAAAAAUCGUGGAUUAUGUCUAUCUGGUUUUGUACCAUUGACUAAAGCAAAUGGUACUACGUUGCUGAAGCAAAUGCAAUAUCAAGCCAAGGACGUGAAUUUGCACGUGAAAUAAACCAUGGACAAAAUAAUCAACAAAGCUAUCAGCAACAAGGCAACAAUUUCAAAAGACACAAACCAAACAAAAGUAGCACAUCCAAAAAAGAGCAUGAAAAAAGUUGUUUUAGAUGUGAAAUAAAAUGACAUUGGACACUUACUAGUCGUACGACAAAACAUCUGUGGAUUUUUACAAAAAUCAAUCAAAAGAAAGGAAAAAAUGGAGACAAAUUUUACUGAUUAUGAUGGUCUCAUUAAUGUAACUCAUUUGGAUGUUUUCGAUUUCUUUGUUGAUCCAAAUAGAAAUAUUGACCAUUUGAUUAGGGGUGGUGGGAUGGAAGAUAUAGAUCAGUUUAUGUAACGCCCCGAGUUCUGGCAACCCGAAACUUUACGAAAUAUGAAUUUUAUUAAAGCGCUUGAAGCAAAUAAUUUUAAGAUAAUGACAAAUUUAGUAAAAAUUAACCUUUAACAAAAGAUAAAUUGAAUUUAAUAAAAUAUGCAGAACGUUUUGAAAUCAUUUUCUUCAUCAAACAUAAAUAAAAACUAGUUCUAACAAAUAAUAGAAUUAGGACUAUAUGAAAAAUUUAACGUUACUCACAAUUGAGUCUAAAAACAAAAAGAAUAAUAAUAUGUUGUUAAAUUCUAAUGUUCUUAAAAAUUAAAGUACUUCAUGAUGAGGAUCCGUUGGUCCAAUAGCAUAUCCGUCCACUGCCGUCCAACAUACUAAUUUUUACCUGAAAAUUGUAAAUAAGAGAAAUGAGUAUAAAGAAUUAUACUCAAUGAGAUGCUUGCAAUUCCACACACAAAAAAAAUAUGAAAUUAUGCAUAAAUUCUCUUACCAACAUAAAAUGAGAAUUAUCACACCAUGACAAACAAUAAUUCUUGCAGGCGCUGCAAAAUAACGUGAAGGCUAAAUUUUGCCUUAAAAUGUAUCGUGAUUUCUCCCGUAGAAGUCCUGUACUAAAGUAAUUAAAUUCAUACAUAACAACAUAUUUGAAAAGAUGUGGAAAAAUCAUUAAUAGCAUUGAGCACCUCACUUUGUAUAAUAAAUCUCGAAUUGAAUGCACUGGGAAUGCAGAUUGUGGAAUCUUGUUUUUCUGGAACUUCCUCUUUGCACUUGGCCUUUUGUGAAAUUGAAUGAAGGGCAGGAAUAUAGUGGAAUGCUUUAGGUUUAAUGCUUUAUAUAUAGUAAACUAAAAUCUGGUAUAGUCCAAUCACGUUAGGAUUAAUUAUAGAAGUAGAGUUUCACUAAUAUUUGACUUUUCAACUCCCAUGUACUCUACUCAGAAAUUGGAUUAGGAUUUUAUUUGGUAUAAUCUGGUUGGCAGUUUUAUAUUAUGGUCAGAGNNNNNNNNNNNNNNNNNNNNNNNNNNNNNNNNNNNNNNNNNNNNNNNNNNNNNNNNNNNNNNNNNNNNNNNNNNNNNNNNNNNNNNNNNNNNNNNNNNNNNNNNNNNNNNNNNNNNNNNNNNNNNNNNNNNNNNNNNNNNNNNNNNNNNNNGGGGGGGGGGGGGGUUUGUAUGGGCAAUUGACCCUCUAGAUUUUGGGGGAAAAAAAAUUUUGCUUAGCUUUUUUUUCUUAACUUUUUUUUAUUAGAAAAUACUCUAUAAAUUUUAUUUUUGACCCUCAACCCAAGUCGUAUGGGUCACCCCCAAUUAUGGUUUGAUGAGUUCUAUAUCAACAAUAAAUGCACCAAAGUGGAACAAUGAUUGCACAUCAUAUGCACACGUUAAAAUAAAUUGAAUCUCCUAAUGGCAUGCAUUAGACAUAUUUUAUUCUGAUUUAAACAAAAAACUUAAUUAGUUCAAAUUAAUUACAGUCCUUGGCUAAUCUAAUACUAAAGUUAUUAGGAAACCUUGUCAUAAUUAAAAUCCUACAGGAUUAAGGAUUCACAUUUCAUUUCUAUUCUAAUUAAAAUAGAUUUGGAUUACACACAAUUCCUCGACAAAAUAAGAAGACGAAUGGACCUAAGAUUACCCUUUGGUUUCAUUUUCCAUAAAUUUCUUUAGACGGCUAUAAAAAGGGUUUAACUUAUCCAAAUUAACAUUUUUUUAUGGGUCCAAAAUUCACUAUUUAUUAUUAGCUUCAAAACGAGCCCAAUAUUGAUUGGGUAAUUCUAGCUUCUCCAAUAGUUAACUAUUUGGCCCAUUUAAUAAAAGUAUAAAUUUUGAUAUUUAUUUUCACUUCGGUCCCUCAACUCUAAAGAUACCCUCAUAUAUCCAAAUUAACUAUAGAGAUAACCAAUUAACUUGCAUAAAGACUUAACUAAACAUUGCAUUCCUAUUAAAUGACAAAUAAAUUAUAUGCAAAACUAACAAAAAAAUCAGGAUCUUACAGUUUAUUUCCUAUAUCUCUAGUAUUUCCCUUUUAUUUUAGAAAUUUAGCUUUAAAUGAAUUUUUACUUUUCGAAAAAAAAUUGAACUUUAUUAUGCUUCGUCAAUUUUACAUUAUUGAAUUAUGUUUACUGAUAAGUGUAUUUUUGCAUACUUAUUUAAUACUUAAAUAACCUUAAAUAUUGAUUAAAUGAGCGAAUUUCUACUCACAAUUAUAUAAUUAUUGUUUUUAUUGGUAAAAAUCACCUAAGAAAAGAGAACAAGGUAAAAGAAAGUGAAAAGAGUCCAAAAGAGUACAAAAUUGUGAAGUGGGGGACCAAAAUGCAUAAGUCCCAAAAGUUCAUGGACUUGAGGUUGCAACUUUUGGAUGUCGUAAUUGAAAGAAUGUCAAAAUCCAAGGACCAAAUUGGAUAAAACCAAAGUUGGAGGACCUGACGUGCAGCUCUUUGAGGACUAAACUAAAGUAAGGAAAAAAAAGACAAAGGUGCACGCCUUGACCCAAUUUUGGGCAACUGGGAGCAAUCAAAAGGCUAAGGUGCGCACCUCAUUUUGUACUAGGCACGCGCCUUAAGUUGAAAAUCAGGACUUAUGCGCACAUUUUAAUUUUUUAGAGGCUCUUCUUGCAAUUUGAUUGGGACGAUUUUUAUCAUUUUUAAACACCCUUUCCCAACCAUUAUUCUUCAUCUUAAAAUAAACCCCUAGCCUUCUUCUCUUUCUUUUUUACUUUACUUCUCAUUUUCUUUCUUUUCUUUUCUUCUUCCUUUUUUUUUUUUUUCCCUCCUUUUCCUUGGUAUUUUUGGGAGCAAAUCAUAGAACACAAAGGAGAAUCAUUCAAGGAGGUGGGACAAAUAUUUGAAAAAAUCAAAGUCAAGCUUCAAAUUGGAUUGUAUCUAUAACUUUGUAUUUUAUUAAUUAUUUUGUCAUACUUGUAAUGUAUUGUAUAAAAUAUUCUCUUUUUUUCAUCAUUUAUACAAUAUGGGCUAAAUUGUUGUGUUGGGAUUUAUGGUAUUAAUUUAACCUAACUUUUAAUUAAUUUUGAUAUUUGCUCUUUAAUAUUAAGUUAUUUAUUUUUAUGUGUUUCUACUACUGUAUUUCAUGCAUUUUCAUUUAUGUGGUCAAUGAAUGAUUGUGUUUAGUGAAUUGUACAUUUUAGACCAAAUAAUAGAAAUCCUAGGUUUGUGUAGGGGAUAGAGAUAUACCUUUAACCCUAGGUGACCCAAUGAGCUAUUUUCACAAAUAUUUAAUGCAAUUGUUUGGUUUUAAUCAACAUAAAGAUAUAGUAGGUUAAUCCAAUCAAUUAGGGUUAAUUUCGCUCGAGAGAGAUAAUUAACUAAAAUUGAAAAAUCGCGUCUAAUAUUGUAAAUGAAUAACUUUUUAAUUUGCUUGUGGAGAAAUUAAUUAGGCGAUGGUUAAAUGAAACCACGAAUCCCAACCACGUUUGCUUCUGAAAAUUCCCAAGAUUUUCAUAUUUUGUAGAUUCUUAGUUAUUUUCCAAAAUCAUAAUCUUUAUUGUGUGUUUUUCUUUUUAUUGUUUGAAUUAAACUAAUUAGAGUUGUGUAAUCGAAAGUAUACAUUUCUCGAGGGAUCGACAAUUCGAAUUCAAAAGGUCCACUUUAUUACUUGAACGUAACCCGUGCACUUGCGGUGUAAUAUUUUAGCGAACAAGUCCUUUUAAAUUCAAGCAUUUUAAAUAUAUCUAUUUUGUUAUAUUUAUAGAUUCAUGAUGGAUUGUCAAAAUACCUGUUUGAUUAAUAAUGCAACUUCACAUACCAUUUUUCAAGACAAUAUUUUUUUGGACCUAACAUUAGCAGAAAAUAAUGUUAAUAAGAUAUCGAGUGCAUCGUAUAUCGUUGAAUGCUCCAAAUGAGCUUGUAUUAUUUUAUCAAAUAAUAAAAAAUUACAUAUUGACGAUACACUUUAUUUUAGCAAAUUUGUUAGUUUUAAAGAUAUCUGCUGCAAUAAAUAUCACAUUAAAACGAUGCAAGCAAAUAAUGUUGAAUUUCUUUGCAUAACUUCUUGUAUAUUUGAUAAGAAGUAGAGAAAAGAAAAACUUCAUACACUCCCAUUUGCCAUGUAUGUAUAAAAAAAUUUGAAUUAGAAAACAUUUUCACGAACCAAAAGUUUGUUGAUCCAAAAAUUUUUAUAUUUUUGCUUGAUCAACUUGGACAUCUAAGAGUUAUAAUGAUGCGUUGAAUAAUAAAUAACUUACAUGUACAUCCUUUAAAUAGCCAGAGGAUUCUUUUGCCUAAUGAUUAUCUAUGUGUUACUUGUUCACAAGGUAAGUUAGUCAUUAGACUACAAAGGUCAAUAUUGAAUUUUCAACUUUCUUGGAAAGAAUUAAUGGAGAUAUAUAUCGGCCAACACACCCACCAUGUGGGCCAAAUAGAUGAUCACAUGUUUGGCUACUUUCCACUAGGAAUAUAGCAUUUGCUAAACUUUUUGCUCAAAUCAUAAAAUUUUGAGCGCAAUUUCCUGAUUACCAAACCAAGAGUAUUCAUCUUGACAAUGCUGGUGAAUUUAGAUCACAAGUAUUCGAUGAUUAUUGUAUAUCAAUUAUGAUUGUAAUUAAACAUUCAGAUGCACAUGUCUACAGACAAAUGGUUUAGCGAGUCAUUUAUUAAACGUCUGCAACAUAUUGCUAGACCAUUACUUAUGAAAACAAAACUUUCAGCUUCUGUUUGAGGUCAUGCCGUGUUACAUAUUGCGUCAUUUGUUCAUAUUAGACCAAUUGCCUAUUAUAAAUAUUCAUCUUUGCAAUUGGCAUUUGGUCAUGCACUUGAUAUUUCUUACAUAAGACUUUUUGAUUGUGCUAUCCAAGUUCCCAUUUUACCUCACAACGUACUAAAAUGGAUCUCCAACGGAAACUUGAGAUUAUGUUUUUUUUUUAUUCACCGUCUAUUAUUAGGUAUCUUGAACAUUUAACGAGUGAUUUACGUAUUGCACGUUUUGUAAAUUGCCAAUUUGAUGAAAUGACUUUUUCAACUUUGGAAGGAAAAAACAAUAUCUUGAAAACAAAAUAAAAUUUAUUGGAAUGAAAUGACUUUAUUUUUACCUUAAUCCCUAAAACAAUCAAUGUGAGCAAGAGAUUAAAAGAAUUGUUUAUUUGCAAAGAGUUGUAAAUCAAUUAUUUGAUAUAUUUGUUGAAACAAGAAAAGUUAUAAAGUCAUAUAUUUCAGCAUAAAAUAUUUUAGCAAAAAUUAAUGUCCCUGAAUGACAAUUUGUUGUAGAAAAUGAAUCUCAAAUACGACAGAAGAAUGGUCGACCCACUGGUUCAAAAGACUCGGUACGUCUAAAAAGAAAAGUACUAGAGAAAAACCAACCAAAAAAUCGGAAGAAGUAAUAUUAGAAAAGAUUGAUUAAUCAAAUAUUGAAAAUAUGAUCCUUUAAAAAUCACAUGUGUCCGAAAACAAUGAGAUUUCAAUAAAUUAUAUGUUAUCUCAUAAAUUAUGGGAACGAAAUAAUGUUGUUAUAAAUAAUAUUUUCUCCUUCAAUAUAGCUCUUGAUAUUAUGCAAAAUGAGGAUCCUGAACCACAAUCAAUUAAAGACUGUUGAAAUAGAAAUAAUUAACCAAAAUGGAACGAAGCCAUAUAGGCAGAAUUAAAAUCUUUAGAGAAACGAACAGUGUUUGGACAUGUAGUUCGAACUCCUGAAAAUGUAAUCCCUAAGGAUAUAAAUGGGUUUUUAUACUAAAAAGAAAUGAAAAUAAUGAAAUUAUAAGACACAAAGUCCAACUCGUAGCUUAAUGUUUCCCACAAAGACCAGAAAUUGAUUACGAAGAAAUAUAUUCUCCUAUAAUGGAUACCAUCACUGUUAUAUUCUUAAUUAGUUUGAAUGUGUCACAAAAACUUGAUAUGCGCUUUAUGGAUGUAGUAACUGUUUAUUUGUACGGUUCACUUGAUAAUGACAUAUAAUAAAAGUUGUCAAAGGACUUGAAGUGCUAGGAACAAACGAUAUAUGCCCGAGAACCAUGUUCUUAACUAAAUUGUAAAGAUCGUUAUAUGGAUUGAAACAAUUUGGACACAUGUGGUAUAAUCUCCUUAACGAAAAUUUGUUGAAUGGGGGUUAUAAAAAUGACGAUGUCUACCCAUUUAUUUUUAUAAAGAAAAAAAAUAUUGUAUUUACAAUUGUGGCAGUUUAUGUUGAUGAUGUUACUAAAAUUGAGGACUUAAGAGAAUCUUCAAGCGAUAAAACUUCAUAUAUCUCAACGCAUAUCAGAUAUAAAGAACUCAUUGCUUUAUAUUGGGAUAAAAUUUAUUUUCUGGUGGUGUUUUUGUGCUUUGAUCUCAUAAUUCUAUAACAUUAUUGUGAUGAGAUAUUCUUGAUUGCUUGAGUAAAGAGCCAUCACGAAUGCUAUGGCCUCGUUAUGCAAUAUCUAUGCAAUCAAUACUAAACUGAAUUGAUUAGUAUUAUGAAUAGAAUUUAACCCUUUUUUCUUAUUUAACUAAGUCCACCUAGUCGCAUCGAAUAUUAUCUACCAAACAUGCGCUUAAAAAAGAGCUAAGUUGGAACUUGAAUCUCUUACAAAAUAGAGUUAAGAUGUAAGUUUUCAAGAAUAAAUAAGCAAGUGAUUCCUCCGUUGUGGCAAUUCUGAUUAUUUUUUUAUGCUUUCACUAUUCAAUAGGUAAAAAGAAAUGUAAGCCGACAGAGACUUCCACAGCCAUUAAUGUCAAAUGGUGACCUAUAAACCUCCCUGCAUCAUCAGAAUUCCGAAACAUGAAAUAAACUGGAACCUGAAUAAAAAUCGAGAAAUAUAUGAUCAUUUACGAAGACGACAAUUAUCAAUUAAAUUCAGAGGGCUUCCUGAUCGAUAAUCGAGAUUGACACACUUUCAUAUCUUGUAAUUGAUCGAAUCAUAUUGACGAAGAGAUUAUAGUUUCACGGUAAACGAACGAGUUUGAUUUUGUCAUACCACAUGACAUUUCCCGUUACAUGUAUUGUCCUAACACAUUGUUAGAUGUCAAUCUGGGACGGCGAGUGUGAUUGGUGAUAAAUUAAAAUGCUAUUUUAAUUUAUCAAUUUUCAUUAGAUCAAAAUAAUAUUUCACCUCGUUAGGCAUCGUGGUCGGGAACCUGAUGGGUUGCACACGAAAGAGAAUUGGAAGAUUGCAAUUUGUCAAUUAAAUAAUUUAACAAUCGUUGGAUAAAUUAAUUAAUUGGCUUGGUUAUUUAUAGGCCCGAAUUAAUUAAUUUGAUUAAUUAAUUCACGGACCGAAUUUAAUUAAAUGAAUUAAUUAAAUAUUGGACCGGACUAGGCCAGGCCCAUUUGGGUUUAUAUAAAUAUAUGACUAGGGUUUUCAAUCGAUAUAGUUUUCUCAUAAUUUCUUGCUAGCACAAGAGGAGAAAACAUUGGUAGCUGCAAUCUGUUCUCUGUGUGGAUCAUCGUUAGAGGUUGGACAAUUGGACAGCUGUGGGUAGCGAAUCAAGAUUGCUGGAACGAAAAGAAUAGCAAAGAAGUUUGCAGAUCUGAAAAAUGUACAAUCUUUUCACAAUUUCUAUUUAAACACAAAGAGAUUCCUGGUGGGAAUCGAAAUCUAUUUUAAUUUUUCGCUGUGCAUGUUAAGUAGAUUCCCAAUAGCGGUAUCAAGCCUACUUUGUGUUUGUUAGAAAUUGUUUCGAAUCAUUGGAACAAUUAAAAGUUAAUUGUUGUUUUUUCUUGUUUUAGCAAUUAAGAAAAUAAUUUUUCAUAUUCAAAAUUUGAUUUUGAAUAGAAAAUAAUUUCUUGGAUUGGAAAAAUAUAUGAAUAUGAAUUUAACAAAGAAAAAAAAAGGGGAAAUUGGACUGUGGUCGGGAACCAUCACCACGUGGGACUGGCGGCGUCCAACGCCGCUCAUCGAGCGGUGUCGGGCGCUGUUGCAAUGAGUUGCAGUAGCGUGCGACGCUGCUGCUACCGGAUAUGGCAGCCAGCGAUGCUGCCAUUGUUGCAGCAACGCCGGCUGCUAGAGGUUGGAGGGAGAAGGCGCGCGGUCAUCGUCGGCGCCGCCAAAAAGAAGAGAAGCAUUUUAGGGUUUUUCAAUUGGGUGAAAAUUUUAGGUUUUUUGUUGAUUAUUGGAGAUGAGGGUGUCUCUGCAAUUAGUGUGAUUACAGGGGCCCUCCUGCAAUUAUGGAAUAUGGGGUCAAUGUGCAAUUUUAAAUAGGAGCCUUUUUCAAAUUUUCGAAAUUUGGAGGGCCACCCACAAUUAAGGGAAAUGGGGUCAGUUUGCAAAAUUUUAAAAGGGGACCUGUUCUGCAAUUUUUUUGAAUUGGAAGGGUUCAGUUUUAAUUUUGAACUUGGGUCAAUUUGCAAAUUUCAAAAUGGUUUUGAAUUUGAAUUUUAAAAUGGUUUUAAACUUGUAUUUUAAAUGGGUUUGACCCAUAAUUUUAAUUUUGAACCAAAUUAAAAGUUUUGUUUAAAAUUUACGACUUUUUAUAUUUUCGUUAAAAUGUGAUUUUAACUUAAAUUAAAUUUGACCCUAUAUUGAAUUUUAUUUUAUUUAGGAGUGUUAUCCUAAAUUAAAAUAUUAAUUCAAUUUAAAUUAGAGUUUGACUUUAAUUUAAUACUUAAUUAAAAUUUGAUUUUAAUUAAUUAUUCACCCGAAUAUAUUCUUGUGAUUAUAAUUGGAUUCUAAUUUCACAUUUAAUUAAUAUUUGAUUUUAAUUAAAUUGUCUCGCCCUAAAUUUCUUUUUGGAAUUAGAGUUGGACUUUAAUUUGGUAUUUAAUUAAAAUUUUGAUUUUAAUUAAAUUAAUUCGCCCUAAAUAUUGAAAUUAGAGUUAGACUCUAAUUUUGUUAUUUAAUUAAAAUUUGAUUUUAAUUAAAUUCAACCGCCUUAAAUUUUGAAAUUAGAGUUUGACUCUAAUUUGGUAUUUAAUUAAGAUUUGAUUUUAAUUAAAUUAUCCCGCCCUAUUAUUGUUGAAUUAGCCUUGGACUCUAAUUCGGUAUUUAAUUAAAAUUUGAUUUUAAUUAAAUAUGCCCGCUAAUUAAAUAAUUGAUUAAUAUGAUUAUUUAAAUUAUUCCGAUCCAUUUGUCUGAAAGAGUUUAGACGAUCUUAAUUGCUAGAAACUUGAAACAAGUUUGCAUAUAAUAUUAGAUAUUAUAUAAGAAUGCAUUUAUGUAAUAAAUGUAUUAUUAGUUGAUGAUUAUGGUUUCGACCAUAUGGAUGUGUUGAAUUGUUGAAUUUUAUUCUUGUUGUUUUGUGGGCCUACGAGCCCGUUAUUAUUGUUAUUAUUUUGGGCCUGCAAGCUCUUGAUCAUUUUGGACCUGCGAGUCCGUAAUUAUUAUUGUUACUAUGGAUCUACGAGUCCAAUUUCAUUUAGGCCUGCGUGCCAACUAGUAUAUGAUACAGGUUGCAACUGGACUAAUUGAAGAAACAAGAAGAAGAAGAGACCAUGAAGAUGGUGCAUUGAUAUUGAUCAAUGUAAUACUCCCUAGGAAUUAACAAACUAGUCUUCUUUAUGGCUCAGAAAGACUAGAUAGUAAAGUCCAUAAUCAUCCACACUAUUAUAUAUAUAUAUAUAUAUAUAUGUUUGCAUGGUAGAUAUAUAAUAAUAUAUAUAUGAUUGUUACAAUGAGACCCUUGAAUGUAAAAUCCCUCCAUAAAAUAUUAAGUCACAUUUAUAAGCCUUCCAUCAUUAUAGUGAAAAACCCGAGUCCCAAAUUGUCUCAACUUGUUGAGAACACUCAAGGCUGGUCUAUUAGGGAUAUUUUUGACACUAUGAAGUAUUUGAUAUUUUUGAAUGACGGGUUUGACUUAACUAAAAUUUAUCUUUUGUUGAGUACACUUAAGAAGAUAAAUUUUAGAGGUAUUUAAGCUUACACUAGUGAUGGCUCGGCUCGGCCCUUUAACCCAGGAGCUUUGCUCUGGCUCGUGGCGAGCUGAGCUCGUGGAAGACAAGUCGAGCUCGUGGGCCGAGCCGAGCUCACGAGCGGCUUCUGAGCUCGUGAUUUUUUUAAAUUUUUUUGGUAAAUUGAACGUUUUGGACAUUUUUUUAAAAAAAAUUAAAUUUUUUUACGAGCCCACGUCAAAAUGGCUCGCGGGCCGUGUACCCACAAGUCGCUCGUGGGCUCAACGAGCCAGGUUUUGACAAGCCGAGUGGCCAAGCCGAUGAGCCCCUCGGCCCAUUUGACAUCCCUAGCUAAUACAUAAGAUGUGUGAAGAUAAAAAGUUGUCAGCUUAAUGAUAUGAGAGUUGUAUAGAGAUACAAUUGAUAAUAGUAUCUAACCAAAUGUUAUAUUAAGGCUUGUUGAGUACACUCAAGGUCUUAAUAUAAUAGAUGGGAUCCCAAUCCACUGGGAGUCAAGUAUGAAUUCCAUAAAUUUAUGUAAAAGGGUCAUAAAUUUUACUUAAACAGUGGAAGCAUAAUUAAUUUAAUAAAGGUCCAUGUUAAAUUAAUUGAUGCACUUUAUAUAUUAUUCUUUUUCUUUUCGCCAUUUACAUUUAUAUUGAAUCUUGAGUAAUCAUAUAUUUUGAAUGGCAUACUGGAUGUCAACAACCAAACUGAACUUUCUUGAUUGGCACUGCAAUCUGAGAAUUGUUCUCAGGCAUAAGAGAAUCGAUUAUGUCCUUGAGUAGUCCUUUCUAGAGACAUCUGCUGAUGAUUGGAUCAAAAAAGAAGUGGCUGCUAUAAUAAACGCAGUGAUGAUAAUGGUACUGCAACGUAUGUGAUACUUGAAACUAUGUCACCUGAUUUACAGAAGCAACAUGAGAGUAUAGAUGCUAACAUGCUAACACGUGAUUUUUCAUUUCAAAGAGUUUUAUGAUAAUAAUCAAAUGUGGAAGGAUAUGAGACUUCCAAAUAAUUAUACCGAUGUAAAGUGACAAAAAGAAUCUUUAGUCAAUCCUCAUGUAUUGAAGAUGAUUGACAUGAGAAGUGUUUCAAUUGAGUUCAAUCAUUAACUAUGAACUAAGUAUUGACUUAGCUCUGCAAUCUCUGUCAUAGAGUACUAAUUAUGAAUUAUUAUAUGAAUAAGCUCGAAUGCAUACUCAUUAAGUUGCUUAACAUGUUUAGGACUGUUAUGCCCAAUAACAAAGUUAGAAGUGGGUAAGUCAUUGAUUCCUCUAAGGGUAUUAAGAGGAAGUCUAAAGAGACUUUGGGAAAGCACCCAAUAUGGUUAAGACAGUCUAAGCGAAGAAAAAUACCAAAUCUAAUGACCCUUGGUUUCAUAUAGAAUGAAAGAUUAUUGAAAGGAGUAUUGUGUAGCUUACGUCUACUUCACGAGUUUCUUAGGUAUUUGAUACCAAAUGUAAAUCUCAUAUUUAUGCAAAUAUGGAGAAACUAAAUAGAAGUAGACCACCGCGAAAGGGAGAAGUUGACCUACACGUUGGAGAUGAGCAAAUGUUGCUGCAAUGCAUGCAGGAAUAUACUUCUUGCCAUUGCCUUAGUAUUGGAAUUAGAGAAAUGUCACUUUAUACCCACCAUAGCUAGAACAUUAAAAUGAAUUUCAUGUUCGGAGAUGAACUAUUUUGAUGUUAAGACAAUUGUUGUUCUUGUUUAUCUUGAUAAAGAUCCUAAUGGCCAUGAUAAAUUACAAAACGACGUUUAUAUUUUUUAAUACUAAGAAUUCUAUAAUGAGUAUAGAAAUUAUAAAAUAUAAAUGCGAUAAUCUAAUUAUUACCGAAAUCUUCCAUGACAGACUUAGUCAUAUAGAUGAAAUGCAAUAUUGCAUAGAGAUAUGCAUGUGGAGUCAAUUGAUUUUCAAUCAUUUGAUAAAUGCAUAUCAUGCCUAUUAGGCAUAAUGACCAAAUCUCCUUUUAUUUGAAACGGAUAAAUGUCUGUAUAAAUAUUUGCAUAAUACAUAGUGAUGUAUAUGGACCUAUGUCAAUUAAUAUCAGAUGAGGUUUCUCUUAUGUCAUCAAUUAUCAUGUAUACUUGAUGAAAUUCAAGCAUGAAGUCCUUGAAAGGUUCAAAGGAUUCAAACUAGAAGUAGAGAAAUAAAUAGGAAAUGAUACCCUCACAUUAAGAUCCGAUCGAAGUGAGAGUAUUUUAAAGAUAAAAUCUAGAUUAUCUAAGAGAGAAUGAGAUUAUCUUGCAAUCCACAUACACUGCAGCAUAGUUGUGUAUCUAAAAGGAGGAAUCAUUAACUAUUAGAUAUAGUGCGAUUAACAACAAGCCAUGCAAAUCUCCAAAAAUCGUUUUGGGGUCAUGUAUAGAUUGCAGUAUGCAACAUAAUAAAAAAUGUCACAUCUAAGUUGGUUAAUAGAACUCCAUACGAGUUAUGGAAAGAUAAUAGUCCUAAUUUAUCUCAUAUGAAAGUUUUUGGCCAUAACGCUUAUUUGAAGCACCUUAAAUCGGAUAAUUUUGAGACUAAAUCCGAUAAAUACAUAUUUCUGGGAUAUUCAAAGCAGAUAUUUGAAUAUAAAUUCUAUUAUCGUGAAGAAAGUCUUCAUCUCACGACAUAUCGUGUUCUUAGAGAAAACGUUUACUCUAGAGGAGGACAGUGGGAGUAAAAUAGAACAUGAAAGAGGUCAAGAGUCCACAAAUAUAGUUAACCAAGUAGAUGGAUCCCAGUUUGAUCCCAUAACUGAUAUGGACAUACUUUUGAUCAGGAAGUAGAGACUCUUGAGGACAUAAUAGCUCUAUUUAAAUCUAGUAGGAUCAUUCAACCUUGAAGAAUGUGCAAAUUCACGAGUAUUAAUCAGGUAUUACUGAUCCAGAAUAGUGGACCUACUAGUUACACCAAAAUUAAGUCAAGUGUUGACUUAAAAGAGACAGCAAGAAGCCAUAAAACUCGAGAUGAACUCGGCGUAUGUGAACAAGGUUUGGACCUUGGUCAAGCCUCUGAUGGAAUAAAACCUAUAAGUUUUUAUAAAUAGUUUACAAGGAAAAAGGUCGAUAUGGAUGGGAAUAUCCAUAUAUACAAAGCAAGACUAAUAGCAAAGGUUAAGUGUUGACCUUGGUGAAACCUUUCUCCUGUAGCCUUGUUGAAGUCCAUUCAGAUUUUGCGUGCAACAGUCUCAUAUCGUGAUUAUAGGUUAAGAGAAGUCUCUUAGAGCUGAAAUCUUCGAUUUGAUGAAAAAGUCAAAGAGUUUGAUUUUAUCAAAUUUGAAAAAGAAUUGUGUGUUUACAAGAAAAUAGUGGAGCAUAGUCAUAUUCCUAAUAUUAUAGAAAACGACAUCCCUAUAUUUCAAUCGUUGAAAUAAUGGUUGUUAAAAGAUUUAUUCAUGAACGAUAUGGGAGAAACAACUUGAUCUAUAGAGGUAGAUCUAGAAGAUUGCUUAACUCAUCCCAAUUUACAUAGAUGAAAUCUUGAGAAUAUUUCAUAUGGAGAAACUGGUUUACUCUUAAGCAGUAUGUUGGAUAUGUUCCAAACGUGAAGCAACCGUUGAUUCAAUAGCAGAAACCUACUUAAGUAGCAAAGAGUUGUAAUGUGGAUCAUGAUGUUCAUAAAUAAACUUGGAGUAGUUCCUGAUAUUGUUGAUCACACGUCAUUGUAUUGUGAUAACAAUUGAGGCAUAGUGAAAGCGAAGGAACUAAGGUCUCAUUAAUGAUCGAAACAUAUAUUAAGGCGGUAUAAUCUCAUAAGAGAGAUAAUACAUAGAAAUGACGUAAAAAGAAGAACAAAUUCUCACAUUUAACAAUAUUGCAGAUCCACUGACAAAGAGUUGUCGUAGCAUAAACAUAAUCGUCAUGUGGACUCUUAUGAUAUUGGAUACAUAAGUGAUUGGAUCUAGUACAAGUGCGAGUUUGUAAGUAUUAUGCCCUAGGUCCAAUCAACAUUGGACAAAAAUACUUUUGAUAUAUAUUUAAUGCAAUUAAUGACAGAUCUAUUAUUUAAUAAACAAUUAAAUUAAAUAAUAGAGUCCGUAGAUUCAAAUUUUCGUAAUUUGUUAAUCACAAGGAGUUGUGAUUGCGAGAUACAAAUUACAUAUGACUGAAUGUUAAAUCGUCCGUGGUCGUAAGUAAUAACGAGAUACAUAUAUCGUUAUUGCGGAUAGACCAUCAUGUGUGGCAUUUCUUACUUGUGAAGUAAGUAGCCGAUCUCACAAUCUAAAUUGUGGUGACACUUAAAUGAACACGUGGAUGUUUUGUUAUAGAACAAAACAUUAGAGACUUGCCGAGAGAUUUUACAUGGAUAACUAUCUGAGUGUCAGUGGUUAAUAUCUAACAUUCGGUAGUGGGAUUGGUCCUUUUGACUUGAGGUCACCAUAGUACCUUAUAUAAGGACGAUCAUGUUUUGACGGUGUUGGAUGUUGCUCUGCCAAGGGCCGUUAAUACGACAUCGUUCGGGUAUGUCAAGAAUCAUAUGAAGGUUGUGAAUGACCAAUAGAGGAUUCGUCACUCUUAGAUAGUAAGAGAUUAUGAUCUGCAUUUCAUUCAAUUAAGUCGAUAACGAAAUUCUUGACCAAAGUGUACUUAUAAGUCGAAAAUGAGUUUUCGACUUAAAUUAACUUAAUAUUGGAGUGAAAGAUAUGAUCGAUAAUCGAAAUUGACACACUUUCAUAUCUCGUAAUUGAUUGGAUCAUAUUGACGGAGGAAUUAUAGUUUUACGGUAAACGAACGAGUUUGAUUUUGUCAUACCAGGUGACAUUUUCUGUUACAUGUAUUGCCCUGAUACAUUGCUAGAUGUCAAUUUGAGACGGCGAGUGUAAUUGAUGAUAAAUUAAAAAGGUGUUUUAAUUUAUCAAUUUUGAUUAGAUCAAAAUAAUAUUUCACGUCAUUAGGUAUCGUGGUCGCGAACCUGAUGGGUCGCACACAAAAGAGAAUUGAAAGAUUACGAUUUGUCAAUUAAUUAAUUUAACAAUCAUUGGAUAAAUUAGUUAAUUGGGUUGGUUAUUUAUAGGCCCGAAUUAAUUAAUUGAAUUAAUUAAUUCACGGACCGAAUUUAAUAAAAUGAAUUAAUUAAAUAUUAGACCGGGCUUAUAUAAAUACAUGGCUAGGGUUUUCAAUCGAUAUAUAGUUUUCUCAUAAUUUCUUGCUAGCACAAGAGGAGAAAACACUGGUAGCUGCAAUCUGUUCUCUGUGUGGAUCACCGUUGGAGGCUGGACAAUUGGACAGCUGUGGGUGACGAAUCAAGAUUGUUGGAACGAAAAGAAUAGCAAAGAAGUCUGCAAAUCUGGAAAAUGUACAAUCUUUUCACAAUUUCUAUCUAAACACAAAGAGAUUCCUAGUGGGAAUUGAAAUCUGUUUUAAUUUUCCGCUACGCCUGUUAAGUAGAUUCCCAACACCUCCAUGAGCUUUAUAUAUGAUGAUCAUUGAAGAUUAUCUUGGCUCCGAUAACUCAUCUGGUCGGACAUCGGAAAUCGAGUUAGGAAUUGUCCACCCAGUAUUCGGGUGGUAGUUGGGAUUUAACUCUUGACGUAACAUUUCUUCCUUCUGCCACUCCUCCCACUUCUUGGCCAAGCCAUCGCCUUCAAGCAUCCUGACAACGUCUGACAUCUUGGGACGCCCUGUAGGGGAACUUUGUGUGCAAAGUAAAGCCACUUGAAUCAACUGCUCCAUCUCUUCCUCAAUAUAAUUGCCCUGUAGGUCUGCAUCGACCAAAGUUUCCAACUUUUUCUGCUUCAAAAGUUCCUUAACCUAAAAUCCAAGUCCAAAGUAAAUGAAAUAAGUCCAAAAGGGAAAGCAUGCACAAAUACAAGUGCACAUUUUGUUGGUGGUAUUAAACAAGAUUUGAGAAUAUUAUGAACAAUAUUUAAGCUUCUUUUCUUCCUUUAUACUAUCCAAUCCUGUAUAGACCAUAACGGACUAGGGAUGGAUUUUAAGUUCGCAGCUCUGAGCACAAGAAUUUAAUGGAGCAAUGUAAUUUUUUCCAUCUAUUUAAAGGUUUGACGUUGAAGACUACACGACAAUCUCUUACUACCUAAUUGAAGGAUGCACAUAAAGGGAAAAUGAUAGUGCUCACCCAAUCUAGUAACAUCACAUCAUCAUUACUAGCAAGACGAGCCAGAUCAAAAACUCUCUGCCCAGUAAUGAGCUCAAGAAGCAUGGCUCCAUAUCCAAAAACAUCAGUUUUCGCGGAACAUUUACCGGUGGAGAGGUACUCGGGAGCUAUAUGACCAAUUGUACCAAUUACAGCCGUGGUAACUUCAGUAUCCCUACAGUCCAUUAAUUUGGCCAGCCUAAAGCCACCAACAACUGUUUCGAAGUUCUCAUCCAACAAUAUCUUUGCAGCUUUGACAUCACGGUGAAUAAUCUUAGGAUAACAAUAAUCAUGCAAAUAAUCAAGCCCCCUUGCAGCUUCCAAAGCUAUACGCUUUCUAAUUGUCCAAUCAAGUGGAGUUUGUGAUUCGAAUCGUUCUAUAAUAAUGCAUUAAUAAGCCAUUAGAACAUAAAUAACAAUAUAAAAUUAUGAAGUAGAGCCUUUCCAGAUACUACACUACCAAAUAUCAAUAUGGAAAUUUCAUGUUCAUCCACAUUAUUUGCUCCAUAUCACACUAUAUGAAAUUAAUUAUAAAUUUUUUCUUAAAACACAACCACAUUUAUCGUGACUUUAAUGGACGACUUUUUGGCAUCCACCAACACCAAUAUCGUUAUCAAACGAAAGACGCUUAAAUGUCAUUUUUAUAAUAAGUCAUCAUGAUAAAUGGUCAUUCCUUCCAUGCGCUCUCUCUCUCUCUCUCUCUCACACACACACACACACACAUUCACACAAACAUCUGCUUGUCAGCUUGGUUGAUCAUUGCAGUAUGAUAUAAAAAGGAAAGGGUUGAUGGUGGCAGAAGCAAAAGCAAAUUCACAUUGAUAAGAAGAUAAAUGAAAAAGAAGAAAAGGAAAUUAACCUGGAAUGAGAGAAAAAGAAAAAAGAACAAGUAACAAAUGCGAGGUAUGUGGCCAAUAGUUAGUGCCCCUUCCAUAUGAACAAUAUUGGUCAAACAAAGAGACAUCUUUUUAGUUGAAAUUUGUUGCAAGGGUGAAAGGGAAAUUGAGACGUUGGAUUCACCCCUUUGCCACAUAUUAAAUAAACGUGGAAACCUGUAGUGUCAUUAUAAUUACACCAAGGGAAGUGAUCACUUGAAAAGCUUAAAUUAUAACUUAAGCCGGUCGAAAUACUUUGUAUCCACAUUUUGUAGGACCCGCAGCUUGUAAGCACUACAUAUACUACAAUCAAUUAACUUAAAUUAAAUUUUAGUUAGCAUCUCAUGUAAAGAAUUUCUUAGUACUCUACAUCAAGGUCUCAAUAUUAUAUUAUUUUUCAGAUUAAGGUUAGAGUAUUAUUUUCACUUUCAAAUCUCUUUAGUCCUUAUAAAUCAAAUCGUGUUUCUAUAAAUGUCAUGCUUAUAAAUAUUUCAUUGCUUAAACUAAAGAACAUACUUUUGAACUGGAACAUUAUUAAUAGCAAGCAACAUUUAUGCACAGAACAUGUAUAUGUGACUCAGUCAAAUAAAGAAUAUACGAAAAUGAUAAAAUGCUGUACCUCUUAAGCAUGAUGCUACACUUCCAUUAGCCAUGUAGGGGUAAACAAGCAAUCGUUCUGUAGGUGUCAUGCAAUAGCCACGUAACCGAAGUAAAUUUCGAUGCACAGCCAUGCUGAUCAUUUCUACUUCAGUUUAAACUCAAGCUCUACACGCGCUGUAUGUUCUUCUUUUAGUCUUUUGACAGCGACAAGAGAACCAUCAGCCAACCGGCCUUUAUAAACUUUGUAAAAUCCACCCAUGUCAAGAAUAUUUUUGUUGAGAAAAUUAUUCGUUGCAACUUGAAGUUCACGUAAAGAAAAUCUUUUGAGCUGCCCUAGAUGGACUUGUGGAUCCUCCUCAGCUGCCAAUGAAUAGAAGAUAAUUAAGAACACAUUGUACUCAAUAGUCAUGAUAAACUAAAGCCUUCUUUAGGACCACUAACCAGGAACAUCAAAGAAUUGAACAGGUUGCUUCCUUAGUCGGUACCAAGCAUUUUUCUUGCCUGUAAUGUAUCAUCAAUUGAGUAAGAUUCUAAGUUAGUUCACAGAAGUAUUCUUCACUUUCUUAAUAAAAUAGUUCACAGAAGUAUUCUUCACUUUCUUAAUAAAAUUGUGCUGAAUGUUUGAUAGAUCUUAUGUUUUUAAAGCAUUAUAUAAACGAGCACAAUGAAACACCAAUCAUAAUCCAGUGAUGAAUCUUGCCUGAAAAGAAGACACGACAUUAAAAUAGAUGUACCUUGAGGGCGCGAGACAGGCUUAUGCUCAUGAGGAGGAGAACUCAAAGUGAACCUGGAAUCGACAUACGAAGAAAUAGAUCUAAAACUUAAUCUGGAACUGACAUUACUCAGGUCCAUCGAGGGGGCACCGGCACUUUCCCAAAAACUUGAUCUGGAACUGACAUCACUCGGGUCCAAAGAGGGGGCACGGGCAAUUUCCCGAUCCUUUUCUCUCCGUCGAACGGCUACAACCAACCUUUCCCAAUUGUCUCUACUCAUCGCCUAAUAUUGCUAUUUGGUUACAGCCUUUUAAGUUUUUAUUCUUACACUUAAUUUAAGCUCAAGAAUCUAUAGAUAUUUCAGAUCUAGAAUAGGACGCAGUGUAGACAUGGAAAAUGGCUUAAAGGAAGCUGGGGAGGUAAAUUAUGGAAAGUUUUGGAGUUCGAUGACUUGGUGUUGGUGGGAAAAUUGUUUUUAAAUUAUUAUCAUUUUUUGUUAGGCACAUGUAUUUGCUUUUCCAAAGUCAAUAGGCUUUCACUUAAUCUGCAGCUUGUUGGGCAAAUCGGCUACUUUUCCUUUUCUUGUAGUGAAUCGAAACGAACCAGAUUCUUAAAUCUCCAUGUUGAAAUCAAUGAGAAAACAAAAUAAGUGCGAAAGCGUACUUUGAUUCAUAGAUCUGUGUUUUUUGAAAUCGAUUAUGAUCUUCCAACUGCAACGUGAUUUCUUGAAAUCUGUUCUCUAUUGAUGGUGAUGCAGAGAAUUCUGAAACUCACGUGCAAUUGGAGGUCAUGACCCCAUAUUAAAUAAUUGAUUAUUAUCUUGCAUUUAUUUUAAAUUCGCCUUUCAUCAAUUUAAAAUAAUUAUUCUGGUCUAUACACUUUAAUCCUAUGAGAAUUAAUACCCGUUAGUCCAAAAUUAAACUUAAUGAAUCACCUUAUCGACUAAAACUUAAAGAUAGCACCACACAUUUUAAUAUAUAUACAUGUAUGGCCCCAUACGAUGGAAUUUUUCUAAUAAUCUCCCACUGGGUCAUACAUCUAAUAUUACAAAUGUGUGCAACUUUAUGAGCUCAAACUUUUGCUAUUAUUUUUAAGGGUAUUUUUAAACAUUCUCGUUCAUUAGUCAUAUUGAUGUAGGAUCAAAGCGAUUUUUGUCACAUUUGACGUGAUUGAAUCUAUCAAUGAUCACGCACACCCAUACAACCAAAUGACAUAUAUUAAUCAUGGGAGUGUAGCAAGGAAAUUACAUUUUAUGUGAUCCGAACAUGUCUAUUUUCAACUGGUCCUACCUUAUUUCUUAAGUGAGAUCAAUACUCAACAUAAUAACAAAGUGGAAUGAACUGAAUAGUUCAUUUCUAUACAGAAAAAUAUCCAACUACACAAAUAUGUCUAAAGUAAACAUAAAACAACGAGAAUACAAACUCCCACUAAAACAUGAUAUCCUCAAGAAAUACAACACUCAUGCAAACAGUGUGCUCAUGAAAGACCUUGGGUGGUAAUCGUUUAGUGAGCGGAUCCGUAAUCAUGGAGUUUGUUCUAAUGUGCUCUAUAGAAAUUUGUCCACUCUGUACUAUUUCCUUCACAACCGGGAACUUAAUGUCAAUGUAUUUUGAUUAGAUGAGCUCCUGUUAUUAGAAUAUAGAACUAUCGAGUUAUUAUCACAAUAUAACUUUAGUGGUCUUUCUAUUCCAUUCAGAAUGCGCAACCCAGUGACAAAAUUUCACAGCCAUAUUCCAUGGUUAGAUGCCUCAUAGCAUGCUACAAACUUUGCAGCCAUGGUAAAAGAAGCUAUGAGUGUUGCAUGGCAUUCUUCUAAGAAAUAGCUCCUCCAGCUAACAGAUAGAUAUAGCUUGAUGUGGAUCUUCUACUGUCUUGGCACCCAACAAUGUCAGAAUCGGAGUACCCUAUGAUCUCUAACUGGUCCAAUCUGCUAUAUGUGAGCAUAUAAUCCUUUAUCCUCUUUAAAUACCUCAUAACCCUUUUGACUGCUUUCCAAUGAUCCAUCCCAGUGUUGCUUAAAUAUCUACCUAGAACUCCUACAAUGAAUGCUAUGGCCGGACGUGUACAAAUUUGAGCAUACAUUAGACUCCCAAUAGCUGAUGCAUAGGGAAUCUUUUACAUUUUCUUAGCUUCAAUGUCAUUUUGUGGGCACUGUUUGAGAUUAAAUUUGUCUCCCUUAGUGACAGAGUGUCACCUGGUUUAUAGUCUUGCAUGCCAAACCUCUUAGGCACUUUAUCGAUAUAACUCUUUUAUGACAAUCCAAGAAUAUCUCGAGAGCGAUCCCGAUGUAUUUGAAUCUCUAUUACAAAAGAGGCGUCACCAAGAUCUUUCAUCUCAAAAUUCCUUGAUAAAAAUCUCUUGGUUUCGUGCAACAUGCCUAUAUCGUUAGUGGCAAACAGUAUGUCAUCAACAUACAAAACUUGGAAAAUAUGCUUACUCCCACUGAACUUGUGAUACACACAAUCAUCAAAAGCAUUAAUCUCAAAACCAAAUGAGACGAUUACUUGAUGGAAUUUGUGGUACCAUUGACAGGAAGCUUGCUUGAGCCCAUAGAUAGAUUUCUUUAAUUUGCAGACCAUAUUCUUCGGGUCUCUUGACACAAAGUUUUCUGGUUGCACCAUAUAGAUCGUCUCAUCAAUAUCACCAUUGAGAAACGCUAUCUUAACAUCCAUCUGAUGUAACUCAAGGUCAAAGUGCACAACAAGUGCCAUAAUUGACUUAAAUGUGGGAUCAUAAAAUUUAUAGCCCCUAGAUCGCUUAGAGUAACCAAUAAAAUAACUACUAACUAUUUUGGAGUCCAAUUUCUUUUCAUGUGGCCUAUAAGGCCUCGCCUCAGCUGGACAUUCCCAAAUGUGAAAAUGCUUUAGACUAGGUUUUCUGCCUGGUCAAAGCUCAUAAGGUGUUUUAGCAGCAGUCUUAGUUGGUACUCUGUUCAGAAUAUAAGCUACAGUCUUUCAUGCCUCUCCCCUAAGUGAUUUCGCAAGGUGGAAUGACUUAUCAUACUCCUUACCAUGUCCUUAAGAGUUCUAUUUCGUCUUUCAGCUACACCAUUCAUGCUAGGCGAUCCUGGCAUGGUGUACUAUGGGACGAUUUCACACUCCCUUGGAUAUUUAGCAAAUGGUCCUAGACAUUAUUCACCUGAACCGUUAUAUCUGUAGUAAUACUCACCACCACGGUCAGACCUAACGCUCUUUAUCCUUUUUGUUGAGUUGAUUCUCAACCCCAGCUUUAAAUUGAACACGUCCAGUGACUCAGACUUUUCAUGAUGAGAUAUGGGUACCCAUAACGUGAGUAAUCGUCUAUGAAUGAUAUAAAAUAUUGUUGACCAUUCCAAGAAGCCAUAGGAAAUGACCCACAAAUAUCUGUAUGUAUCAAUUCUAAGACGUCUGACGAUCUUUAGCACCUAACCUCAUUGUUUUGGUCUGUUUUCCCUUGAUACAAUCAAUACAUGCAUCAAAAUUUGUGAAGUCAAGAGAAUCCAAAAUACUAUUUGGCACAAGUCACUCAAUUCUAACUUUUGAAAUGUGAUCUAAGCACUUGUGCCAUAAUUUCGCUGAAUUUUCUUUAUUUAAUUUGCGUUUAAUUCCUCGGGAUUCAACAUGCAAGAUUUCAUUAAAUGAUAUGAUUAUAUCAAGCAAAUAUAGGUUAUCAUAUGCACAUAAUAAACCAGUACUAAUAAUAUUGGAAUUUAAUGAAAGACUAAACUGAUUGUUUCCAAAUGAACAACAAUAUCCAAAUUUGUCCAAUAGAGAAACAGAAAUUAAAUUUCGUCUAAAACAUAGCACAACAAAAGUGUCUUCCAAAUCCAAAUAAUAACCAGUUCCCAAUAAUAACCUAAAAGUGCCUAUUGCAUCAACUUCCACUGAUUUGCCAUCACCCACAUAGAUGUAUCCUUCACCAUCACUUGGUUUUCGGUAGCUUAGGCCCUGCAUAGAAACACUUAUGUGAGUAAUAGCACCAGAAUCUAUCCACCAAGUGUUUCUAGGUACUGAAACUAAAUUAUUCUAAGAACAGACUAAAGUAAGAAUUGUACCUUUCUUUGCAUGUCAUGCGUGAUAUUUGGCACAUUCCUUCUUCACAUGUCUAACCUUAUUGCAAAAGAAAUAAGUUCUUUUAUCUUCCUUCUGUUUCUUUUGUGCUGGACCCUUUAGAGCAGCUUCAUAUUCCUUCAUCUUUUUUUUGCCCUUAUCCUUAGAAGUGCUUGCCAAAUGAGCAAAUUCAAUUCUAUCUUGUUUCAACAUUUCUUCCUCUUGCACACAAUAUGAAACAAGCUCAUUUAGAGACUAUUUCUCCUUCUGACAGUUAUAACUGACCUUAAAAUGACUGAACUUUGCAGGAAGCGAGAUCAAUACCAGAUGCACGAGCAAGUCAUCAGACAGCUCAAGCUUUAGCCCUUUAAGUUUUGAAGCAAUAUGAGACAUCUCCAUAAUGUACUCCCUUAUGUUCUCCUUACCUUUAUACUUCUUAGAAAUCAAGCUUUGUAAAAGCGUGCUUGUUUCAGCUUUUUCAUUUGUCGCAAAAUGCUUUUCAAUUUCGGCAAGGAACUCCUUAGAAUUAGUUAUACCUUAGGAUACUGUACCUCAAAAGGCUUCCGAAAUGCCGCGCUUAAUGAUCAUUACACUCAUGCGAUUUGUGUGAUCCCAUGUCUCAAAAUUUCUCUUUUCAUCAGGAGAACUUUCUUUCGUAAGAGGAGUGAGUUGCUCAAUCUGAAGUGCAAUGUCAAGAUCCAUGCAGCCAAGAAAAAUCAAUACGUUCUCCUUCGAAGCCUUGAAGUUUGUCCCUUUAAGCAUGGGAAUGGAAUUGAUAUUAGCAGAUAUUGUGGUAGCAGGUGAAUUAGCUAUAGAGAGAACAAAAAUAAAUAAAUAAUCAUGCUCAUAUCCAUAUUAAAUGAACAAUAAAUUCAAAUAAUGGUAAGUCUCAUCUCAAGAUACCUAGAGCAACAUUAAUACCAAGUCUUUGGACAGUAAUAUUAAUUGCUAAUGGUACUCUUAAUACAGUGAUCACUCCUGUCAAAUAAUGAAACCAUCUUUGGAUUGAUUUAUUAUUCACAUGGAAAUCUUAAAAUUGUCACAUAUUUACCACCGUAGGUGUGCAUGUAAUUCGGCCAAGUAUUAACCUUCCUUUAGGCUGAUUAAUACCCGCAUGAAGAAGCACACACGUCAUCUAAACAUCCCAAACAAGCCAAUCUACACAAAAGAGGUCACUUUGGUGAUAUAUUGUUUCAAUUAGUUUAUUCAAAAUGUUAGAUAACUUUAAUUCAUUAUAAAUGAUUUACCAAAUUAUUUUAAUUUGAUUGUCUCACAUAAUUAAACCUUAAUUAUUCCUCUUAAAAGAGUCCUUAGUACCUUAAUUUGAGAAAGACAAUAAUUAAUUUUGCAUUAUUAGAUGCCUUUAGAAACUAUAGCGACCUAAGGGUUAAUAAUUUAAAACUUUAGGGAUCAAAUUUUAAAAAAUUCAAAAUUUUGGGGGCCAAUGUUAAUUAAUUAUAAACAUUGAGGGCUUUAAUUGAAAAUUUCAGAACAUUAAUUGCCCAAAUUAAAUAAUUUUCAAAAUAUAAGGGUUGAAUUAUUAAACCCGUAACCUUAAAAUUCCAAUUUGGAUGGAUCAGAAACAUUGGGGACUGAAAUGUAAAUUUUUAUUUUGAAAAAAAUUCAUUAACCCUAAUUUAAAUUGCUAGCAAGGGGCUGAGAUUAUCAUAUUUGCACCUCAGGCCCCAUCCAAAAUCCAUCCUUGAAAAUCUCUCUCUCAAAUUAACAGCGCCGACGAUCAGCGCCGGUCAGGAGUAGGUAGGUCGGCGCCAACCGACAACAACACCGGGCGCUGCCGCAAAACUAAGCAGCUCGCUGCAAUUGUUGGCGACAUACCAGCCGCCGGCCAUAUAUAUAUAUAUAUUUGUUUUUUUUAAUCCAAAAAAAAUUGAAAAUCAGAAACUGAUUUUAAAUUUUUUUAACCCAGAUCUUGAUCCAGAAAAUCGAAUUACCCAAAAUUUACUUCCAGAUCUUGUAUAAUAAUCAUGAACAAUAUACAAAAUAAUGCUCUUGAUUCAACAAAUGACAGAUCCGAAAGAAUAACCAAAAAUAAUAUCCCAAACAACUUUCAAAUUCAACAAAAAUAUAUUCAAGGUUGUCAAAUCUGAAAAUUCUUAAACAAAUAUUGCAAGAUCUUGAUCCAAAAAAUUAAUCCGUAAUAUAAAACUGUAGUAACAUUAAAUCUUGCAAUUUCUCAAAGAAUUCAACAAUGGAGUGGCUUUGAUACCACUUGUAGUAAAUCGAAACGAACCAGAUUCUUGAAUCUCCAUGUUGGAAUCAAUGAGAAAAUAAAAUAAAUGUGGAAGCAUACCUUGAUCCAUAGAUAUGAGUUUUCUGAAAUUGAUUAUGAUCUUCCAACUGCUACAUGAUUUCUUGAAAUACGUUAUGUGUUGAUGGGGAUGCAGAGAAUUUUGAAAGUCACGUGUAAUUGGGGACCAUGACACUAUAUUAAAUAAUCGAUUAUUAUCUUUCAAUUAUUUUAAAUUGGCCCCUCAUCAAUUUAAAAUAAUUAUUCCGGUCUCUACACUUUAAUCCAACGAGAAUUAAUCCGUAAUAUAAAACUGUAGUAACAUUAAAUCUUGCAAUUUCUCAAAGAAUUCAACGAUGGAGCGGCUCUGAUACCACUUAUAGUAAAUCAAAACGAACCAGAUUCUUGAAUCUCCAUGUUGAAAUCAAUGAGAAAAUAAAAUAAAUGCGGAAGCAUGCCUUGAUCCAUAGAUCUGAGUUUUCUGAAAUAGAUUAUGAUCUUCCAACACUAGGUUUCACAUGGAACCGUCUAGUCUAUUUCAAUUAUGAGUAGAUGAGCCUUCUAAAACAAAAACAUGCGCAGAAACCAAUUGUACACUCAGCCCAAAGGAGGUGACUUAGUGAGAUCAAAACUCAUUGAUUCAUAAUGAAUAUUGAAAAAUGAUUGUAUGGCUCCAUUUUUGUGAAAAGAUGUUUUUAAUAGUGAUUUUUUGAGAAAGUGUAGUUAAAAAGUUAGAAAAAAUUUUAGGUGUACGUGCAAAAUUAUUUUACCUGAAGAAUGUACGAUUCAAAAUAAAGUUUGAGAAAAAAUGAAUAUUUACAUAAUUGGGCUCAAUAAUUGGAAAAAAAUUAAAAAAAAAAAUCAAUGUUUCACUUUAAUUUUAUCGAAGACAACUAGGGAUUACAAAUGUAGCCACUCCUUAAUUACUAAAUAAAGGUCAAACAAUUAAAAGAAAGACAAUAAUUAAAAAGUAACACUUGGUAAAAAUCAAAUGAAUAAAAUAUGGACCAUCCAUGAAACUCCAUAAUCCAUAGACUAAAAAUAGUAGUUUUUUUUCAUGUUAAUAUGGUUUUAUCAAAUUUCAAGUCGAAUACAGUUAUCCCCUACAAUGGUAAAUUUGGUCUCUAUUCAUUUCUGUACUUACUGGGUUUUUUGUUUUGUUGAAAUACUCAAUCUUAUCUCGUCGUUAAUUUGGACAAAACUUAUGCUUCAAUUAUUAAUCAAAUUUUGUAUACACUCCAAUUUAUGAAUUGUUAGUGCCUUAUUUCAAAUCGGGCGUGCCAAACAAGUUUGUUAAGAUUAGUUAAAUAUCUUGGGCCAAGUUAGUGGAUUCUUUGCUUUUAUUUAUUUUUAUGCGCACAAAAAUGACGACAGUCGAGAGAGAGAGAGAGAGAGAGAGAGAGAGAGAGAGAGAGAAGACAUGAAUUUGCGGAUACAAGAGGGACAUGAUUAUACAGGUAACAAAAAGGGGAAUACACACACACACAUAUAUACACAUAUAUAUAGUAAAUUACACCCGUAGUGGCAUGAUAGGGAGUUUUGGGGUAGGUUUUUAAAAGUAUUGACGGUUAAAUUACUUGUAAUUUAGCCCCCCUUUUUUUAACUGCAUAAUCAUGUGCGAGAGAGAUUUUUUCUUUUUUCUUUUUUUUUCUUUUUCGCUCUUCCCUAUGUCUUGUGUCCACAAAUUCGUGUCGUCUUUCUCUUCAUCCAGCCUGUAAUUAAAGCAAAGAAUUCUAAACUUCGCCCAAGAUCUUUAAUUAGUAUUAGCAAUCUUGUUUCGCACGCCCGAUUUGAAAUAAGGCACCAAUAAUUCAUAAAUUUAAAUUGUAUACAAAAUUCGAUUAAUAAUAGAAGCAUAAGUUUUGUCCAAAUUAACGAUGAGAUUGAGUGUUACAACAAAACAAAAUACCCAGUAAGUACAAAAAAUGAAUAGAGACCAAAACUACCAUUGUAGGGGAUAAUUGUAUUCGACAUGAAAUUUGAUAAUGUAUUGUGUGAAUUUUUGGUUGAAAAAUAAGAAUGAAAAAUAAAUUAUAGUGAAAUAAAUGGAAUCAAAUAGGGGCUUAAUAGAUAAUGAAAGAAAAUAAAUCCAUUAGAAAAUAUUGGCUAGCAUUAAUGUAGCUUCUCAUGGAAACUACUUGUUUAUCUUGAAAUCAUAGUUAUUAAACUCGGACUAGACUGGCCGGUCCGACCGGAAACUCGGUGAACCGGACCAUGGUCUGGUCCGAGUCUCAUGAGGGGACUAUUCAGCAUUCAAAUCGAUCUAUAACCGGAUGAAGCAGAAUAAAGAACUGGUAAACCGGUUUAAAUUAACUCGACAGUUUACUGUAAAUGACCCAAUUUCGAUGAAAUGGGGAAUUGAUCCCUUGAUUUUUAGCAAUCAACACUCGUUACGGACAAUUGGGAUACAAUUGGCAAUUGUCUUAAUGCUUCAUACUAUAAUAUAUAUCAUUUGUUUUCAAGAAUUUCAACCAUUCCACUAAACUUCUAUUGCUAAUAGAAUAACUUAAAAAUCUUUUAUAAUAUCAAUUGUACGUAAAAAUUUGGAAGAAGAUGUUCAUUAUUUUUGUGAAAUAUAAUAAACUAUUCAAGACUUCUUUAUUAUUUUUUUAAAAAAAUAAAAAAUAAUCGUCAUUCACAAAGUAUAACCCACAGUUAUUAAAAUCGGAUCAGUCGGCUUGUACCGAGAAUGGUUCAAACCUUGGCUUACAAGGUUAUAUUUCAUUUCCUCUGAGAAAUUUGUGAUCUUUGGUCAUAUAUCAGGAGUCAAACAUAUAUAUUUAGAUUUAGCAAAAUAGUUUUCCUUUUACUUCAAAAAUACAUUUUAAUUAAAAUUGUAAUUUAACAAUGACCCACCGGUUCAACCAUCGAGUCACCGGUUGAACCACUGACCCGAUGACCCUAUAAUUUUUUCGGGUCGACUAAUGGUCCAGGUUUAAUAACUAUGAUUGAAAUUCGUGAUAAAUUGAAAUAAAAAAUUGCUUCAUUUUUCAUUAAGGUAUAUAGAUAAUUUAAUAUCAAAUUUACCAUUUUUGUAAGAGAUCAAAAUUAGACACUUUUCAAUUGAUACGCAUGAGAUUAGACAUCAUUGUAAAUUUCCCUUUCUUUCCUCCUUAUUUCUGACACUAAAUUGACAAAAAUCUGUUAAAGUGAACUUGGAAUUUGUUGACGUUGAAUUGACAACAAAAUCUGUCGAAGUGAACUUGGAAAAGUCAAAGAUGCAUGGCUUUUGUUUGGAACAAUACGUGCUCACGUAUCAAGAUAGGGAUAAAAUCGGAAGUUGCCCAUAUACAUGCAUAACACCAUUUGGACUAGCUUUCACAUGGUGCACCAUGUGAUGUGAUAGAAGAAUACAUUUUUUCUACGGUAAUGGCGCGCAAACGAGGGUUAAAUUUUAAAGAUCAUUAUAUGGAUUGAAAUAAUUUUGGACGCAUGUGGUAUAAUUGUCUUAACGAAUAUUUGUUGAAGGGAUAUUAUAAAAAUGACGAUGUUUGGCCAUAUAUUUUCAUAAAGAAAACAAAUAUUGGAUUUACAAUUGUGGCAGUUUAUAUUGAUGAAUUAAAUUUAAUUGAAACUUCUGAAGAACUAAACAAAACUGUAUAAUAUUUGAAAAAUGAAUUUGAGAUGAAAGAUCUGGGAAAAACCUAAUUGUGUCUCGGAUUAUGGAUUGAACAUUUUUCAGAAAGAUUAUUUGUUUAUCAAUCUACUUAUAUAGAAAAAAUAUUUAAGCACUUUUAUAUGGAUAAUGCACAUCCAAUGGAAUCAAGGUUGUUCAAUCACUCGAUGUGAAAAAAUAUCAAUUUCAUCCACUUGAAGAUGGAAAAAAAAUUUAUUGGUCCCGAAAUACUAUAUCUUAAUGCAAUUAAAGUAUUAACUUAUCUUGCAAAUUGCACUCAACCCGACAUAACCUUUUUUUUUUUUUUUUUUGUCUUCAUACAAGAUACAGCUUAACACUAACUCAAAGAUAUUGAAAUAGUGUUGAACAUAUUUUUUGUUAGCUAAAGGGCACUAUUGAUUUUGGAUUAUUUUAUUUUCAAAAGUCGAAAUCUACUUUAAUUUGAUAUGCUGAUACAGGUUAUCUCUUUGGCCCACAUAAAGCUAAAUUACAAAUAAGAUAUAUGUUUACGCAUUGAGAAACAGUCAUAUCAUGGAGAUAUAUGAUGCAAUUCUUGAUAGCAUCAAAGGAUAUAAUAUAAAGAAUUAAUGAACCUCGCGAUGAAGAUGGGUUUGUCGGUUGUAGUGGAGGUGGUGGAGAUACUGGAGCAAGUUUCAAGUUAGGAUUAUUGUUGAAACUGGAAGAUAGGAACUCGGGAAUCAGAACAAGACCUCAAUGAUUGAUUUAGUCUAGCAUAGAAAAGACAGAAGUAAUUGCACUAAAAUUGAUGGACCAAGCUGUGUGCACAGCAUGACACAUAGCUCGGUUCACAGCACUCUCACAUCGGGGGUAGUGCCAAUAAAUAUAUGGCGCGAGCCCCACAGCACAGUGAGGGUGCUGUACAAUCAGUUUUAUCUAAACUCGAUAGGUGUGAAAAGUUGAAAGGAGUCAUUGAUUGGAACCGUCCCUGAUAAAUUGUUAUUUGACAGAUCACUGUAUUCAUACAUGAAAAUGAUUAUUAGUCUGCCAAAAACAAGAAGCAAAGAAAACCACCAGUGAUAAAAUAAAAUCUAUUAAUCCUCUGCUUACAGGACUUGAAGGGUAGUGAUGUUGGUCAGAGACAUAGGAAUAGUUCCAGUCAAAGUGUUAUUGUUGAGCCUCCUAUGUAGUCAAUAAACACACACAAUUAGGUUUUGAAGAAUCUGAGCAAUUAAUUACAUAAAAAACAGCUUAUCCAAAGUAAUCUGAAAAUUUCUCAAUAAUUAGGAAUGAACCUAAUCAGAGGGAGCUGAUGCAUUAAUACCCUCUUCACAUAUAAUUUGUCUAUUGGGCAUUAAUAUUGUAGGAGCUGAAAGAUUCUCGCAUUGUCCAAUUUUUCACUUGGUAAAUUGUAGGGGCAUGAUAAUUGUAGCAAUUCUCAAGAGACAGAACAAAAUUACUUUCAAAGAAGAGAAAAAUAUAGGAAAAACAAUUAGGAACUCUUCACAGUGUUCAUAUUGGGGCUUUCAUAAACAACUAUCUAAGGCCAAUUUGUAACCUUUCUCAAUGGCAAAAUCUUCAAUUAAAGAAAAGGAAAGAGACCAAAAAAUAUAUAUUUAUAUAAGAAACCAAAAAGUCGUAUCACGUAUAGGAAACGUAAUCUCUGAAGCUAGCCCAAGGUCGUGAGGAUGGGACCACUAAAACUGUUCGCGUAAAGACCAAGCUCACCAAGUUUGAUAAGUUCCCAAGAUCAAUUGGAAUUCCUCCACUUAUGUUGUUACUGGAAAGUUCCCGGCCAUAUACAUAUCAAAAAAAAUAAAAAAGGAGACGUACACAAAGGUUAAGAUGAUAAUAUAUAAAUUAAGCCCUUGUUUGAGCCCUUUUUUUUGGGAUUAAAAGAAUUUAGAGUAGUGAUUUUUUGGACAAAAUGAGUUUUGGAAAAAUAGAGCUCGAACAAGGGCUAAAUAUCACUAAUAAAAAGAGCAUCUUGCAAAAAUUAUUGGUGCAGAGAAGUAGACAUGUAAAUUUAAGGUCUCUCAAAUGUCUAAUACGUGAGGUAGCUAAUAUUCAGACUACGGAUCAACGAAUAAAAUGCUUUAACAGCAUUACAGUUUAGAGAAACAAAUAAAUUUCUAAAUAUAUAAUUAAAGCAAUAAUUGGUUAACUAUAACUCCGAACAAUAUGUUUCAUAAAAGUAGGUUGUUUGAUGCAAACUUGUUUCUUUUAAUAUUGUGUGAUAUUAUAAAGUUUAUCUUACGAGAUUAUUCAUAAAGUAUGAUUACGUUCUUCUAAUAUCCCACUAAUUUUCUCCGGGUGCUUGUUAAUCAUCGCCCGAGUGCAGUAAUUAGAUAAACAACAAAUUUACGAUCAUUUUUUGGCUAAUUUUGGUGUGAUAUAUUAAAAUUUGAAGGUCAAAUUUGAUAGGUUGGGCUAAAUAGAAUGAUUGAAUACUAUUAUGAAAAAACUAAAUUUUGUUGCCACUCGGAAAAGAAAGAUGAUCAACUUGAAUUUCACAAUUGAAACUUUUAGAGAGCAUUCAAUUAAGUCAUUAUGCUAAUCAUAAUCAUUGAAUCUACCUUAAAUUAAGGUCAAAAAGUAAAAAAGUAUAAUCACCAGAUUUGGUGGGUAAUUAUUUUUGCUUUUUCAGUAAAUUGACAUGGGGAAAGAUACAUUUUUAUGUAUACCCUGCAAAAUUGUAAAUAUAAGCACAGUGUCCCAAGAAUAUUUUCCAGCAAAGUACAACAAAGCUUCGUCCUUCAAUAAUUAAAUUAAUGUGUACACUGAAUAAUACUAGAUAGGAGAGAUUUUGAUAAGAACUUUUAGCUUAAUACAUAACACGUUAUCACAAGUCAUAACUAUGGCCUAAUCUUGUAAAAAGACUUGGAUAUAUAAAAAAUGAUCUAAAUCAACUCAUGGUAAUAAUUUUAAUAUCGAUCUCACAUAUUAUUAGUCUAAUAUAUUUAGAUAAAUAGAAAAAUGCAAGAGUGAGACAAGAUUUGGUGAUUACACUAACUUUUUAUAUUUGGACUAAAAUUGGACUAUACCUCAAAAAUAAAAAUAAAAAAUUCACAAUUUUUCCCAAUUCCCAUAAAUGAUCAAACAAAAAAAGGUUGAAUUCCAAUCUUGAGGGCCCCCAACGCCCUGCCCCUGAAGCAUCGUGAAGAAGGUAAAUCGCAGGAUGUGCCCCAACAAGUUAGGGAACAAGAUCUUACCUAUACACUGAUGCCCACAAAGAGUCAAAUUUUAUAUCUCAGCAAUCGAACCCUCACACUACGACUGCCAGCACGAUUAAGACUAUCUCACUCCUGUCUUUUGCACCACUGAGUUAUGUCCCCGAGGGCAAAGAUCAAACAAAGUUACAUGCAUUGAUUGUUUUUACACAGUACAUUACAAAUACCACUUGUCCUUUUCAUCAUCAUUUGAGGAAAGGGACAGAACACGGGAAAUUAAACCCUUUUUAGCUUCCUUUUUUUUUUUUUUUUUUUUUUUUUUGUAAUACGGUGAUUAAAGAAUGUAAAAUGUCAGUGAAGGGAUAAAAAUAUGUAAGAAAUAUUCAAAUAUUUCAUCUCUCAUCUGUAGGUCGAAAAAUGUAUAAUGUGAAUCCAUAGUAAGUGAUACAGACAAGAGUGUAAACAAAUCAACAAGAAGGUAGUGGAAAAAUGUGAAUGACAUGAUUAUGUUUUUCAAAGCAUGACUUACAAGUACUGCAAAUUCGGGAGCAGAUCGAGCACCAGAACCAGUUGACUGGACAAAUUUACGUUUCCGAGAUCACUGAGCGUACACAAAAAUAAUUUCCAUAAUUCGAGGAUCAUGUUAAUACUAAAAUGCAACUCGUGUAGCUAAUUAUGGAAAGGACAAAUCAGUUUCACACUCUAGUAACACUAUUGUCACUGUUGCAUGUAAUAUGAAACCAAGUGCAAUGAUUGACGAGUGUAGAAUCCCAGCUCUGAAGAACGUUGUUAGGAUCUGCCAAGUUUGUCUUAAAAGCAUUCAAGGCAUCGCCUGUUGCGCGUAAAUCAGUUAGCAAAUAUCGAUGACCAUUUUCUUUACAAAUUUAAGUUAAGCUACUACCGAACAAAUCUACACAUUUAUUUGCAAGGCCAACAAAAUAUGAGUUCACUAGUUUAUGAAAAUUCGCCUCAGACGCACCGCACAAAUGUUUUUCUUCAUUGUUACAAUGGUCAAGUCAAGUCAACAGUUAAACUUUCCUGAGCAGAACAAAAAAGGAGGAAAUUUUCCAAAGUUACAGCUAAGAACGAAUCCCCCAACUUUGUAAAUGGAAACUUAAUAGGUCUUCAAUCUAUGAUUUGAGUUUACAAUAAACAAGAAACAGGCUGGAAACAUAUCAAUUGCAAUACAGUCAAACUCAAUUGAAGCAUAAAAAUCACUUCAGUUGAAAUACAAAACAGAAGAACAGACGUUCAACGUUGCCAGAAACCCGUGAAAAUUGCGAAAUCCCGAAAAUUAAGGAGAGAAACUCAGAGAUUGUGAUUGCAAACACCGACUACUCCAUUAUCAUUUCACCCCAACCUAUCACUUAAAAACCUAGAUUCCACAUUAAAAACCUAUAUGUUUCCCCAGUCCCCACUACUAUACUAAACUAUGCAGUAAUUGAAAGGAACCAAAAUAUUACCAAAUCCUUUCACAAAAAAUACAUAAAUCCUCCAUGUUGAAAUCAAAGAGAAGAUUAAAAGUAGAAGCAUACCUUGAUCUAUAGAUGUGAGCGUUUUCAACAGGUUAUGAUCUUCCAAUUGUUACUUAAUUCCCUUGGAAAUUUUUCGCUGUUGAUGGAGAUACAGAGAGAGAUGAAAAUCACGUGUACAAGGAGAAAUCUCAGUUAAGUUUCUCCUUCAACAUAAGCUGUUAUUGUUAAUUUCCUUAAGAUCUUUGAGGCUUGAAGAUUUUGUCCUGAUGAUUUCUGGUAAACUCAAGUCCAAAAUAGGUGAUGUCCUCAUCAAACUCUCAGUUAUAUUAAUCGAAUUCUUUCCUUGUAUUUGUUGAUUGUUUGGUUAGAGAAGAUUUUCUCAUAAAAAUAAGCCUCUCAAAAAUGGUUGAUGAAACUUGUACCUCCACUUCAUUGGCCAAAUGAUUAUAUGCCCUCUUUCGUAAUAAGGCCAUCACACUGCACUUUCUUAUGGGUUUGCCAGAUCAACAACAAUGAAAAUGUGUUGUUUGGUACCAUCAGGAUAGAAACGUGUUUUUGGUGAAAUGCUGCCUUAUUAUUUUUCUUUCUAUCUUUUGUAUAUCAUCAGCUGAUUGUGAGAAUAUAGGCACUAAACCUUUGUAUAUAUUUCUGGCAUUCCCUAAUAUUUAACCAACUCAUGACAAUAAUUUGCAGUUCGGAUUCAUGGGAUGUGUUGUUCUGCAACCUGUUGGAAAAUUUGGAAUAAUUAGUUGGUCUGACCAACUUUAGACCAAUUAUUUAGUGGGUCCUGUUAGUUGGAUAAAUGAUUUCUUUGGCUAAGUGCAUCCUACUCCAUGAGUAUAAUUGAUAUAUGUAUUUUUUUUUCAAAACUAAUUAAGGGUGAAUGAGAAAUUAAAUCCAAAAUAGGAUAACUUGAAGUUGAAAUAAAUUGGAAAUAAAAAAUUGGUGGGAAAUUGGAAAGUUUCAAUCCCACGUAGGAAAACUAGAAGAAUAGAAACCACUUUAUAUCGCUCAACUUUGGGAUUUGCGUUUGGGCCCUAAGGUGCGCCACUAGUCUUUGAAUGGAAGAGAACCUACAUGCUAGUAGGUUGAGCUAAAGCCCACACGCGUCCAUCAUGACCGUUCGAUCGGCCGGCUCAACACGCGCACAGGUCGUAGACGUGGGCAUGGGCCCAGUUAGUAUAUAUAUUUUUGGUACAAUAAUAUUUUAAUUAUAUUAUUUUAUUAAAUUAAAUAAUAUAUUUUAAUUAUAUUAUUUUUUCACUAGAUUUUUUGUGUGCAACACGUGGCUUCUUCUAUAAUUGACGGUUACUGAUAGUUUUAAUUGCCUAUCCAAACGAGUUGUGUCUGUUUCAAGACACAACUUUUCGAUUGUUGUGUCUUUUGGGCAUAACCUUUCAACUUCUAUAAAUAGACCCCCAUAUCCCCGUUUUUGUUCAUUCCAAAAAAAUUUUCUACGUUAUAUUAUUUUUUCCCCAGAAUUUUUUGUUCGCGAAACGUGGCUUCUUCUAGAACUGAUUAUUGCUAACAAUUUUAACUGCCUGUCCAAACGAGUGUGUCUGUUCCAAGACACAACUUUUCGACUGUUGUGUCUUUUGGGCAUAACCUUUCAACUUCUAUAAAUAGAUCCCCAUUUUUUUUCAUUCCAAAAAUUUUUCUACUUUUCUCUCGCAAAAUACUGUCAUUCCAUCCUGCAGUAUUCCAUAUUUUUAUUUCAGUCCAAAAUAAUAAUUUUGUACAUUUUAGUCCUUUGAUUUUGGAGAGAUCAAAAUAUUAGUAGGUUCGUCGAAUUUUGUAAUUUAGAGUGCUACUAUUACAAGUUGAGGUCGUUGUAUCUUGAGAGACGAAUGCCAAGAGACCAUCAGCACCAGUGCGGGGCAUUGUCGCUUUAAGAAGAAAGAGUCGAACUCUUAUCUCGACCAUUAUCAUUCUAAUUUUAUUACGCUCAUUUUGUAAGUAGAAAUUCUGCCAAAGUGUUUAUUCGCUACUUAUUUAUAUAAAUUAUUGCAUGGCAUUCUCAAAAUUUCUUCAACACAACCAUGGUUUGAGAAUAAUUUUAUCUGUACCGAAUUGAGGGUACGAAAAAGUUGUCCCCCCUCUCACAAAGCAAGCGGGUCCCACGUGAAUAUAAAAAUUCCCAAAUAUGGUCCCCACCCUCUAUAGUAAGUAGUAGGUAAAGUAAUAUGUUAUAAAAUCAUGUACAUGUAGCAUUGUCCAUGAUUUAAUACUCUUCCUUAAAUUCUCAUUGUCCCUCUUUCGCGACAUUCUCUGCAACAUUUUUAUUGAUUGAAUGCCAAUAGACUUUCUAAGAUUUACUAGCUAUUUUCUUUAAUUUAUGUCAUCAUUACAUGGUUAAUUGGUUUUUGGGAUAUGACAGGCUGAGUUCAAGAGAGUUGUUUCACCCUUGAAGUACCAGACAAGGUAUUUAGCUGAUUUCCCAGUCAGCAAGGUUUCUUAGUAAGUUCUAUCUGACUCUCUGUGACUUGAGUUUAUUCUGUGGAUUAUUUUUAAUCUGCUGCAGUGUUUUGUCAUGUGACGUUCUUAUCUUGUAUUGGUUACACAUAUUUUGCCAGCUUGAUUUAAAAUGUAGCUUCUCAAGUUGUGCCGUUCAUAGAUACUAGAAGAUCUUUAAAUAUUUUUUAUGCAUAUACUUAAUUGAAUACCUCUUGCUUGAUUAUAGCUAGAAUGGGAGUUCUGCAGGAACAAGUACUGACAUUAUCAAGGAUAGUAAACUGAAAUUCGGGGAUACUUCCAUUUGUAUGCAAAUUUGAGAUUCUCGGUGUUUGAUUGAUAAGUGAACGAACAGUGAGAAGUAGAAUUUCAAAAUAAUUUGGAUGAAUAGAUUUGAUGUCAAGGAUUGCAAUUAAGUCUUAUAUGUACUACUUUGGCAAACUUCCUUAUGAAUCAAAUAUAUGCAAGGAAAUAGCAAGCACACUUGCUGCUUAACCUACCUGGUUUCCACUUCACAUUGUACUAGAUACUUUUGAGCCUUUUGUAGAUUCUGAUAUUUUCCACAUUCAUUUCUUGAACUUACAAAAAGAAAUUGCAGAGGGAGAUCUCUGCACUUUGGCAGUCCUAAGAGAAGAUAGAAGAUUGUCUCUUAAUCUCUCUGGUGUUAUUUGCUUUCUCUCUUCCGUGCAGCAUUGCAGGGUUUAAUUUUUAAUAUGAUAACAAUUGUGGGUGUUUUGCCUCUUUGAUUUGUGAAGAAAUGUUUUUUUUUUUAAAUAAUUUUUUCUUAUUUGUAGAGAAAUGUGCAGUAGUCUUCUUAAAUAUCUAAAUACAAAGAGGAAAAGGAUGCAUGUCAUUGGAGCUUGCUGUCAUCCCUCUUGCUCCAUCCUCCCAUUAAUUUUUACUUCUUUUCCUUCUUUCAUUUUCAUUCUUUUCGGUUUUUUUUGUGUGAUGUGGAGGGAUAGAAAUUGUUAGCGUCUUAAACUUUCUAGCAAGUCGGAUUCUGGAUUUUGCUUGUAUCUUCUUGAGUUUAUGUCGGUGAACAUGUAUUGUGUAUACCUAAAUCAUUAGUGUUGUAUGCUAAAGUUUAUUCAGCCAACAUAGUCCGCAAGCUUUCAGAAAAGAAAGUAUAAAAACUUUCUUGGGACUAGGCAACCAUAGCUCGGUUUGUGGAUGGAAUAUGUAUCCUUUACCUAAAGUUGAUCUUUUGGUUUUUUUUGAAGCACUAUCUAGAGAGAGCACCUUUUUAAGUUUUAUAAUUGAAAUAAAAGCAGAAUUUUUCUGUGCAUUUUUAGCAUUUCAUGAGAUCAACAAAUGGGAAGAAAAAUAAUGAGGUGGAAUCUCUUAACGGCCUCUUGUUAGAUGGAGAAUCAUUCUAUUUUUUCUUCUUAUGUGAUUACCGUCAAGAAUUGUGGGUCUGAAAAUAAUUAUUAUUUUUCCUUAGUUUUGUCUGUAUGUUUACCAAUCUGGUAUCUUAAGUAGUAUUGAAUUAUAACUUCACUAAAUUGUCGAGAAUCAAAUCUUAAAUUCAUGGCUAAUUGUAUGCUUAUCUAUAUGGGGUUCAUAAAUUUCUAAUUAUCUCCAACUUCUAAAAGAUUUAUUUAAUCAGUUUAGCUUUUAUGUUAAGAGGUUCUUACUUCCUAAUUAUUCUCAUUGACUACUUCCCAAAUUAUGAUCUCAAUGCUACAAGAAUUUUAUGUUAUUGUGCUAAAAAGUUUGAUAGAAUUCGUGUUUCUUUAUUGAUGACCUGGAUCUUAUACUCUAUGCCUUGUCUCAGAUACAUUACACAUUUGCAACGUUUGGAUCUGAUGGAGCCUUCAACUUUUGGGACAAGGACAACAAACAGAGGCUUAAGGUAUUAUGGAAUCCUUCUUGUCAAGUCUUGGAAAUGCUUGGAGUUAUCAUUGUAUUCUCAAUUGCAUUGUUUCGCAUGCUCAUGAGUGUUCAUCUUUUCACUGUGUUUCUUAGGCUAUGUCAAGGUGCAGUGAGCCCAUCCUUGCAGCACUUUCAACAACGAUGGCUCCAUUUUUAUGCAUAUUCGGUGAGCCUUUGUUAACAUGUCUAAAUAUAUAUUAUCUGAUGUUCAUCAUUUUCUAAAUCAUAUUAUUAUUAGGGAUUGUUGUUUCCUAGAGAAGAUUGGUGCAUAGAAAGAUAUUUUCUAUGAUGUUGCAUCAUUGUUUUAUGUCUGCAAUCAUGAGAUGGAUAUUUCUUUUACUUCCACUGCAAUCAGCUUGAGGAAGUUCUAACAAUUUGUGUGGAUGCUGAAUUUUUUUAACGAUUAUAAUCCUCAUUAAUCUUUCUCAAUAUAACUAACCAGAAAACUUUCAGAUGAGUUACUGGGCUGUCCUAACUCCGAAAUUAUCUUCUUUUCUGAAAAUUUUGCCUGAAUAUUUUGUUUUCAGGUUGUUAUGAUUGGAGCAAGGGUGCAGAAAAUCACAAUCCGGCAACAGCAAAACCACAUAUCUACGUGCAUUUACCACAGGUCCUUUUCUUAACUUUUUGAAUCUAUUUUUGGAAACGUUUUACCUUUGACAUUAGAGGUGCUUUAAAUCCUGAACACACUAUGUUUUGUUGUUUGAGCAGGAGGCUGAAGUCAAAGGCAAACCAAGGAUUGGAACAGGAGGUAGAAAGUGAAUCUUGUCAUCCUAGUUUGGAGAAGGGAAAUUUGGAGAUGUGGCCAAAUCUGAAGGGUGGAUUUGAAAUGAGUCUACUUUUAAAAACUUCAAAAAUGGCCACUUUUUUAUGCAAAAUGUCAUAGAUGCCCUUCUGUAAAAGUGGCCACUUCUUCGUAUGCUCAAGAUUUCAUAGUACUUUGUAGUUGGUGUACAAAUUUUGAGAGUAACAUAUUAGUUUCCAAGAGAAGUUGUUAGAUGCAAUUUUCCAUAGGAUAACAUCAGUUAGUACCAAAAUAAUAAUAAUAAUAAUAAAUUAAAUUAAAAUAUAUAUAUAUAUAUAUAUAUCAUCUUUCUUGAUGUUUGAACUAUAUUUUCAACUAUAAUAAUCUCUUUUUUUUGGGGCAAAAGUAUGUAGUUAUUUACAAAAAAAGUUAGAAUCCUUGAACAUGGAGUUACACGUUUCUUGAAAAUCAUCUUUUUUUCUCCAAAUACAAAAAAGGACAAAAACUCUAAACCCACGCUUUUUAUAUAUUACAAUGGUGCAUUGUUCUAAAAAGCGUAAAACGUGAUCAGGCGUGAAGUCGAAGCUUCAAGCUUUAUGAGCUUAAGCGAGCCUAGGUGAGGUUUUAGCUUAAAAAAAAUGUUUUUUAAUUUAUAAUAUUAUUUUAAAUUUUUAGUCAUUUUAAAAAUUUAUUGAAUAAUUAAAAUAAUACAUAUUAAACAUCUAAAAUUAUCAAAAACAAUAUUUACUUAAUAGCUCCUACCAUUAGUCAAUUAUACAAUUUUCAUGUUUUUGAAAUGUAAAAUUAGAAUAUUUUUCAUAGUUUCAAUUUUUAAGUAGACAAGUCCUACUUAGCACCUAUUUGAGGGGCAUUAUUUCCUCAUAAAAAUGGCUUUUUGACCAUUGGUGUACAAUCUUCCAAGACUUGGUGAGAUGCAAGUCAAAAAUAAGGGCUGUAUGGGAUCUAAUAACGGUUGGAUUUCUUUUGAAAAUGAGAAAAUAAUGCCCCUCAAACAGGAGCUUAAUAGAUUUAUAGGAACUUCAUACAUACUUUUGAAAUUUGUAAUAAAAUGAGUCUAAAGAUCGUACUUAAUAUAUUUAUGGGAACUUCAUACAUGCUUUCGGAGUUAAUAUUAAAAUGAGUCUCAAGACCGUAAUUACAUAAUGUAGAUAAUACCAAAACUUAAAUCUUAUUUAACUAUUUAGAUAAAGUCAUUUUUAACUUUUGUACAGAUAAAAUCUUUUAAAAACUUGAAAUUAAAGCCAAAUGACAAGUUUAAAAAAAUAAUAAUAAUAAUAAUAAAAGCUAAAGUCAAUUAGUCAAAUAAAAGAAUUUUAAAAAAAGACUAAUAAAGCAUGUCUACAAAUGACGAAAGAAAUGAAGGAAAAAAUUCAACCAUUUAGAAUUUGGAAGGAAAAAAAGUGUCUAAACGUGAAAGAGUCGUUUUGCCCAAGCUUUUAGAACAUUGCAAUGGUGACAUUCAAGAAAUUGUAUUGGUGAAUUAUAGAAUUUGACGUUUUGAAUGGUAGAAUUCUACAAAUAACACAGAAUUUUACAAUUUUACAAUUCAACUGUUAAUUGUAGAAUUCAAUGAUUCUUCAAUAACAUUAGUUAGAUUUAUGUUAACAGAAAAUUGAGAAGAGAGAAUGGAGCUUGGUCUAAGUUGAUUCUUGAUAUGUUUAGGACUUUUUGCAUCUAGGAUUUUGUAAGCAGUGUUGGGCAAGGCGGAGAGAGACAAAAAUGAAAGGAUGAUUUUUGAGUCUGAGAAAAAAGUUGAGGGAUUUAGGAGAGAAGGUGUUUAAAAAAAACUGAGAUUUGGCAUUGGAAUUUGACUUUUUGGUAUUCUUGAAUCUGAUUCCUAUCGUAUUGGAGUUAUCCUUUCAAUUUUGAUUUAAAAAAUAACAAUAAAUAAAUCUUUAUAUCAUUUAUGUCCGUUGGUCCUUUUCAUCUUUUAUUUUUUUGAUUGAAGUCUCGAACCUUUAAAUUAAUAUGUAAUGCGAGGUCCUUUGAACGGUUUCACUAAAAAGACCGUUAUUGACUUACAAGUUACAUAUUCACCAAUAUUUGACCAGUUUAAAGAGGAUCUUUGCAUCUUUUCUCGUUUAAAACAAUUAAAAUAUUUCAAAAAGAAUGGGAGAAAGGGGCCUAAAUAAAAAAAAUUAAAAAAUGUGUAACAAAAUGAUUUCUUCUCCACCUAUCCCCCCAUGCCGCCGUAGCCGCCGCCGUCGCCCACUCUUGAACGAAUCAAUCAAUUAAUGCAAGAAGAAAACCAUUUUCUUUGUUUUUUAAUUUUUUUGUUUAUACAUUUUUAUUUCUUUUAUUUCUCCUUUUUGAAACAUUUUAAUAAAUGAGAUAAUACAUAAAGUGUUGUAAAAUGGUAAGUUUAUUAUUAAAUGACAAAUGUACUCCUACAAUUCUAAAAAUUACUUUCAUUGUAUCCCUGAUUCUUACCUAUAAAUAUAGGACUUUUAUUCUUUAACAUACUAAAAUUUAUUGACUUUCGUUCUCUCUUCUCUUUUUAUCUCUUUUUAUAACACGUUAUAAGCACGAAAGUUUAAUUCUCCAAAGUUUAAUGAAUGUAAUAAUUUUUUAAGCAUAAUUAUCUAUUUUAUGUACCAAAAUUAAUUUGGUUACAUGUGAAUUUUUUUUUCAUACAACACACAAAUUUGUAAGGCUGGGCAAAUCUCCCGAACCGAACCGAACCCGAAUUGAACCGAACCGAACCCGACAGUUCUUGUCAAAUUAAAUACCCGAACGGGUAUCUGAAUUGAGAACCGACAGGUACGGUUCGGUUCUCGAUUCUAGACCAAGAACCGAAAAACCGAAUAAGAACCGAAUAUUUCUAAUUUUUUUUAUAUUGAGUAAAUCAAAUUAUUUUAAUUUUAAUUUUUUCUAAACAAAUUAAUGAUUUCUAAAUUCAAAUUUUUGGCCAAAUAAUUUGUUUCAUUUCUAAUUUUUUAAUUUUUGGCCCAAUUACCCAUUUUAUUGUUUCAUUUCUUAGCCAAACAAGAUCAAAUCCACUAAAUAACCCUAAACACCAACACUAAAGUGCAUAACGUUGUCUUGACUCUCGCACUCACUCUCGCAGCCUCGCUAAUAUUCCAAAACCUAUACAAUCAUCAGCCGACACUGUGACCUCCGAUCGAAGCUAUGACCUUCGCCAACCGAAGCUUUGAUCGUAACGAUCAUUUGAACAAGGUAGUUUACCAGUCUCUGACAUUCCAAAACCAUUGAAUGUAUCAUUAGUUGUAUUUAUAUAAUGUUGUUAUAAAUGUUAAAAAAAUUUAAUUAUAGUACAGAACCGAACGGACCCGAACCGAACCGAACAGAACCGAACUCGAACGGUUCUAUAAUUAUAUUUGGACCCGACGGUUCCAUUUACUAGAUACCCGAAAAGUUCGGUUCGGUUCGAUUUUAAAGAGAACCGAACCGAACCGACCCGCGCCCACCCCUACAAAUUUGUGUGCAUCUAAACCUUUUGCCAUAAUAUUCAUGUACAAUCAUACGUAUAGCUAACACCUUCAAGCUGUAACCAUCCGCUUCAAUCAAUUUGGAUUUAUCAAUUUAUUUGCAUCAUCAUAUGUUUCUUAUAUUCAUUAUUUUCUACAGCUGCCGCAAUAACCCUGAUUUUGAUUCUUGCGUGCCGUUUGCCUAUAUCAAUUAAUUAAUUAUAUUUUCCUUUAAUCUUGCUACAACCAUUUACAUGUGUUUGUCGAAAUCAAUUUAUGUUUGAAGUUUUUUUUGCAUGUUUGGUAAUUAAUAAGUUUAUAUCAUGUCUAUGUGGUAAUUAUUAUUUUUAAUCCGGUUAAACAUUUUUAGAUGUUCUUCUAUAAAUUUUAAGUUGAUAAUUUAUCAUAUUGUUACUCCUAAAAUAACACAAUAUUAUAAUUAAUAUUAUUGAAGAAUAUUACUUUCUCCUAAAGAGUAUAAAUUAUAAUUUUUAAUAUUUCAGAAGAAUAUUGGUUUAUUGCUUUUGAAGAAGCAAUAAUAAAAUGCAACGUGCUUUCAAAGUAGUACAACUUUAUGAUUAAUAUUAUUGAAGAAUAUUACUUGUUCCAAAAAAUUAUAAAUUAUAAUUAUCAAUAUUCCAAAAUAAUAAUGACAUAUUGCUCCUGGAGAAGCAAUAGUAAAAUAUAACUUACUCUCAAAGUAGCACAUGUUUUGAAGAAUAUAUUAUUUUAAAUCAGUGUUUAAUGUUUAUCCCUGAAAAAACUCGUAGCUUAUGUCAUCUUGAUAUUAAUUGAUUAACUAUGAUGUGAUGUUUAAUUAUAUUUUUUGAAACAAAUUGUAUUUUCUUUAUUGUGCAGUUAAUCAAAUUGCAAAUAUUACAAAACUUGUGUUUGUUGCACUUGACAUAUCUGACAAAAAAUAUCUAUCCUUGAAGUUGACAUUCAUCUUGUCUCAAAAGAUUUGUGAGAGACAAUAAAAGAGAGAAACAAAUAAUCCUUGCAAGAUCGUACAAAAACACUCAUCUUCUUUCAUCAUCAUCUUCAUGAUGGAUUAAAAAUUGAAUAUCUCACGUAGAAAGAUCCAGAAUCCUCUAUAAAUGAAUGCACAUUCGUUUGCAAAACUUUAAAACUGUUAGUGAGUAUCAUUUUGAACAGUUCAAAAUAUUUCAAAAUUAAUUGUGGAGAAAAAAUCACUGGUGAAAAUAUGUUGGAGAAAACAUUUUCCACCAUUCAAUCCUCGAAUAUGCUCUUCCAGAGCAAUAUUGUGAGCGUGGUUUCAUAAGGUACUCUAAACUCAUAUCUUGCAUGCUUGUAGCCGAACAAAAUAAUGAACUGUCGAUGAAAAAUCAUGGAUUAUAUCUAACUAGUUUUGUACCAUUGACUGAAGCAAAUGAUACUCGUAGCCUAAAGCAAAUGCAAUAUCAAGACAAAGACGUGGAUGUGUACGUGAAAUAAGUCAUAGACGAAAUAAUCAACAAAGCUAUCAACAACAAGGCAACAAUUGUAAAAGGCACAAACAAAACAAAACAAAAGUAGCACAUCCAAAAAGGAGCAUGAAAAAGUUGUUUUAGAUGUGAAAUGAAAGGGCAUUGGACACGUAGCUAUCGUACGACAAAAUAUUUUGUGGAUCUUUACAAAAAAAUCAAUCAAGAAAAAGGAAAUAAUGGGAACGAAUUUUACUGAUUAUGAUGGUCUCAUUAACAUAAUUGAUUUGGAUGUUUUUUAUUUCUUUGCUGAUCCAAAUAGAAAUAUUGAUAAUUUGAUUGGGAGUGGUGUGAUGGAAGAUAUAGAUUAGUUUAUUUCCUAUGUCUCUAGUAUUUUCCUUUAUUUUAUUUCAAAAAAAAAAUUGAAACUUUACUAUGCUUCGUCAAUUUCACAGUAUUGAAUUAUGUUUACCAUUUUAAAUUUAGAUUCAAGCUUUUAAAUAUAUCUAUUUUGUUAUAUUAUAGAUUCAUGAUGGAUUGUUAAGAUACUUGCUUGAUUGAUAUUGCAACUAUACAUACCAUUUUUCAAGAAAAAAAAAUAUUUUUUGAACUUAAAAUUAGCAGAAAAUAAUUUAAUAUGAUAUCACGUGCAUCAUAUAUUGUUGAAGGCUCCAGAUGAGUUUGUAUUAUUUUAUUAAAGAAUACAAAAUUAUAUAUUGACGAUACACUUUAUUCUAGCAAAUCCAAAAGAAAUUUGCUUAGCCUCUAUUUGAGCCACAUUAUAUUCAUAAGAAUACAUUUUUGAAUAGUGUAUUGAUGGAAAAUGUGUGGUUAAAAAAUAAAGAAAAAAAUUGGAUUUAAGUGUAAUAUUAUUUUAUUGAAGAAUGUGAAAUUGAAAUGAUGUCAAAUCACUAUUUAAGAAUAUAUUUUUUUGAAAAAAUGUGGCUCAAACAUAGCCUUAGUUUUAAAGAUAUCCGCAACAAUGGAUAUCACAUUGAGAUUAUAUAAGAAAAUAAUAUUAAAUAUCUUUGUAUAACUUCUUUUGUAUAUGGAAAGAAGCGGAGAAAAGAAAAACUUCAUGCACUUAUAUCUGGCAUGUAUUAUACAUUUAUAAAAAUGUUGAAUCAAAUAUUAUAAUGAACCAGAAGUUCGUUGAUCCAAAAAAAUUUAUACUUUGAUAUGAUCGACUAGGCCAUCAAGGAGCUAUAAUGAUGGGUCGAAUAAUAAACAACUUAUAUAAACAUCUUUUAAAGAAUCAUCAGAUUCUUUUACCUAAUAAUUAUCCACGUGUUGCUUGUUUGUAAAGUAAGUUAGUCAUUAGACCUUCGACUAUAAAAGUCAAUAUUGAAUUUUCAACUUUUUUAGAAAGAAUGCAUGGAGAUAUAUGUGAGUCAAUACACCCAUCAUGUAGACCAUUUCGUUAUUUUACGGUAUUAAUCAAUUCUUCUAUUAGAUGAUUACAUGUUUGUCUACUUUCUACAAGGAAUAUAGUUUUGCUAGACUACUUGCUCAAAUCAUAAAAUUUCAAGUGCAAUUCCCUGAUUACCUAAUCAAGAGUAUUCGUCUUAACAAUGCUGGUGAAUUUAGAUCACAAGUAUUCGAUGAUUACUAUUUGAGGUCGAUCAUCCAAAGCAGGAAUGGACCUAAAAAGUCAAGUCAUAUGAGUAGGAGGAUCGUCAAUUGGAAUUGUAAUUGAAAUUCAGUUGGGCAUGCCCAUACACAAAUAGGUUAGUGAGUCAUUUAUUAUACGUCUAUAAUUUAUUGCUAGACCAUUACUUAUGAAAACAAAACUCCUAAUUUCUAUUUGGGCUCAUGCCAUAUUAUAUGUUGCGUCAUUGAUUCGUAUUAGACCAACUACAUAUUAUCAAUAUUCGCCUUUCCGACUGGCAUUUGGUCAAAAACUUGAUAUUUUUCACAUAUGAAUUUUUUAUUGUGCUGUCCAAGUUCCCAUUUCCUAAUGAAGACUUGGGAUUAUGUGGGAUUUAAUACAUCAUUUAUUAUUAAGUAUCUUGAAUCUUUAAUGGGUAAUUUAUUUAUUGCACAUUUUGUAGAUUGCAACUUUUCCAGCUUUGAGAGGGAAAAAACAACAUUCUAAAAAACAAAAUGAAAUUUAUUGGAAUGAAAAAACUCUAUCUUACUUUGAUCCCUGCAUCAAUCAAUGUGAGCAAGAUGUUUAAAAAAUUGUUCAUUUGCAAAGAGUUGUAAAUCAAUUACUUGAUAUAUUUGUUAACACAAGAAAAGUGACAAAGUCAUAUAUUCUAGUAGAAAAUAUUACGGCAAAAAUUAAUGUUCCUGAAGGAUAAUCUGUUGUAGCAAAUGAAUCUCAAAUACGCCAUAAGAGUGGUAGACCUAUUGGUUCAAAAGACUUUGUACCUCAAAAAAGAAAAGUAUAAGAAAAAACCAAACCAAAAAUUUCAAAAGAAGUAAUAUUAGAAAAAAAUUGAUCAAACAAAUAUUGAAAAUGUGGACCCUGAAGAAUCACAAGUGUCUAAAAAUAAUGAGAUUUUAAUAAAUUAUAUGUUAUUUCAUAAAUCAUGGGAACGAUAUAAUUUUGUUAUAAACAAUACUUUCUCCUUCAACAUGACUCUUGAUAUUAUAUAAAAUGAGGAUCUUGAACCACAGUGAAUUAAAAACUGUCAAAAUAGAAAUGAUUAACAAAAAUGGAAAGAAUUCAUAUAAGUGGAAUUGAAUACUUUAGAGAAACAAAAAAAAAUGUUUAGACCUAUAGUUUGAGCACCUGAAAAUGCAAUCCCUAUAAGAUAUAAAUAGGUUUUUGUAUGAAAAAAAAUGAAAUUACAAGAUAUAAAGCUUGAAUCGUAACUUAAGGUUUCUCACAAAGACCAAGUUACGAGGAAAUAUAUUUUCCCGUAAUGGACACUAUCACUUUUAUAUUCUUAAUUAGUUUGACUGUAUCAUAAAAGUUUGAUAUACGUCUUAUGGAUAUAGUAACUGUUUAGUUGUACGAUUCACUUGAUAGUGACAUAUAAUGAAAGUCCCCGAAGGACUUUAAGGUGACAGGAACAAACGAUAUAUGUCCCAGAACCAUGUUCUCAAUUAAAUUACAAAGAUCAUUAUAUAGAUCAAAACAAUUCAGAUGCAUGUGGCAUAAUCGCUUUAGCGAAUAUUUGUUAAAAGAGGGUUAUUUUAUAAAAAAAACAAAUAUUGAAUUUACAAUUGUGGCAAUUCAUGUUGAUAAUUUAAAUUUAAUUGAAACUUCUGAAGAGCUAAACAAAACUGUAUAUUAUUUGAAAAAUGAAUUUGAGAUAAAAGAUAUGGGAAAAACUAAAUUCUAACUCGAGAUACAGAUUGAACAUUUUUUAGUAAGAUUAUUUGUUUAUCAAUCUAUUUAUACAUAAAAGUCUUAAAGUGAUUUUAUAUGGAUAAUGCACAUCUAUUAACAUCAUUUAUAGUUGUUCGAUCACUUGAUGUGAAAGAAGAUCGAUUUCGUCCACUUGAAAAUAAAGAAAAUAUUCUUGAUCAUGAAGUAUCAUAUCUUAGUGCAAUUGGAGUACUAACUUAUAUUGCAAAUUACACUAGACCCGACAUUUUUUUUUUUGGUCUUCUUGCAAGAUAUAAUUCUACACCAACUCAAAGACACUGGAAUAGUGUUGAACAUUUUUUUAUAAUUAAAGGGCACUAUUGAUUUUUGAUUAUUUUAUUAUCAAAAGUCGAAAUCUGGUUUAAUGGAAGAUGCAGAUGCAGGUUAUCUCUCUGACCCACAUAAAGCUAAAUUACAAAUAGAAUAUGUAUUUACACAUGGAAGAACAAUUAUAUCAUGGAAAUCUGUGAAACAAUUCUUGACAACAGCAUUGUCAAAUCAUUUUGAAAUUAGUGCAAUCCAUGAAGCAUGACGAGAAUGUAUAUAGUUGAGGAACAUGACCCAUCAUAUUCAAACAUCAUGUGGAUUAACUUCAACUAAAGAUAGUACAAUAAUUUUAUAUGAAAAUAAUGCAGCUUGUAUUGCACAACUCAAAAAAUGUUAUAUUAAAUGUGACAGGACAAAGCAUAUUUUCUUAAAUAAAUAAAAAAAAUUCUAAUACUUGAGCUUAAAAAAAAUGGCGACAUCGAUGUUCAACGAAUUCGCUCAAGUAACAAUAUGGUCGAUUUAUUCACAAAAGCACUGUUGAUAUCUACAUUCAAGAAAUUAGUUCACAAGAUUGUAAUACGUCGACUGAAAGAUUUUCAGUGAUCAAUAUGAUAGGGAGUAGCUGUACUCUUUUUCCUUCACAUAGGCUUCAUUCCACUGGGUUUUUCUAGCAAUGUUUUAAUGAGAUAGCACUCGAUAUAAAUUUAAAGGUUUGAGACUUUAGAGACAUAAAUUUUGGAUCUUUUGAGACCUUAAAAUUGUCCUCCUUAAAUUAAGUAGGUACAUUCCUCACAAGCCUUUAAUGGCCAGUUUGGACGACAAUGGAGAAAAAUGACCACUCUUUUAAAGGAAAACAUUUAGUUAGGGUAACCAAUAUAAAAUACAAGUAUGAAUAAAAAGGGCAAAAAAGUCGAUGGAAUUUAGGUUCCUUUCCAAAACAAUUUUAGUUCAUAUUAUUUAAAAAAUGAUCCUCUAGCCAAAAGUUAUAAAAAGUAGCUAGAUGUCAAAUUGUUUGGACAUUUUCUCCAAUUUCCUAUUUGGAGAAUGAGUACACGUGGAACUUGUUGUUUCGACUUUCAUUUCGAUGAACAACGUCAUGAAUUGAGAGUCUUGAUAGUGAAUGAUGUUCUUGUGUUACUAGAACUGCGGAUUUAGAUAUUCUUUAAGCGAUUAAACUCCCAAUAUCUUGAUGCAUAUCAAAAAUAAAGAGCUUAUUGUUUUGUAUGAGGAAAAAACAUUAAUUUUCCAUCAUAUCUGAUGGUGUUCUUGUGCUUCGAUCUUAUAUUUCUAUAACAUUAUUGUGAUUAGAUAUUCUCAAUUGCCACAAAUGCUACACUAGCCUCAUUAUAUAGUAUCUAAGCAAUCACUACUAGAUGGAAUUGAACUGUAGCAUGAAUAAAAUUUAGCUCCCGUUUGGUAGCCAUUUUUUUCAAAAUGCAUUUUUCUCUCUUUUCUUUUCAACCAAACAUUCUUUAUUAAAAUAAUAUUACACGUAAAUCAAAAAAAUUUCCUUAUUUCUCAACCCACAUUUCACAUCAAUUUACUAUUCUAAAAUGCAUUUUUACAUAAAAAUGCCUAUCAAACACUAAACUUUUUUUUCUUAUUUAACGAAGUCCGUCUAGUCACAUCGAAUACUAUCCACCAAACAUGCACUUAAAAGGAGAUAAGUUGAAACUUGAAUCUCAUACAAAAUAGAGUGAAGAUAUAGAAUUAAGCUAAAUGACCACAUUUGUUGACGCAAAGGUUGACACGCCUCUCACAGCCAAGGUGUGGGUCCCGCGCCAAUAAAAUAACGCCGACCUUCCCAUGUGAGUGUGUUGUAUCAACCGAUGUGUCAACAAAUGUGACUAUGUAGCAUGACCCGAAGAUAUAAGUUUUCAAGAAUAAAUAAGCAAGCAAUUCGUCGGUUGUGGUAAUUCUGAUUUUUUUUUUUUUGUUUUUAUGCUUUCACUAUUCAAUACGUAAAAAGAAAUGUACAUUGAUAGAGACUUCCAAAGCCAUUUCUGCUGCUUGCACAAGAAAAUGUCAAGUGGUGACCUACAAACAUCCCUGCGUCAUCAGAAUUCCGUAACAUGAAAUAAACUGGAACCUGAACAAAAAUCGAAAAAUAUAUUAUCUUGGUCAUUGAAGAUUAUCUUGGUCCGGAUAACUCAUCUGGUAGGACAUUGGAAGUCAAGACAGGAUUUGCCCAGACAGUAUUCGGGUGGUAGAUGGGAUUUAACUCUUGUCGUAACAUUUCUUCCUUCUGCCACUCAUCCCACUUCUCGGCCAAGCCAUCGCCUUCAAGCAUCCUGACAACAUCCGACAUCUUGGGACGCUCCGUAGGAUAACUUUGUGUGCAAAGCAAAGCCAUUUGAAUUAGCUGCUCCACCUCUUCCUCAAUAUAAUUGCCCUGGAGGUCUGCAUCGACUAAAGUUUCCAACCUUUUCUGCUUCAGAAGUUUCUUAACCUGAAAUCAAAGUCCAAAGUAAAUGAAAUAAUAAGCCCAAAAGGGAAAGCUUGCAAAAACACAAGUGCACGAUUCAACAAUAUUAUGAAUAAUAUUUAAGCUUCUUUUCUUCCUUGAGAAUGUCCAAUCCUGAAUAGGCCAUAAAGGACUAGGGGUGGAUUUUAGGUACGCAAUAAUGGAGCAACGUAAUUUUUUCCAUCUAUUUCAAAGUUUGAAGUUGAAGACCACACAAGAAUCUCUUAUUAUCUAAUUGAAGGAUGCACAAAAAGGGAAAAUGAUAGUGCUCACCCAAUCCAGUAACCUCACAUCAUCAUCAUUAACAAAACAAGCCAGAUCGCAAGCUCUCUGCCCAGUAAUGAGCUCAAGAAGCAUGACUCCAUAUCCAAAAGCAUCACUUUUCUCGGAACAUUUACCGGUGGAGAGGUACUCGGGAGCUAUAUGACCAAUUGUGCCAUAUACAGCUGUGGUAACAUGAGUAUCCGUGUAGUCCAUGAGUUUGGCCAGCCCAAAGUCACCGACAACUGCUUCAAAGUCUUCAUCCAACAAUAUGUUUGCAGCUUUGACAUCACGGUGAAUAAUCUUAGGAUCACAAUGAUCAUGCAAGCAAGCAAGCCCCCUUGCAGCUCCCAAUGCUAUACGCCUUCUAAUUGUCCAAUCAAGUGGAGGUUGUGAUUCAGAUCGUUCUAUAAUAAUCCAUUAAUAAGCUAUUAGAACAUAAAUAACAAUAUAAAAUUAAAAGUAGAGCCUUUCCAGAUACUACACUGUCAAAUAUCAACAUGGAAAGUUCACGUUCAGCCACAUUAUUAGCUCCAUAUCACAUAAUGUGAUAUUAAUUAAAAAAUUUUGAUUAAACCACAAAGACAUUUGCCGUGACUCUAAUGGACGACUUUUUGCCGCCACCAACACCAAUAUCAUUAUCAAACCAAAGACAUCUAAAUGUCUUUUUUACUAAAUCAUCAUGAUAACUGGUCAUUCCUUCCAUGCUCUCUCUCUCUCUCUCUCUCACACGCACACACAUCUGCUUGUCAGCUUGGUUGAUAUGAACGGGAAAGGGUUGAUGGUGGCAGAAGCAGAAGCAAAUUCACAUUGAUAAGAAGAAAAAUGAAUUGGAACAAAAGGAAAUUAACCUGGAAUGAGAGAAAAAGAAAAAAAAAAGAAAAGAACAAGUAACGAAUGCGAGGUGUACGGCCAAGAGUUAGUGCCCCUUCCAUAUGAACAAUAUUGGUCAAACAAAGAGACAUCUUAUUAGUUGAAAUUUGUUGCAAGUGUGAAAGGGAAUUGAGACUUUGGAUUCACCCCUUUGCUACAUAUUAAAUAAAUGUGGAAACCAGAAGCGUCAUCAUAAUUACACCAAGGGAAGUGAUCAUUAGCAAAGCUUAGAUUAUAACUGAAGCUGGUCAAAAUACUUUUUAUCCACAUUUUGUGGGACCCGCAACUUGUAAGCACUACAUUUACUACAGUCAAUUAACUUAUAUUAAAUUCUAGUCAGCAUCUCAUGUAAAGAAUUUCUUAGUACUCUAGAUCAAGGUCUCAAUAUUAUAUUAUUUUUCAGAUUAAGGUUAAGAGUAUUAUUUUCACUUUCAAAUCUCUUUAGUCCUCAUAAAUCAAAUCGUGUUUCCAUAAAUGUCAUGCUUAUAAAUAUUUCAUUGCCUAAACUACAGAACAUAUUCUUUAACUGUGACAUUAUUAUCAGCAAGCAACAUUUAUGCACAGAAUAUGUAUAUGUGACUCAGUCAAAUAAAGAAUAUACGAAAAUGAUAAAAAGCUGUACCUCUUAAGCAUGAUGCUAGAUUUCCAUUAGCCAUGUAGGGGUAAACAAGCAUUCGUUCUGUAGGUGUCAUGCAAAAGCCACGUAACCGAAGUAGAUUUCGAUGCACAGCCAUGCUGAUCAUUUCUACUUCAGUUUGAAACUGAAGCUCUCCACCUUGUGUACGUUCGUCUUUUAAUCUUUUAACUGCGACAAGAGAACCAUCAGCCAACUGGCCUUUAUAAACUUUGCCAAAUCCACCCCUGCCAAGAACAUUUUUGUUGCUAAAAUUAUCCGUUGCAACUUGAAGUUCACGUAAAGAAAAUCUUUUGAGCUGCCCUAGAUGGACAUCUAGAUCAUCCUCCGCUGCCAACGAAUAGAAGAUAAUUAAGAACACAUUGUACACAAUAGUCAUGAUAAACUAAAGCCCUCUUUAGGUCCACUAACCAGGAACAUCAAAGAAGUGAACAGGUUGCUUCCUUCGUCGGUACCAAGCAAGCGCUAUUGCUGGAGCAGCAAAGAGAAGAGCCGCUCCAGCAGUAACUCCUGCAAUGGCCCCAGUUACACUGUUGCCAACUGCAGCAGUAAUCAAGUUAUAAGUCUGUGCAACUCAAACAACUAAUUAAAUGGUGAAAUGUGAGUUUGACAAAAUUAAUAUAUAUAUAUAUAUAUAUAUAUAUAUAUCCUUGACCUUAUCAGUCCUACAGUCAAAAAAAAAUUUCAACGCAUACCAAAUUAAAAAAAUGUGAUGAGCAUAAAAAUAUGAUAAAAUUCUAUGGUUCGAAAAACAGGAGAACAAAAUUAUUAAAUAUAUGAUCCAGAGAUCACAUUAAAUGGAAAUACAAAAAGUAGACAGUAACUAUUUUAUAUAUUCCCGCUAGUUAAUGAGAGAGCAUUUCCAACUUCUGAUCUCUCUUAUGUUCAUAUUCACUAGGUCAUACGAGCAAGGCUUAUCUUCUUAAUAUGCUAUUGCCAUGAGCUGGGCAAGGAAAAGAAAUUAUUCAGGAAAAAAAAUGGAUAUAAUAUAAAGACUUAAUGAACCUCGCGAUGAAGAUGGGUUUGUCGGUUGAAGUGGAGGUGAUGGAGAUACGGGAACAAGUUUCAGGUUAGGAUUAUUUUCGAAGCUGGAAGAUAGGAACUCAACAGUCAGAACAAGACCUCAAUGAGUGACUUAGUCUAGCGUAGAAAAGACAGAAGGAAUUGCACUAAACCUGGUAGGUGUGAAAAGUUUAAAGGAGCCAUUCACCGUAACCAUCCCUGAUAAAUUGUUAUUUGAUAGAUCACUGUAUUUAUACAUGAAAAUGAUUAUUAGUCUCCCAAAAACAAGAAGCAAAGAAAACCACCAGGGACAAAAUAAAAUCUACUAAUCCUCUACUUACAGGACUUGAAGUGUAGUGACGUUGGUCAGAGACAUAGGAAUAGUUCCAGUCAAAUUGUUAUUGUUGAGCCUCCUAUGUAGUCAAUGAACACACACAAUUAGGUUUUGAAGAAUCUGACCAAUUAAUUACAUAAAAAAAACAGUUGAUCCAAAGUAAUCUAGAAAUUUCUCAAUAAUUAGUAAUGAACCUAAUCAGAGGGAGUUGAUGCAUAAUACCUUCUUCACAUAUAAUUUGUCUAUUGGGCAUUAAUAUUUUUAGAGCAAAAGAUUCACGCAUUGACGAGUUUUUCACUUGGUAAAUUGUAGGGGGCAUGAUAAUUGUAGCAAUUCUCAAGAGACAGAGAACAAAAUUACUUUCAAAGAAGCGAAAAAUAUAGGAAAAACAAUUAAGAACUCUACACAAUGUUCAUAUUGGGACUUUCAAAAACAACUAUCUAAGGCCAAUUUUUAACCUUUCUCAAUGGCAAAAACUUCAAUUAAAGAAAAGGAAAGAGACAAAAAAAACAUAUUUAUAUAAGAAACCAAAAAGUCGUAUCACGUACAGGAAACGUAAUCUCCGAAGCUGGCCCAGGGUCGUGGGGAUGGGACCACUUAAACUGUUCAAGUUAAGAUCCAAGCUCACCAUGUUUGUUAAGUUCCCAAAAACAUUUGGAAUUCUUCCACUUAUGUUGUUAUUGAAAAGUUCCCUGCCAUAUACAUAUCAAAAAAAUAAAAAAGGAGACGUACACAAAGGUUAAGAUGAUAAUAUGUAAAUUAAGCCUUGUUUGAGCCCCAUUUUUUGGGAAUUAAAAGAAUUUGGAAAAGUGAUUUUUUGGAGAAAAUGAGUUUUGGAAAAAUAGGGCUCAAACAAGGGCUAAAUAUCACCAAUAAAAUGAGCAGCUUGCAAAAAUUAUUCGUGCAGAGAAAUAGACAUGUAAAUCUAAGGUCUCUCAAAUGUCUAAUACGUGGGGUAGCCAAAAUUCAGACUACAGAUCAACGAAUAAAAUGUUUUAACAGCAUUGCAGUUUACAGAAACAAAUAAAUUUCUAAAUAUAUAAUUAAAGUAAUAUUACUACUUCUCUUUUGCAUCAUCAUUUGAGGAAAGGGACAAAACACUAGAAAUUAAACCUUUUUUUAGCUUUUUUCCAGUAAUACGGUGAUUAAAGAAUAUAAAACGUCAGUGAAGGGAUAAAAAUAUGAUCUUUGAUUAAACUAAUUUAAAAAGAACCAAAUAUUAAUAGCUUUCAAAAUAUUGAACAUAUAAUUUUCCACAGAACCUCACAGUACAGUCGGCAUCUAAAUAGGAUAUUGAUAUGUUCUUUUGAGGGAAAUCUCAUAACUAGAUAAAAACCACGAAACAGAUUGGAGCAAUGACCAAGAUGUGUCCUUGACAGUUCAAAUUCUCCUUUUGGAUUAUCAACAGAAAAUAUAAGAAAUAUUCAAAGAUUUCAUCUCUCAUCUGUAGGUCAAAAAAUGUCUAACGUGAAUCCAUAGUAAGGUGACACAGAUAAGAGUGUAAACAAAUCAACAAGAAAGUAGUGGAAAAAUGUGAAUGACGUGAUUAUGUUUUGCAAAGCAUGACUUACAAGUACUGCAAAUUCGGGAGCAGACCGAGCUGCGAAACCAGUUGACCGGACAAAUUUGCGUUUCCGAUAUCACUGAGCACACACAAAAAUAAUUUCCAUAAUUGGAGGAUCAUAUUAAUCCUAAAAUGCAACUCGUGCAGCUAAUCAUGGAAAGGACAAAGCAGUCUCACAUUCUAGUAACACUAUCGUCACCAUUGCAUGUAACAUGAAACCAAGAGCAAGGAUUGACAAGUGUAGCAUUCCAACUCUGAAGAACGUUGUUAGGAUCUGCCAAGUUUUUCUUAAAAGCAUUCAAGGCAUCGCCUGUCGCGUGUAAAUCAAUUAGCAAAUAUCAAGGACCAUUCACUUUACAAAUUUAAGUUAAGAUACUACCGAACAAAUCUACACAUUAAUUUGCAAAGCCAACAAAAUAUGAGUUAACUAAUAUAUAAUAAUUCGCCUCAGAUGCGCCACACAAAUGUUUUUCUUCAUUGUUACAAUGGUCAAGUCAAGUCAACAGUUAAAUUUUACUGAACAGAAAAAAAAGGAGAAAAUUUUCCAAAGUUAUAGCUAAUAUAAAACGGUUAGCUUCAAAAUAAAUCCUAACGAAUCCCUCAGCUUUGUAAGCCGAAACUUAAUGGGUCUUCAAUCUGUGAUUUACGUUUACAAUAAACAAGAAACAGCCUUGAAACGCAUCAAUUACAAUACAUUCAAACUCAAUUCAAGUAAAAACGCAAUUGAAGAUUAAAAAUCACUUCAGUUGAAAUACAAAACAGAAGAACACCUUCAGCGUUGGCAGAAACCCGUGAAAAUUGCGAAAUCCCGAAAAUUAAGAAGAGAAACCCCGAGAUUGUGAUCGUAAAUACCGACCGCUCCAUUAUCAUUUCACCCCAGCCUAUCACUUAAAAACCUGGAUUCCCCAUUAAAAACCUAGAUGUUUCCGCUGUCCGCACGACUAUAUUAAACUAUAUAGUAAUUGAAAGGAAAUAAAAUAGGGGGAGUUUGCCGGGGUACUUUUUAAAAUAGUUUGGUCAAACAACCAAAUUUUCAUUUUGACCAUUUUUUUUUUGUAUUCACCACAUUGGCCUAUUGUCAUUAAAAAGACAAUUCUAUCCUUAUUCAUGUUUAAUAAUUACAAAAAUAUAUCAAUUGUUUAAAAGACAAUAAUACCCUUAAUAGUUUAAAUAAAUUAUGUUACUUCCAUACGUAAAUUUCAAAAUCAGUUUUGGUUUAUCAGUUUCUCCAAUACGGUAAAAAAGAAUUUUUUCCUUCCAUCUGCUAAAAUAUUGAAAUCUCUCAAAAUCAUCAAAGGUUCAAGAAAGAAACAAUACUCACAGUCGGCACUGGAAAUUGGUAAGUGUAAAUACGUAUUUUGAAUUUUGUUUUAGUUAAGUUUACUGUUUGAAUCUGUAAAUAAUUAUUUUGAGAAAGGCAGAUGAAUUUUACAGUAUUUAAACACAGAUUUAUAAUUUUUUUAUAGCAAAAACAACAAAAAAAUUCAUCUCUGUAUGCAUAUAUUUUACAGGAAAAUUUUAUAGGUGUCUGUAAAAUAAAUAUUUAAACAUUAUUUCGUUGAAAAAGAGAAAAAAUAAAAAAUUAAAGCGUAAAUUUCAGAUGAAACGGACGAAAAAAGCUGGGCCAAAUGUUUCCAGCCGGCCCAGUUGUCUGGGCCGGAUGGAAACAGCCGGCCCAGUUGUCUGGGCCGGAUGGAAACAGCCGGCCCAGUUAUCUGGGCCGGCUGGAAGCAGCCGGCUGUUCCCAGCCGGUUGGGCCGGCUGUUUCCAGCCGCCCCAGCCCUUUUUUUUUUCCCCUUCAGAUUUUAGAAUUUAUUUGUUCAUUAAUAUAUGUUUAUUGAAAUAAAUAUUAAUGAAUAUUUAAAUACUAAUUGAAAUAAAUAUUUUUGAAACAAUUAAAAUAAUCAAUGAAUUAUUUAAAGUAUUAAAUUAAAUUAAAUAUGAAAUGAACAAUUUAAAAAAUUAUAUAUUAAUUCUUUAUUUUUAAUUUGUGGCAGAUAUGGCAUCAGCAUGUGUCCCAAUUUGUUACUUUGGUGAAUUUCAAAUGAAUAAAAAUGCUCAAUGGGAAUGGAAAUAGACGAGUGAAGGAGAUGGGGUUAAAGCAAUUUUUAUAACAAGGAGUACAUCGUCCACAGAAAUGUACAGUGAUAUACAAAACAUGCUUAACGUCGAUCCUUCUCAGUAUGAUAUGGAAUUGGGAUUUUUGUUUCAUAAGCAUUCAACCAUUUCAAUUCCACCUAUGAAAGUUACUUCUGAAGUGGAAAUGAAACAUCUAAUUAAAUUGAACCAAGGCAGGAAGUCGACUCCUAUUUGCGUAACUUUAUUGGGGAAGAAUGUCCACGAGGGGGAACACGAAGUUUCAAAUGAAGAGAAUCGUAAUGUAAAUGAUGUUUGGGAUACAAUUCAGAUUGUUCGUGAAGAUGAUGUGGUUAUUCCCGAGACCACUGCUACUCACCAUGGUCACACUGUUACGCACAGAAUUCCAUCGAUAGUUGAAGACAACGAGAAUGAAAAUGCAUUUACAAACGAGGAUUUGAUUGCUUUAUCUCGUAGGAGACAUGAGUCGGGUGAGAGCUCACAGGCCGGACCGAAUACACGGUCCUCUAAUUGUUCGCGUGUAGUUCCCGAUGAUGAAGAUGUAUAUGUCGAGCAACUAUUCGAAUCAAAGAAAGAAUUGCAAGAAGCUGUGCACCGGAUUGCUUUAAAACAUAACUUCGAGUUUAAAGUGAAGAAAUCAAACAAGUCGUUAUACACAAUUAUCUGCGUUGACAACAGUUGUCAUUGGCGUUUGCGAGCGACUAAGAUGGACACGAAUGAGUUCUUUGUAGUCCGUAAGUAUGCACGGGAACAUACUUGCGAAGUGGGUAUUCGUCGAAAUGAUCAUAAGCAGGCCCGAUCAUGGUUCAUUGGUCGAGAAAUAAUGCACUAGUUUCAGGAUCCACGAACGAUCUAUAGACCUUCGGACAUCAUUAAUGAUGUUCGACGUGAGUACGGGGUGGUCAUGAGCUAUCAGAAGACUUGGAAGGCUAAAGAAUGUGCAUUGGAGGAUUUGAUGGGUUCGGCUGAGGAGAGUUAUGCUAAAUUAGCCAGGUAUUUCAUUGUUUAAGUGUUUAUUUCUUUGUUAUAGUAAAUUUUAAUUAUUUAAUUUCAAUUGUUUAUUUAUAUGUAAUUAAUUAUUUAAUUGAAUUUUUUAUUUUUCUGUUCAUUUAAUAUUUAAUAUAUUAUCUAAAUUAUGAUUAUUUUUAUUUACAUUGGCCAGGUAUUGCUAUAACAUGGGAAGAAUUAAUACUGGGUCGGCAUUUUUUAUUGAGAAGGAUGACGAAAAUCGCCUCAGAUAUUUCUUUAUGGCCCUUGGACAAUGUGUUCGAGGAUUUCGAAAUGCAAUGGACCCUUAAUCUUAGUCGACGGUACAACCCUUAAGGCGAGAUACGGGGGCAAGUUGAUUAUUGCAACAUGCCAAGAUGCGAACAUCCAAAUUUACUCUCUUGCGUUCGGCAUAGUCGACGGAGAAAAUGAUGUAGCAAUGAGUUGAUUUUUCACGAAGUUAAGGGAAGUAAUUGGAGAUGUCGAAAAUCUUGCAUUCGUAACCGAUCGAGGGCAGUCAAUAAUAGAUGGUAUCGCCGAAGUCUUCCCCGAGGCACAUCAUGGUUAUUGUAUGUACCAUAUACAGGGAAACUUGAAGAUCAGGUAUCGAGGCAAUGGCGUAGUUGCGUUGUUUAGGAGAGCUGCAGAGGCUUACAGUUUUGAAGAGUUUGAUAAGUUCAUGGUCGAAAUAGACAGUAAAUCGCAUGCUGCAUGGGAGUAUCUAACAGAGAUGGGGAUUGAACAUUGGACACGAUCACAUUUUCCAGGACGUCGAUACAACAUGAUGACGUCGAACAAUGCGGAGUCGCUUAACGCUUUAUUCAAGAAAGAUCGAGAGUUACCAAUUCUUGCAAUGAUUGAGAACAUUCGUGACAAGUUACAACAGUGGUUUCAUGAUCGACGUGAGGAAUCACAGAGUUGUGCAAGUGUGCUAACCCCGGCUCAAGAAGAUAAGCUUUUCAAAACUCUAGAUGUGGCAAGAAAGGUAUAUGUAGAACCACUGGAUCAAUUUCGCUUCUCCGUGAGAUGUGCACGUAAUUUCGGAUACAUUGUGAACUUGAAUGAUAACACGUGCACGUGUAGACGGUUUCAGUUGGAGAGUUUUCCAUGUACACAUCCAGUGGCAGUGGCUAUGCAUAGAGGAUUACCACCACACACCUUAUGCAGUGUGUAUUACAUGACUGAUUAUUGGAGAGCAGCAUAUGCGGAAACAAUAUUUCCUGUACCAAAUGAAGUCGAGUGGGAAGUGCCCGACCACAUUCUCCCACUGAAUAACUUGUUGCCACCAGCAGUUGGACCACGUACUCCUGGACGUACACGUACGUCUAGAAUACCAUCUCCCGGAGAGUUUCCCCAGCCUCGUAAGUGCGGUAGGUGCGGUGCAACAGGGCAUACUAGAAGAUAUUGUACAAGUCAGAUUCCUCUACAUGACAAUGUAACGGAUGUGUAAUUUUAAUAACUAUUGGCAAUGUAAUUAUUUAUAACAUUGACGUUAAUUAUUUAUGCAUAUUAUUUAUGUUAAUUAUUUGAAAUCGAAACUUUUUCUAGAAACUGCAUUAUACGGUAGGCUACAUUGUAAAAUAAAUAUUUAAAUAUUACAUAUACAAUCAACAUUUUACAAUUUUUUCGUAAUUACAAAUAAAUGAAUGAAUUGUACAAUGUUUAAAUAAAUGUAAAAAUAUGUACAAUUAUUUACGGAUCCCCAUUAAAUUCAAAUAAAUCACAUGCUAGUUUAUUUCUCCAAUUUUGUAUCCAUGCCUGGUUGAUUGCAUCAACCUUAUGUGCCACACUCAAAAAUUCUAUGUAUUUGAUGACGAAUAUGCCGCAAUCACCCAUACAAUUAAACAAUGUUGUAUUAGCCCAUCGAAAAUUAGUUAGAAACUAAGAUGUAAAUGACAGAAAGAAAAUUACAAACACUUACGAUAUUUGUUGCCUCGUCGUUGUCGUGUUCCGCACGGUGGCCAAUCUGUCUUGUACAUUGAUGCUCGCUCGUCUAGCCAUCAUGGGAACAANNNNNNNNNNNNNNNNNNNNNNNNNNNNNNNNNNNNNNNNNNNNNNNNNNNNNNNNNNNNNNNNNNNNNNNNNNNNNNNNNNNNNNNNNNNNNNNNNNNNNNNNNNNNNNNNNNNNNNNNNNNNNNNNNNNNNNNNNNNNNNNNNNNNNNNNNNNNNNNNNNNNNNNNNNNNNNNNNNNNNNNNNNNNNNNNNNNNNNNNNNNNNNNNNNNNNNNNNNNNNNNNNNNNNNNNNNNNNNNNNNNNNNNNNNNNNNNNNNNNNNNNNNNNNNNNNNNNNNNNNNNNNNNNNNNNNNNNNNNNNNNNNNNNNNNNNNNNNNNNNNNNNNNNNNNNNNNNNNNNNNNNNNNNNNNNNNNNNNNNNNNNNNNNNNNNNNNNNNNNNNNNNNNNNNNNNNNNNNNNNNNNNNNNNNNNNNNNNNNNNNNNNNNNNNNNNNNNNNNNNNNNNNNNNNNNNNNNNNNNNNNNNNNNNNNNNNNNNNNNNNNNNNNNNNNNNNNNNNNNNNNNNNNNNNNNNNNNNNNNNNNNNNNNNNNNNNNNNNNNNNNNNNNNNNNNNNNNNNNNNNNNNNNNNNNNNNNNNNNNNNNNNNNNNNNNNNNNNNNNNNNNNNNNNNNNNNNNNNNNNNNNNNNNNNNNNNNNNNNNNNNNNNNNNNNNNNNNNNNNNNNNNNNNNNNNNNNNNNNNNNNNNNNNNNNNNNNNNNNNNNNNNNNNNNNNNNNNNNNNNNNNNNNNNNNNNNNNNNNNNNNNNNNNNNNNNNNNNNNNNNNNNNNNNNNNNNNNNNNNNNNNNNNNNNNNNNNNNNNNNNNNNNNNNNNNNNNNNNNNNNNNNNNNNNNNNNNNNNNNNNNNNNNNNNNNNNNNNNNNNNNNNNNNNNNNNNNNNNNNNNNNNNNNNNNNNNNNNNNNNNNNNNNNNNNNNNNNNNNNNNNNNNNNNNNNNNNNNNNNNNNNNNNNNNNNNNNNNNNNNNNNNNNNNNNNNNNNNNNNNNNNNNNNNNNNNNNNNNNNNNNNNNNNNNNNNNNNNNNNNNNNNNNNNNNNNNNNNNNNNNNNNNNNNNNNNNNNNNNNNNNNNNNNNNNNNNNNNNNNNNNNNNNNNNNNNNNNNNNNNNNNNNNNNNNNNNNNNNNNNNNNNNNNNNNNNNNNNNNNNNNNNNNNNNNNNNNNNNNNNNNNNNNNNNNNNNNNNNNNNNNNNNNNNNNNNNNNNNNNNNNNNNNNNNNNNNNNNNNNNNNNNNNNNNNNNNNNNNNNNNNNNNNUACCCUAUCCUCCUCCGGUACCCCCUCGGCAUCCCCGGGUAUCCCCUGCAUGGGUACUACCUCCACCUCCACCUCCAAUGCCCCCUCGACGUCCUCGGGUAUCCCCUGCACGGACACCCCCACCUCCGAUACCACCUCCACCUCCAUCUCUGGUACCCUCUCCUCCUCGGGUACCCCCUCCACGUCCUCAGGUAUAUCCUGCGCGGGCAUCCCCUCCACCACAGGUAUCCUCUCUCGCUCCUCCAUCCCCAUCGUGUCAUCUAAAAAUGAAUCAAAUGCAGCAACUGAUGGCCACGAUGAGUCAACAUACCCCAUCUGACCCACUCCCCCCUGAUAACCACCGACCCCUCCGUCACCCCCUCCGUCCCGAUAACCUCCAGUCCCUCCGUCACCCCCUCCGUCCUGAUAGUGACCUGUCCCUCCGCUACCUCCUCCAUCUCGAUAAUCGCUCGUCCCACGCAGGCCUGCUAUGUCACCCCGUAUCGCUGCAACCUCAGCAUGGAGGUCUCCUAACCCAGCUCGUAACAUCGCGACAUCAUAUCGUAACUGUGCCAUGUCCCCGAGCUCAGCUCGUAGUGUCACAACAUUACCCCAUAACUCUGCCAUGUCUCCUCUCAUCUCCAUCAGGAGGUCGAACAAAUCAAUCGUCGAAACACGGGGACUAGGUGCAGGAGGCAAUACUGGACGGCCCUCCUGAAAAAAUAACUAUUACAAAUGAAUAACCUAACAAAUAAAAUAAAACGACAAUCGAAGAAUUAUUUUUAUGUAACAUACUCUAUCUCGAUCAACGCUAGACUCAGGCAUCUGAACCUCUGGCGUAGCUGGACGUGAUCUUCUCAGCGGAGGUGACAUCCUCGCUGGACGUGCCCUCGUCGGUGGAGGUGAUAUCCUCAAUGGAGGUAAUACUGAACGAUCCUCCUGAAAAAAUAAAUAUUACAAGUGAGGCACUUAAUUACAAGAUCGAAGCGAUAUUCAAUAAAUCCUGCACAGUGACAUACCCUAUCUCGAUCCAUCCUGGACUCAGGCAUCUGAUCGUCAUGCGCAGUACGAAGAGGCAAUUCGCGAAUAUAAAACUGACUCUCCUCCUCGAUCGACGGUGCCAACUCAGUGAGAACUUCAAGCUGUCAGUUUCAUAUGUCACAGUUAAUGACUAUGUAUUCAGAUUGUAAAAGGACGUACAACAUAAAUAGCAAUUGUAUAAUACGUACCUCAGGAUCGUCGAGGAGAGCCGAUAACUGUCUGGCAAGCGGCUUGUCUUGUGCUCGCCAGUGAUGCAUCCGAGGAUAGCGUGUCUCUCCUCUCCUCGCAUACCAACUGGCCAAGAUAGGGACAGUCUCGUACACCCAUAUCUGAAACAAUUACAAUUAUUAUGUAUAGAAUUCAAUAAAAAAAGUGUAGGUAAUUCAUUAACUUAAACAUAUACCUGCAGCGCCAACGGCAGUCCAUAUGCAUCGUACUUGCGCUCGGGCUUAUCCCCCUUUGGCAUUGAAAACCCCCUCCUAAACACGCGUAAUGUAUCAAGAAAACAUCUCCAACCCCAUGGGUAGUUGUUGAAGGCAUCAAUAUUUUCAACAACCUCCAAAUGAAAAAUGUCAAUCGAUGUCUUCUUGUGAUGACACCAGAGUAUGCUCUCGAUGAUAAACACCAAUCCUAACUUCAACCUAUCAGACAUCCGAUCACAUCUCCUUAAUGCAUAUCCUAGCUGCGCUAGAGUAAUCGUCGUCUGUCCAUGAAAAUAUUCGUUCAACAGCCUCCUGUUCCUCGGAACACAGGCCCUCGCNNNNNNNNNNNNNNNNNNNNNNNNNNNNNNNNNNNNNNNNNNNNNNNNNNNNNNNNNNNNNNNNNNNNNNNNNNNNNNNNNNNNNNNNNNNNNNNNNNNNNNNNNNNNNNNNNNNNNNNNNNNNNNNNNNNNNNNNNNNNNNNNNNNNNNNNNNNNNNNNNNNNNNNNNNNNNNNNNNNNNNNNNNNNNNNNNNNNNNNNNNNNNNNNNNNNNNNNNNNNNNNNNNNNNNNNNNNNNNNNNNNNNNNNNNNNNNNNNNNNNNNNNNNNNNNNNNNNNNNNNNNNNNNNNNNNNNNNNNNNNNNNNNNNNNNNNNNNNNNNNNNNNNNNNNNNNNNNNNNNNNNNNNNNNNNNNNNNNNNNNNNNNNNNNNNNNNNNNNNNNNNNNNNNNNNNNNNNNNNNNNNNNNNNNNNNNNNNNNNNNNNNNNNNNNNNNNNNNNNNNNNNNNNNNNNNNNNNNNNNNNNNNNNNNNNNNNNNNNNNNNNNNNNNNNNNNNNNNNNNNNNNNNNNNNNNNNNNNNNNNNNNNNNNNNNNNNNNNNNNNNNNNNNNNNNNNNNNNNNNNNNNNNNNNNNNNNNNNNNNNNNNNNNNNNNNNNNNNNNNNNNNNNNNNNNNNNNNNNNNNNNNNNNNNNNNNNNNNNNNNNNNNNNNNNNNNNNNNNNNNNNNNNNNNNNNNNNNNNNNNNNNNNNNNNNNNNNNNNNNNNNNNNNNNNNNNNNNNNNNNNNNNNNNNNNNNNNNNNNNNNNNNNNNNNNNNNNNNNNNNNNNNNNNNNNNNNNNNNNNNNNNNNNNNNNNNNNNNNNNNNNNNUAUAUAUAUCUUAUUUAAUAUUUCAUUUUUUAAAAUUAAUUUAGUAACACUUGUUUUUAAAUGCUUAUUUUAAUAUUUUAAUUAUUUUUCUAACACUUAAUUUAGUUUUUUAAUUUUAAUGAAUGUUUAAAUACUAAUUUUAAUUCUUUACGCAUAAUGCUUAUUUCAUAUUUACAAAUUUAUUUUAAUUGCUUUUCAAAAAAUAAAUUUUUUUGCUAAUUUACUUUUCAAAUUUAAUUGCUUAUUUUUAUUAUUUUACAAAUGUUUAAAUAUUUUUUUCAAUUCUUUAGAUAUAUUCAUUAUUUAAUAUUAUAUUAUUUCUUUUAAUUUUUUUACUAUUACUUAAUAUAAAAUAAUUAAUUAAUCUAAAUUAGCAACUAAUAAAUAUUUCGAUAAAUAAUAUAACAUUUACAUCUUAUAUUUACUAAUAAUUUUAAAUACAUAAUAAACAUUCAAAUUAAGCAACUCAAAUAAAUAAUUACAUAUUAGAUAACACAAUAAGUCAUUAAUAAUUAUUUAAUUAACUUCAAUAAUUACCGAAAAAAAAAGAAAAAAAAAGACGGCCCAGUCAACUGGGUCAACUGGGCCGACCGGCCCAGCUUCCCAGUUGACUGGGCGCCCCAGUUGGGCAGAGGCGCCCAGUCAACUGGGCAACCCAGUUGACUGGGAAAGGGCGCCCAGACGGCGUGCCCAGUCGCCAUUUUCGUCCGUCUGCCACAUUCCGGUCGAGGAGAUCGUCGGAAAACUCCAUUUCCGGCGAUCUCCACUCCUUCCCAAGUAAUAACAACCCAAAAUUCCACAUUUACACAAGGAUUUCUCAAGAAAUAUGUAUAAAAUCAUACUUUUUUCCAAAAAUAAAAAUAUAAACAUGGUUUUUUUUUGUAUAAAUUUCUUACCUUCUUCAGAGGGAUUUUGGCCAAGUGGGUCUCCUGUUUUUCCUUAUUUGUCGGUGACUGGGUCGACUGUGCUACAGUAUUUUCCCGUCUCCUUCGGCUCUGCUUCGUUUUCAAGUGAGGGUAAAAUUGGGAUUCUCUUCAUUUUUUUUGGUUUUCACUGUUUUUUAUAAUUUUGCCUUCUUUUUUUUUUCAUUGGUCAAAGGCCAGUUUGGAAAAUUGGCCGGGUCAACCGGCCAACAGCCACUAAUUCCUCCAUUUUAGCCCGGGGGGGUUUGGCCCAUUAGCUUGAUUAGAUAAUGUAUUUGGUUAAAUGGCAUUUGAUUAAUAAUUAAAAUAAAUAGAAAAAUGUAAUUACUUGGCAAAAUGUGAAAAUUCUACUUUAGUGGUAAAUUUAAUAUCUUCCAAUUUUUCACUUCAUCCCGUCAUUUCUCCUCCACAUUCCUAAGUUUUUUUUUUUUUUUUUUUAAAGAUAACAUCUUCUUCAAUUUUAAGUCCUCAAAAUUACAAUAACCUAUUUCUUUUCUUCAAUCACCAUUCUGGCUCUCGUAAAAUUAUGUUUUUUUUUUAUAUGCUUUGCUUAUUUUGGAUAUUUUUUGAGUAUUUGAACAAGAGUUUGGUUAUCAUAUCAUUUACAUUUGAAGAAAGAAGAAAGAUACUCUUACAAAUCACAUCUAUGUUGUAUUUUUAUUAUUAAAUGUAGUAUUAAAUAAUAUUUAGUUGAUAUUGUUUUUCUAUUUAGUGUGCUUUUUGUGUUAUCUGCAACCAUUGGAGUUAAUAAUACUCCAACUGCUAUCUGAAAUAUAGAACACUACUCCAACCGUUAUCUGUAAAAUAAAACGACACUAUAAUCGUUAUUUGCUAUAAUUUGACUCUAAUAAUAGACUCACUAACGUAUAUAUCACAAAAGAUUCAUUAGUCACAAAGAACGAUUGAAAUGACAUAAAUCAUAUAUUAUUGAGUUGGAAAAAAUAUAAGUCAUCACAAUUAUAUAUGUCGAUUAAGUUACUGGACAUAUCUAUAAACUUUUGUAAGUGUCAUGCACAUACUACAAUAUAAAUAAGUUUUGCUCAUUAUUUUUUAGGGAACGAGUGGACCGUGAUUGUUUAUACUCGUAUUUAUACACGUAACAGUACAUAUGUCGUUUUCAUGUUCAGCAAUGACACUUGUGUCAUUCAGAAAUUCACCUAUAUCUAAUUUUUUCAACAAAACAAUAUUUAAUAAUGGACUCCCUAACAUAUGUAACAUAGAAAGUUUGACAAUAUCAUAAAUAACGUAAAUUAGUUCCACUAUUGGUUCUCAAUGCAUAGAUAAGACGUAGCUUUUUUACUCGUGUUUACACAUAUAGCCCUUGUUUUAGCCUCAUUUUUCAUCAAAAUGCAUUCUUGAACAGUAAUUUGCUCUAAUUUUAACCACACGUUAUUCAAUAAAAUAAUAUUACACGCAAAUUUAAAUUUUUUUUUAUUUUUUAGCCACAUAUUUUCCAUCAUAAAACUAUUACGAAACUCUUUUUUUUAAAAAAAAAAAAGAAAAAGAAAAAGUGGGGACUCAAGCAACUCCCAUAAUGGCACAAUGGUCGUUUUCAUAUUAAUAACGACAUUUGUGGUGCUCUAUUGAUUUUUUUCUACAUUUUUGUUAAUAUCUUUUAAGUCAAAUGAAAACAGUACAACUUAGAAUGUUCAAUUCUAAAUGUCGUUGUAUUGGAAACAAAUGAAAAUAAAGGAAAAAUCAACAGAGCAGCUCAAGUGUCGUUACUGAUUAUAAAACAACACUUGUGUCAUUCUAUCUAUGAACACAAGUUUAAGCAGCUACAACUCUUCCAUGCAUUGAGAAAUAAUAAGUUGAACUCAUUUAAGUUGUAAGGUUGACAAGAAAUAAAAAAAAAAAUGAGAAAUAUGCUCAAUACGUGUAUUUUAUUGAGAAUAAUAGAAUCACUUGUGUUUUCAUCAACUUUAUAUCAAAUAAUCUAUGUCAUUUCAAUCGUUUUUUGUCACGUGAUCUACUUUUCUUACAUACUUUAGGGUUUUAAUGCUUGAAGAUGAAAGGUAAUUUAGAACGACACUUACGCUGUUAUUGAGAUGGAAAAUUCUAAGAGAAUGGCAACAGUGCUGUUUAGAGGAUGAAAAUGUCAUUAAGAGCGGUACUUUUGCCUUAUUGAAAUGAAAAAUUCUAAAAGAAGGACACAAGUGUCGUUAUCGAAAUACAGCUUAUCCAUGAGAACGUCACUUGUGUGUACCUAUGAAGAAAACAUCACUUGUAGUUCUAUCUAUAAAUAUGAGUAUAAGCAGCCACAACCCAUCUAGAUCUCGAAAACCAAUAAGUUACAUUCCUUUCGAUUGCAAGAUGAACAUGUCAUUUACAAAAGUUAAUAAAUGUGCUCAUUAAUUAUAUUUCUAAUAUAUCAAUACAUUGACUUGUGAUUUUAUCAACUCGAUAUUAUAUAAUUUAUAUCAAUUCAAUUGCUCUUUUAUCACGUGAUCCACCUUUUUGACUUUCUUAAGUUAGAGGAUUCAAUGUUUGAGGUCGUUGAGUUGGAAAAGAAGCAAAAUAUUUAAAAAAUCAACAAAACGGUACAAGAGCUGUUAAACAACACUUGCGUCGUUCUGUCUAUAAACACGAGUAUACAUAACUACGACUCAUCCAUGCCCCGAGAACUAAUGAGUUGUACUCAUUUCAGCUGCAAAAUGAACAUGUUGUUUUUAAAAGUUGAGAGAUGUACUCAUUUUGGCUGCACAAGUGACGUUUUAACGAUAUAUAAACUCAUUCAUGGUAAUAGGAUAAGAGAAGUUAGGGGAUCCAAUACACCUGGUCGUUGCGGUGAAAAUGAAGCAAAUUAUCGGAGAAAUCAACAGAAUGACAUAAGUGCCAUUAGACGACACUUGUGUCGUUCUCUCUAUAAACAAAAGUAUAAGCAAGCAUGACCCGUUCGAAUCUCAAUAAUCGAUAAGUGAAAUCAUUUAUAUGGCAAGAUGGACAUGUCAUUUAUAAAAUUUGAAAGAUAUGCUGAUUAUUAACAAAUGUAGAUCAUGACUUGUGAUAUCACUAACUCGAUAUCAUAUAAUCUAUAUCAAUUCUACCAAUAUUUGUUACAUAUCUAACUUUUUCGACUUUCUUAAAUUAGGGUGUCCAAUUGUUGAGAUUGUUGCGGAGGAAAAGAAGCAAAAAUUGGACAAAUCAUCAUGACGGCACAAGUGCCGUUAAAUGUCACUUGUGCCAUUCUAUCUAUAAACAAGAGUAUAAGCAGCCACGGCCCAUCUGAAUCCUAAUAAUCGAUAAGCUGAACUCAUUUAAGUUACAAGAUAGAUAUGCCGUUUACAAAAUUUGAAAGGUUGCACAUUAAUUAAUUUUCUGACAAAUGUAGAUAAUGACUUCUGAUUUUACCAACUCGAUAUCAUAUAAUUUCUGUCAAGUCUAUCGUUAUUUGUCACAUAAUCAACAUUCCGACUUUCUUAAGUUAGGGAUUCUAAUGCUUGAUGUCGUUAUGGUAAAAAAGAAGUAAAAUAUUGAAAAAAUUAUCAUAAUGGCACAAGCGUCGUUAAACGACACGUGUGCCGUUUAGUUUAUAAACAUGAGUAUGAGCACCCACAACCCAUCUGAGCCUCAAUAAUAUAUAAAUUGAACUCAUUUAAGUUAUAAGAUGAACAUGACAUUCACAAAAUUUGAGAGAUGCUCAUUAAUUAUAUUUUCUAACAAAUGUAGAUAAUGCCUUGUGAUUUUUUCAACUCAAUAUCAUACAAUUUAUGUCAAUUCCAUUGAUAUUUGUCACAUAACUAACAUUUUCAACUGACUUAAGUUAGGGAAUCCAAUGCUUGAGGUCGUUAUGGUGAAAACAAAGUAAAAUAUUGGAGAAAUCAACAUAACGACACGUGUGCCGUUUAGUCUAUAAACAUGAGUAUGAGCACCCACGACCCAUCCAAACCUCGAUAAUCGAUAAAUUGAAUUCAUUUAAGUUACAAGAUGAACAUGAAGUUCACAAAUUUUGAGAAAUGCUCAUUAAUUAUAUUUUCUAACGAAUAUAAAUAAUGUCUUGUAAUUUUUCCAACUCGUUAUCAUACAAUCUAUGUCAAUUCUACCUAUAUUUGUCACAUAACUAACAUUUUUGAAUUUCUUAAGUUAGAGAAUCCAAUACUUGAGGUCGUUAUGGUGAAAACAAAGAAAAUAUUGGAGAAAUCAAUAUAACGACAAAAGUGCCGUUAAACAACACGUGUGCCGUUCUGUUUAUAAACACGAGUAUGAGCACCCACGACCCGUUCGAGCUUCAAUGAUCAAUAAGUUAAACUUAUUUAAAUUGCAAGAUGGACAUGACGUUUACAAAAUUUGAGAGAUAUGCUCAUAUUUUCUAAAGAAUAUAGAUAAUGCCUUAUGAUUUUUUCAACUUGAUAUCAUAUCAUUUAUGUCAAUUCUACUAAUAUUUGUCACAUAACUAACAUCUCCAACUUUCUUAAGUUAGGGAGUCCAACAUUUGAGGUCGUUACGGUGAAAAUGAAGCAAAAUACUGGAGAAAUCAACAUAACGACAAAAGUGUCGUUAAACAAUACGUGUGUCGUUCUGUCUAUAAAUACGAGUAUGAGUGCCCAUUACUUAUCCGAGCCUUAAUAAUCAAUAAGUUGAACUCGUUUAAGUUGCAAGAUAAGCAUGACAUUUAUAAAAUUUGAAAGAUGCUCAUUAAUUAUAUUUUCUAACAAAUAUAGAUAAUGUCUUAUGAUUCCUCCAACUUGAUGUCGUACAAUCUAUGUCAAUUCUAUUGAUAUUUGUCAUAUAACUAACAUUUUCUACUUUCUUAAGUUAACGAGUCCAAUGCUUGAUGUUGUUUCUAUGAAAAUGAGCAAAAUAAUAGAGAAAUAAACAUAAUGGCACAGGUGCUGUUAAACGACACGUGUGUCGUUCUGUCUAUGAGCACGAGUAUGAGUACUCACGACCCAUUCCAGCUUUGAUAAUUGAUAAUUUAAACUCAUUUAAGUUGUAAGAUGGACAUGACAUUUACAAAAUUUGAGAGAUAUGCUCGUUACUUAGUCAACAUGAAAAAAGAAAACAGUACAAGUGUCAUUACUAUUAUGAAAACUGCACAACUGUCAUUAUGUAUAUAAACACAAUAUGAAUAAUUGAUACCAUGUAUACUUUGAAAUUAGUUGCUAUUAAAUCAAUAAUAUUUAAUUUUUUAAGAUCAUUUUUAUAUUUUUUGGUGAAAUAUUUAAAACGACACCAAUGUUGUUUUAUAAUAACAAAAUAAAAGUAUAUCUGCCGUUAUGAUUUCAUCAAUCUUAAGACAAUGACAAAAUCAAUCUUUUCAAACAUUAUAAAUAGUUUGCAUUUCAAAAUGAUAAAAUCAGAACAUCAUAAUACCACCAUUAUUUUUCAAUAUUACAAAAGAAGCACAUCAUAAACUACAAAAACUAGCAGAUUUGUCGUUUUGUUUUCAUCGUUCAUAUCUCUCGCUGAGUGGUACAUGAUCCCUACAAGUGAUGUGGUUAUGCCCAGUUUUCAAACACCUAUUACACUUACGGUUGUACUGUUGCUUUACAUAGACAAUAACAACUGUAGUGUCGUUCUACACUACAGAUAACAACUAGAGUAUCGUUAUCAUCCAAUAGUUGUGGACAGCCAAAAUACACCAAAUGUUAAAAAAAAAAAAUCAACUAAAGUAGCAUUUCAUACUAUAUUCAACAAUAAAAGUACUAAUGUACAUGACGUUUCUAAAGUUACAUUUCUUUUUUCUUCAAAUAUAGAAGAGAUUUCUAUGUAAAUGGUAUAAAAAUCAAAUUUUUUAUUCAAAUGCUCAAAAAAUUGAAGAAGAAGGGUGAAGUAAUAGAUAACAAAAAUUUACAGUAGCAAGUACAGAGAGAGCAAGUCAAUAAUUUUUGGAGAUGAAAUGAGGAAUUUGAAUAGAUUGAAAGGGGUAUUUGAGUCUUUUUCAUGGUGAGGGCAUUUUGGACUUUUGAUAUUAUUUGUUUAUUAUAUUUUGUAAUUAAAGGCUAUAAUACAAACAAACAUUGAAAUAUAAUUAUUUAACCAAAUACAUUGUUUGAAUGAGCUUUUUAACAAACUCUCCCAACAAAAUAUUACCAAAUUCUUCACUGUUGAUGGGAUGAUCACGUGCACAAUUGGGGACCAUGACAAGAUAAAUAAUUGCAUUAAGCAGUUAUUAUUUUUGUAUUAUUUUAAAUUGACCCCUCGUCAAUUUAAAAUAACUUUUUUUUCGAUCACUACACUUUAUUCCCAGAACAUUUAAUAUUCAUUAGUCCAAAAAUUAACUUUAACAGAUCAUUUUAUUGACUAAGCCUUAAAAUAGCACUACACAUUAUAUAUAUAUUGACCCUAUACUUUGGAAUUUUUUUCCAACAAUCUCCCACUAAACCAUACCAUACAUGUAAUAUUACAAAGGUACUCAGCUUUAUGAGCUCAAAAUUAUGCUAUCAUUAUUUAGGGUAUUUCCUAAUAACUUUGCCCAUCAGUUAAAUUGAUGUAUGAUCAAAGUAAUUUUUGUCACAUUUAGCGUGACUAAAUCCAUCAAUGGUCACGUACAACCAUACAACCAAAUGACAUAGAUCAAUCACGAGAGUGUAUCAUGAAAAUUACAUGUUAUAUGAUCCAAACAUGUCUAUUUUCAAUUGGUCAAACCUUAUUUCUUAAGUGAGAUCAAUACUGAACGUAAUAACAGAGUGGAAUGACCCGAAUACUUCAUUUCUACACGAAAAAAUAUCAAAAUACACAAAUAUGUAAACAUAAAGCAACGAGAAUAUAAACUACCAUUAAAAUAUGAUACCCUCAAUAAAUACAACACUUAUAUGAGUAGUGUGCUCAUGAAAGAUCUUGGGUGGCAAUCACUUAGUAAGUGGAUCCGCAAUCAUGAAAUUUGUUUCAAUGUACUCUAUGGAAAUCUGUUCACUCUGUACUCUUUCCUUUAUAACUUAAAAUUUAAUGUCAAUGUGUUUUGACUUAGAUGGGCUCCUGUUAUUAUUGGAAUACAGAAUUGCUGAGUUAUUGUCAUAAUAUAACUUUAGUGGUCUUUCUAAACCAUUCAGAAUGCACAGCCUAGUGACAAAAUUUCGCAGCUAUAUUCCAUGAUUAGAUGCCUCAUAACAUGCUAAAAACUCUGUUGUCAUGGUAGAAGAAGUUAUGAGUGUUUACUUGGCACUCUUUCAGGAAAUAGCUCCUCCAGCUAACAGAUAGAUAUAGUCUGAUGUGGAUCUCUUACUGUCUUAGCAUCCAGGAAAAUCAGAAUCGAAAUACCCUGUGAUCUCUAACUGAUCCGACCUGCUAUAUGUGAGCAUGUAAUCAUUUGUUCUCUUUAAAUACCUCAUAACCCUUUUGGCUGUCUUCCAAUGAUCCAUCCCAGUGUUGUUUAAAUAUCUGUCUAACAAUCCAUCAAUGAAUGCUAUGUUUGGACGUGUACAAACUUGAACAUACAUUAGACUCCCAAUAGCUGAUGCAUCGAGAAUCUUCAGCAUUUCCUUAACUUCAAGGUUAUUUUUUGGGCAUUGUUUGAGACUAAAUUUGUCUCCCUUAGCGACAUGGGUGUCACCUGGUUUACAGUUUUACAUGUCAAACCUCUUAAAUACUUUAUCGAUAUUGCUACUUUGUGAUGUUCCAAGAAUACCUCGAGACCGAUCCUAAUGUAUAUGAAUCUCUAAUACAAAAGAGCCGUCACCAAGAUCUUUCAUCUCAAAAUUUAUUGAUAAAAAUCUCUUGAUUUUGUGCAACAUGCCUAUAUCAUUAAUGGCAAGCAGUAUGUCAUCAACAUACAAAACCAGAAAAAAUAUGUUUACUCCCACUGAACUUGUGAUACACACAAUCAUCAACGACAUUCAUCUUAAAACAAAAUGAAAUAAUUACUUGCCGAAAUUUGUGGUACUAUUGACGGGAAGCUUGCUUGUGGAUGGAUUUCUUUAAUUUGCAAACCACAUUCUUCGGGUCUCCUAACACAAAGUUUUCUGGUUUACCAUAUAGAUCAUCUCAUCAAUGUUGCCAUUGAGAAAUGCCGUCUUAACAUCUAUCUGACGUAACUCAAGGCCAAAGUAUGCAACAAAUGCCAUAAUUGUCCUAAAAGAGUUUUUCGUUGAAAUUGGAAAGAAAGUCUCUUUGAAGUCGAUGCCUUCCUUUUGGGUAAAGCUUUUAGCCACAAGAUGAGCCUUAUAUCUUUCCACAUUAUCAUUUGAAUCCCUCUUGAUUUUAAAAAUCUAUUUGCAACUAAUGUGCUUCAAACCUUCGAGUAACGGGACAAGAUCCCAAACUUUAUUAUCUUGUAUAGACUUAUACUCCUCAUUCAUUGCAUCAAUCCACUUUUAAGAGUUAGAACCCUACAUGGCGUGAUGGAAAUCAAUUGGAUCAUCUUCUACCAAUCCAUUAUUUUCCUUAUGAUCUUGGAGAAAUACUAUAAAAUCAUUCGGAAUAGCACUUUCCCUUUUUCUCUCUCUCGUGGAUCUGCUUAAUGGUAUUGGUUCUUGAAAUUGUUGAGUUUGUACUUCUAAAAUAGUUAUCUCAUUUUAGAUGGGAAGUUCUUCAACAUUGUCUUGUUAAGAUUUUGGAUAUACUUCUUUAUCAAUAAUAGGUAUAGAAACCUGUAUAUUGUUAGAAGCACAAUAGGAAUUGAAAUCGAUUCUUCCUCAAAAACAAUGUCUUUAACCUUAUUUCUCCCCCACAAACUCAACAUCCUCAAAAAAUGUUGUAGUUCUCAUUUCAAAAAUUGACUUAAGUGUGAAAUCAUAAAAUUUAUAGUCCCUAGAUUGCUCAUAAUAACUAAUAAAAUAGCUGCUAACUAUUUUGGAGUCCAAUUUCUUUUCAUGUGGCCUAUAAGGUCUAGCCUCAACUGGACAUCCCCAAAUGUAAAAAUGUUUUAGACUAGGCUUUCUACUUGUCCAAAGUUCAUAAGGUGUUUUAGAAGCAGCUUUAGUCGGUACUCUGUUCAGAAUAUAAGUUGAGGUCUUUAAUGCCUCUCCCCAGAGUGAUUUUGGUAACUUGGAAUGACUAAUCAUAUUCCUUACCAUGUAUUUAAGAGUCCUAUUUCAUAUUUUAGCUACCCAUUCAUGCUAGGCGAUCCUACCAUGGUGUAUUGUGGUACAAUUCAAUAUUCCUCUAGGAAUUUAAGAAAUGGUCCUGGAUAUUGUUCACCAGAACCGUUAUAUCUGUCGUAGUACUUACCACCACGGUUAGACCUAACGCUCUUUAUCCUUUUGUUGAGUUUAUUCUCAACCUUAGUUUUGAAAGCUUUGAUCACUUCUAGUGACUCAAAUUUUUCAUGGAUGAGAUAUAGGUACCUAUAACAAGAGUAAUCGUCUAUGAAUAAUAUAAAAUACUGUUGAUCAUUCCAAAAAGUUGUAGGAAAUGGUCCACAAAUAUUCGUGUAUCAAUUCUAAGACAUCUGAAGUUCUGUAAACACCUAAUCUCCUUGUUUUAGUCUGUUUUCCCUUGAUACAAUCAAUACAUACAUCAAAAUUCGUAAUGUCAAUGAAUCCAAAAUACCAUUUGACACAAGUUGUUUAACUCUAGUUUUUGAGAUGUGGCCUAAGCGCUUGUGCUAUAAUUUUGCUGAAUUCUCUUUAUUUAAUUUGCGUUUAGUACCAAGUGAUUCCACAUGUAAGAUCUCAUUAUAUGAUGCAAUAAUAUCGAGCAAAUAUAGGUUGUUAGAUGUAGAUAAUGAACCAGUACCAAUAACAUUGGAAUUUAAUGAAAGACUAAACUGAUUGUUUCCAAAUGAACAAUAGUAUCCAGAUUUGUCCAACGAAGAAACAGAAAUCAAAUUUCGUCUAAAAGACGGUAUAAUAAAAGUGUCUUUCAAAUCCAAAUAAUAACCAAUUUCUAAUAACAACCUAAAAGUGCCUAUUAUAUCAACUUCCAUCGAUUUGUCAUCACCCACAUAGAUGUAUCUUUCACCAUUAUUUGCCUUUCAGUAGCUCAGGUAGCCCUGCAUAGAAACAUUUAUGUGAGUAGCAGCACUAGAAUCUAACCACCAAAUGUUUCUAGGUAUUGAACUUAAAUUAUCCUCAGAACAGACCAAAGUAAGAAUUGUACCUUUCUUUGCACGCCAUGCGUGAUAUUUGGUACAGUCAUUCUGCACAUGUCCAGUCUUAUUGCAAAAGAACAAGUUCCUUUGGCUUCAUUCCGGUUUUUUUUUUUUUUGGUGGUUUAGGACCCUUAGGAGUAGCUUCAUAUUCUUUUUUCUUUUUCUUGCCCUUAUCCUUAGAAGUGCUUGCCAAGUGAACACUUUCAGUUCUUUUUUGCUCCAACCUUUCUUCCUCUUGCACAUAAUAUGAAAUGAGCUCAUUUAGAGAUCAUUUCUCCUUCUGGCAGUUAUAACUGACCUUAAAUUGAUUGAACUGUGCAGGAAACAAGAUCAAUACCAAAUGUACGAGCAAGUCAUCAGUCAACUUAAGCUUUAGCCCUUUAAGUUUAUAAGCAAUGUGAGACAUCUCCAUGAUGUGUUCCCUUAUGUUUCCCUUGCCUUUAUACUUCAUUGAAAUCGAGUUUUGCAAAAGCGUGCUUGUUUCAUCCUUAUCAUUUUUCGCAAAAUGCUUCUCAAUUUCGAUGAGAAACUCCUUGACAUUAGUUAUCCCUUUAGAUACUACACCUCUAAAGGCUUUCGAAAUGUCGAGCUUAAUGAUCAUUAGACUCAUGUGAUUUGAGUAAUCCCACUUCUUAGAGUUCCACGGGUUCCUCAAUCCGAAGCGUAAGGUCUGAAUCCAUGCAACCAAGAACAAUCAAUAUGUUCUCUUUUCAAUCCUUGAAGUUUGUCCCAUUCAGCAUGAUAAUAGAAUUAACAUUGGCAGAUAUAGUAGUAGGAAAUGAAUUAGCUGUACAGAAAACAAAAAUAAAUAAAUAAUCAUGCUCAUAUGCACAUUUAAUGAUCAGUAAAUUCAAAUAAUGGUAAGCCCUAUCUCAAGGUGCCUAGUGCAACAGUAAUAUCAGGUCUUUGGUAGUAAUAUUAAUUGCAAGUGAUACUUUUGAUUUAGUGUUCAAACAUUGACAAUAACUCUUGUUAAAUGAUAAACCCAUCUUUGGAUUGAUUUAUUAUUCACAUGGAAACAUUAUAAUUGUCACACAUUCACCACCACAAGUGUGUAUGUAAUUCUGUCAAAUUUUAACCUUCAUUUGGGUCGGCUAAUACCCACGUGAACAAGCACACAUAUGACAUCUAAACAUCCCCAAUAAACCAAUCUACACAAGAGAGGUCACUUUGGUGAGAUAUUGUUUCAAUUAGUUUAUUUAAAAUUCUAAAUAACCUUAAUUUAUCAUGAAUGAUUUACCAAAUUAUUUGAAUUUGAUUGUCCCAUAGAAUUAAAUCUCAAUCAUGCCUCUUAAAAGAAUGUUUAGUACCGAAAUUUGUAAAAGAGAAUCACUAAUUUUGCAUCAUAGAUAUCUUUUGAAACUUUAACUUUAGGGACCUAGGAGUUAAUAAUUCAAAACUUUAGUGUCAAAUUUUGAAAAAUUUAAAACUUUGGGGGCAAUGCAUGUAAAGUUUUUGACAAAAAGAAAAAUAUUUGUGUGGCAAAUAUUGAAAUGAAGAACAAGACAUUUCCUCUUAUGAUGCCACUAAAUGAGAAUUGUGCACUCAAGGCAAGAGACGAAGAUUUGGCGUAUUUGUGGCAUUUACGAUAUGGUCAUCUUCAUGAAAGAGGCCUUCGUUUACUCCAAAUGAAAAACAUGGUGACGGGACUUCCUAACAUCCAACACAUAGACAAAAUGUGCGAAGGAUGCAUCUAUGGGAAAUUGCACAAGUUGUCGUUUCCAAAAACUUCAUGGAGAACGAAAGCACCACUUGAGCUUGUGCACUCGGAUAUUUGUGGGCCAAUGCAAACUCCCACUUUUGGAAACAAGAGAUAUUUUAUUCUCUUUGUUGAUGACUUCACAAGAAUGAUAUGGGUUUUCUUCCUCAGUCAAAAAUCUGAGGCAUAUUCCACAUUUCUUCAAUUCAAAGCUCAAGCAGAAAGGCAAAGUGGUUUUUUGAUAAAAACUUUAAGGACCGAUCAUGGAGGUGAAUAUCUCUAUAAUCCUUUCAUGGAAUAUUGCAGAAAAAAUGGCAUUAAAAGAUAAUUAACUGUGAGUCGAACUCCGCAACAAAACGGCGUGGCCGAAAGAAAAAAUCGCACAAUUGUUGAAAUGGCAAGAAGCAUGCUAAAGGGCAAAGGACUUCCAAAUCUGUAUUGGGCAGAAGCUGUAAAUACGGCAGUAUACAUUCUCAAUCGGUCUCCAACAAAGGCUGUACGGAAUAAAACUCCAUACGAAGCUUGGAACAAAAAGAAGCCAAUGGUUGAUCACUUCAAAAUAUUUGGCAGAAAUUUGACGAGAAAGGACAAAAACUUGUCUUUGUUGGAUAUAGUGAUGAAUCUAAAGGAUAUCGGUUAUUAGAUCCAACUACAAACAAAAUUACAGUUUCACGAGACGUUGUUUUUGAUGAAGCUGCAUCUUGGGAUUGGAAAGGGAAAGAAGUUGUGGACCAGACACCAUACCAUUUUGUUGAUCCAUUAACAUUUCAAGCAGGUCCGUCACAAGUUGGAAAUUUAGAGCAUAAUCCAAACCCUACUCCAAGAAGUGAGGAAGAAUCUGAUCCAGAAAGCCCUCCAAGAAAGACACGUUCACUACAAGACAUAUAUGAGUCAUGUGAACUUGGGUUGUUCUCUAGUGAACCACAAUCAUUUGAAGAAGCCUCAAAAGAAGUAUGUUGGACAAAAGCCAUGAAUGAAGAAAUGUCCACAAUCGAGAAAAACAAAACUUGGAAGCUUGUUGCCUUGCCAGAAGGGAAGAAAAUCAUUGGACUCAAGUGGGUCUAUAAAAUAAAAUACAAUGAAGAUGGGUCGAUCCAAAAGCACAAAGCACGUCUUGUUGCAAAAGGGUAUUCUCAACAGCCCGAAAUUGAUUACACUGAAACAUAUGCUCCGGUUGCAAGAAUGGAGACAAUUCGUACUGUUUUGGCACUGGCAGCUCAAUUGGAGGUAUGUGUUUAUCAACUUGAUGUAAAAUCGGCAUUCUUAAAUGGUGAAAUUCAAGAAGAAGUUUAUGUCGAGCAACCCGAAGGAUUUGAAAUCAAAGGACAAGAAGGAAAAGUCUAUCGUUUAUACAAGGCACUUUAUGGUUUAAAGCAAGCGCCGCGAGCAUGGAAUAGCAAAAUCAAUAGCUAUUUCAUCAAAAUGGAUUCAAUCGAAGCACGAGUGAAUCAUCUCUAUAUGUCAAUAAUCUUGGAAGAGACUUUCUUGUAGUAUGUCUUUAUGUGGAUGAUCUUCUAUACUUUGGUACAAGUAAAAGCAUGGUGGAAGAAUUCAAGAAAAAGAUGAUGAGAGACUUUGAGAUGAGUGACUUGGGUCAAAUGAAAUACUUUCUUGGCAUCCAAGUCAAACAAAGCCCGGGAAGAAUUUUUUUAUCUCAAGAGAAGUAUAUUGAUGAUCUUCUAGAAAAAUCCAGCAUGAACCAGUGCAAGCCAGUCUCUACUCCAAUGGGGCCGAAUGAAAAAUUCCAAGUCAAUGAUGAUGCUGAAAAAGUAGAUGCUACACUCUACCGAAAGUUAAUUGGUUCACUCAUCUACCUCAACACAAGGCCGGAUAUCACUCAAUCAGUGAGUUUACUUUCCAGGUUCAUGAAUGAACCAAGCAAGAAUCACUUUACGGCGGCAAAAAGAAUUUUGAGAUACCUUAAAGGUACAAAAAAUCAAGGCAUUGAGUUCAAAAAGGAAAAUAACUUCAACCUUGUUGGCUACACUGACAGUGAUUGGGCAGGCUCACUUGUUGACCGCAAAAGUACAUCGGGCUACAUCUUUUGUCUUGGAACAAAUAUUAUUUCAUGGAGUUCGAGGAAGCAAAGGUCUAUAGCACUAUCUUCUGCAGAAGCGGAAUACAUUGCAGCUGCGGAUGCCGCUUGUGAAGCAGUUUGGCUUAGAAGAAUUCUAAAAGACUUGAUGAUUGAACAACAAGAGCCAACAACAAUACAUUGCGACAAUAUGUCAGCAAUUGCUAUGACAAAAAAUCCAGUUUUUCAUGCCAGAUCGAAGCAUAUUGAACUACGUCAUCACUUCAUUCGAGAUUUGGUAAGUCGAGAAGAAAUUUGCAUGGAAUUUAUCAACACAAAUAAUCAGCCAGCAGACAUUUUAACAAAGGCAGUCACAUUUGACAAGUUCGACAAGAUCAAGGAAAAACUCAAGAUUACAAAUUAAGAGGGGGUGUUAAAUGUGGCAUUAAUUUGUAAUCUUAGGAAAUAAGGUUACAUGCACUUGUAGAAAAUGUAUCAGGAAAAUACAUGAUGCAAAUUCAUGAAUUAUUAUGUGUCCAUUUAUAUUCCCAUGUCUCUAGAGUUAUCCAUGUGGUCCUAUAAAUAGAGGUUAUUCUUGUAGUCUCAUUGUAAGAAAAAAAAAAGAAGAAAACAUUAUUGAGUGUGCUGUAGCAACUCAAAAACUAUCAAUAAAAAUUCAAGUUUUUCUUCAACACUUCGUUUCCGCACUAACAGAUCUCACACUGGGCAAAAUCGGAACUGGAAUUUCUCUUCUUCAAUUUGCCAAAAAAAUUUCCAAACUAGUGCUACUCAAUUUUUCCUCUUAAAUGUUGGCGCAUUUCCAUCCAUUUUCCCCGUUUUCCUUGAAGAAAAGCCUUUCUCUCUCCUUCACGUGUAGCUAGUAUUUCCCUCCCAAAAGCACAAGAAAAGCCUCUCUCUCUCUCUCUCUCUCUCUCUCUCUCUCUCUCUCUCUCACGUGCAGCUCUUGUUUCCCUCCUAAAAUUGCCUUCAUGGAUAAAUUCAAAAUCCUGUCAAUUGGGUGUCAUUGACCCUAUUUGAUAAGAUUAAUCCAAAAAUGUAUUCUGCAUUUUGCCAAAAUGGCUCCCAAACAUGAGCAUAAUUUCAGUCGAUGCUAUUUAUUUCUGUUAAAGAGAGAGAGAGAAGGAAAUAUGAAAAUGUUACUUAAAAAUAAGUUUAAGCAACUUUCAAGAUGAGCCAAAAAUGUAUGUAUCCGAGCAUACAAGUCUGAACUGUCGCCAUUAAGAAGUUUACAUUUUUUGCAAAAUACAUAGAGAAAGUUAAGUAGAGAGAUUUUUGACUAAGCGUCUCUUCCUCUGCAAUGACUUCGCCCGAUUCCAUUACACUGACCGUUGAACACUCAACCCGUAAUAAUAAUAGGGUAUAUACUCGAACAAAUCAAUAUUACCAGGAAAAACUCUCUUUAAUUCUCCACUUGCAUGCUCAAUUUUCGCAAAUAAUUGACAUAAUUAUUGUUUUAAUGUCCAUUUUUUCCCUUUUGCUAAGGAAUUGCCUUUUCUUUGACUCGUGAUUUUAACUUCUUCAGAUUGAUUUGGGAUCGGGUUUUGGAUUAGGGUUUCGAUUUAUUGUGGUUAAGGUUGACUUUUUAUGUAGGUUUUGUGGUGGUCGGUGGUUGUUUAGCAGUAGUUUGUUGGAAAAAAUUCCCAACGUAUAGAGCCACACGUGUAUGUAUAUUAAAAUGUGUUGUGCUAUUUUAAGGUUUAGUUAAUAAAGUGAUUCGUUAAAGUCAAUUUUUGGACUAUUGGGUACUAAAUGUCGUGGGAAUAAAGUGUAGAGAUCGGGAAAAAAUUAUUUUGAAUUGAUGAGAAGCCAAUUUGAAAUAACAUAAAGAUAAUAAUGCAGUUAUUUAUCGUGGGGUCAUGGUCCCCAAUUAUAAGUGAUUUUCAUAUAUCUCUGCAUCUCCAUCAACAGAGAAGAAUUUCCAAGGAAAUUACGUAACAAUUGAAAUAUCAUAACCCGUUCAAAACACUCACGUUCAUGGAUCAAUUUCCGCUCACACUUUUAAUCUUCUCUUUGAUUUCUACAUGGAGGAUUUAUGUAUUUUUUGUGAAAGGAUUUGUUAAUAUUUUGGUUCCUUUCAAUUACUACAAGUGGUAUCAGAGCACUCUAUUGUUGAAUCUUUGAGAAAUUACAAGAAUUAGGGUUCUAAUAGUUUUGAAUUUUGGGUUAUUUGAUCUUCUAUCAUAUGAUUAUAUAAGAUUUACUUCUUGCAAUAUUUUCAGAGUUUUCAGAUUUGAAAAUUUGGAUCUAGUUUUUUGUUGAAUUUGAAAAUUCUUUGGUAUGUUGUUUAUGGUUAUCUUCCUAGAUUUGGAUUAGAAAUUUUGGAAAUUCGAUUUUAUGUUUUUUUUCAUUAAAGUUUUAGAAAAUAAUUGAAAAUCCAGAUCUGGCUGGCUGUGCAGUCAUUGCCUGGAACAGCCGACCAUCGGCACCAUUAGAGAGGAAGAAAAAGAGGGAUUUGGAUGAAUUUGGGGGUGGGGGCUUCACGUGUAAAUUGAAUAACUUGAAGCCCCUGCUUGCAAUUAGGGUUAGGGUUAUAAUUUUAUGAUUUAAGUUCCUAAUGUUUAAAGUUCAUCCAAGUUGAACCUUUAAAGUUUUGGGUUUAAUAAUUCAAUCCCUAAAGCUUGAAAAUUAUUUAAUUUGGGCCAUUAAGGUUUUGAAUUUUACAAUUAAAACCCUCAGUGUUUAUAAUUAAUUAAAACAUCAUCAAAGUGGACAGAGAAGUCACUUUGAAUAAGUUGUCCAACACUUAGGAGAUUAUGAGAAAGAUUGGGAACAUAAAGAACAUCUGUGAUGAGUUUCUUGUUACCUUCUUUAAUUUGGACAGCAAUGGUGCCUUUUCCUACCGCAUCUCUACAUGUUCCAUCGCCAAGAAUUACUUGUGAAGUAAUAUUUGGAUUAAGGUCCACAAAGAUGUCGCGAUUCCCCGUCAUGUGAUUGCUACAACCGCUAUCCAAAUACCAAGGGCUUUGAGCUCCAUUUUCAUAAUUUUGAGAAUAAAACAGAAUUUCCUUUUCAUUCUCUUGAGAAAAGUUUGCUGCACUUUUUCUUUCUGUCAUCUCUUUAUUUUGAAACCAACAAUCCCUUUGAGAAUGAUUGGGGAUCUUGCACCUUUUGCAUCUAAAGUAGCACUCCUUUGAUUCAUGAUUCAUUUUUUUGCAAAUUAUGCAAGUUGGAUUGUUACCACCAGAAAUUUGUGUUUGCUCGCCUUUCCAUUUGCUUUGCUUGUCACCCUUCUUCCAAUAGCUAUCUUUUUGUUUUGUUUGAUUUGAGCCUCUGUUGUGUUCUCCAUAGUUGUUCGAUCCUCCUUUUGAUGUUUGCUUUGAUUGGAAAGCUUGUUCGGUAGUGGAUUGGUUACUCGAACGAUUGAUCCUUUGCUCAUGGGCAAGAAGUGACCCGGUUAACUCAUAAAUGGUCAUUUUGGACAAGUCUUUCGAUUCUUCAAUUGCGGCUGCAACAUGGUCAAACUUUGGAGGAAGGCAUCUUAACAUUUUCUCCACGACUCUUUUAUCUGUAAUUGUGUCACCACAGCUUUUGAUUUGAUUUACUGUCUCGGCUACUCGUGAAGAAAAAACACGAACCGAUUCUCGUUCUUCCAUUUGGAGAUUAUCAAAGUCUCUCCAUAAGGAUUGAAGUUUCAAGGCGAUCGUUUUCUCCGUUCCUUGAAAUUCUUGCAUCAAUAUUUCCCAAGCAUCUUUGGCUUUUUUAACACCAAAGAUACGAGGGAAAAUUGAUUUCCCGACUCCUUGUUGAAUAUAGCGGAGAGCCAUUGCAUCUUUUCUUUUAAAUUCUUUUUGCAAUUUUUCGUAAUCUUCAUUGUCUUCGGAUGGUUCUUCGUACUCCUCAUCGUCAAUGACAUCCCAAAGAUCUAAGGAGAUGAAGAAAGUUUGCAUUUGGAUGCUCCAGUAUUCAAAAUGCUCGCCUUCGAAGAUUGGGACUUGACUGGAAGAAUAUGUAAACAACGAAGCUGUUUGUAAGAAAGCCAUGAAAAAAUGCAAUCACAAGUUAUGGCUCUGAUACCAAAUUUGUUAGUGCGGAAACGAAGUGUUGAAGAAAAACUUGAAUUUUUAUUGAUAGUUUUUGAGUUGCUACAGCACACUCAAUAAUGUUUUCUUCUUUUUUUUUUUCUUACAAUGAGACUACAAGAAUGACCUCUAUUUAUAGGACCACAUGGAUAACUCUAGAGACAUGGGAAUAUAAAUGGACACCUAAUAAUUCAUGAAUUUGCAUCAUGUAUUUUCCUGAUACAUUUUCUUCAAGUGCAUGUAACCUUAUUUCCUAAGAUUACAAAUUAAUGCCACAUUUAACACCCCAAUUUAGCUACACGUCCGGCAAUGACUCCGAAAAUUGAUUUCUUGGUCUUGUUUCCUGUCACCAACAUUCCAAACAUUCCAAGAAAGGAAUGCAUAUCUUUUUUAGUUUUUCUUGUAUAAAAUCUCCUUUAUACAGCCAACAGCCUCUCCAGUUCUCGUCUUUGGAAUCACCCACCAUCACCAUGCAUAUCUUGCAUUGAAUGUUAUUUUCAAUUUUUCUUUAGAGGCAUCUUUUUUUUUAAUCAUUCAGAAGUAAGUGAAGUUUUGCUUUAUCAUAUGCAUGUUUCUUGACUAGGAUGGAAACAUAUCCAGAUUUAACAAGAUCACGACACUGACUCGAGAAUUUAAUUUUCUGGUUUUAUUUGAUAUAUUGAACAAUUUAUUGUAAUUCUACAAUUGGCAACAUUGUAAAUACGCCGGAGGCAAUGAGUAGCAUAAUUUCAAGUGAAACUUGAUCUAUCCUCUUCCCCCAAAGACAAGUGUAAUUGAGACAUAUGUAAUUGAGCUACGAAUCAACAAAUUCUCCCAUAUUUUAUCAUUUUUAGAACACAAAAAAAUUGACCAAACUAAAUCAUUUGCAUUUUCAGAGGGCGCUCACUAUCCAAAAAUCUAGUCUUUUAAUAAUUUCUUAUCAAGGCAACCAUUCCGAACAUUGUUAUCACCCAUCCUCCCCAGAAGAAGAAAAUUCCAGACUUGAAAUGACAGAGCAUAUCAAUAAGUAUGAAGUAGGCAGUCACUUAAACACAUUAAUAUUCAUGAAUUUUAUUCUCAAUGAACUAGGCUAAAAUUCCCAAUGAACUAGGCUAAAAAUUGAUAAAUAUUGAUUCUCAAUGAAUUAGGUUAAACAUUGAUUCUCAGUGAAUUAGGCUAAAAUAAAUAUUGAAGAUACUUGCGGGAAAAAAAAAUCGAAAAUAAAUAUUGAUUCUCAAUGAACUAGACUAAAAUUCUCAAUGAACUAGGCUAAAUAAAUAUUGAUUCUCAAUGAACAAGACUAAAAUAAAUAUCGAAGAUACAUGUGAAAAAAAAAAAAUAUCAGAAGUAAACAUUGAUUCUCAACGAUCUAGGAUAAAAUUCUCCAACAAAAAUGACAAAAUUUCAACUCCUACAGGUCAAUAAAUCUGGUGCUAUUUAGCUACCGGCCAGAGAUGCUCUAGCAUGAGGCGGCGAAACCAUGGAUGCAAGAGUACUCGGACUGGAGGCAAGAAUGUCGACUGAGGUGCGUCCGGAGAUCCAAAAUCUUCAAAUGGCGAAAAGUAGUAGAUGGAAGUGCUGUCGGAGGAACGGUGUUCUUCCGAUUUCCAUACAGCCGGAGAUGGUGUGGUGUGGGUAGAGGUUUUGAAGGUGUGGAUUUUGUUUUCGCCGAAACGUAUUCUGUGGGUGGUGGGUUUCCAUUUGGGGAAAGCAAUUCUAUUGGGUUUUUUAAGUUUCUAAUUUUUUUUACCUUAUUAUUAUUAUUAUUGUAUUAUUUUUAAUGACACGUAAGCCGAAAAAUGGCCUGGAACUAGAUUGUCUGUGUAGCACGAUUGUACAUUUUUUUACUGUUUCAGCAAAUAGUUGGGACCCAAACAAACUGUAAUUAUUGACAGCUGUGAUGUUGCACAUAUUGCGAAUUACCGAAAUUGCUCUAUCUUAAAAGAAGAAUGAUUUUAUUUUAUUUUGUGUAGGGCACAUUGGUAAUAUUUCUGUAAUCCAGUCAAAAUGUAAGGCUCCUUAGACAAGUUUCGUAUAACGGCUAGAAUUUUUCUAAAAAUAUGAUACAAAAUGCUGCCAAACAAGGGCUAUAUUACAAUGCAUUAUUGUGGCUCAUCUAGCCAAACAAUAGGAUGAACGAGACAAUCAAUUCUAAUAUCCUACUAAACUCUCGUUUGGACUUCACUUUAAUGAGAUUUUGGGAAAAAUGUAUUUUGAAAUAAUAAUUUUUGUAAUAAUUUUUGAAGAAUGUAAGGUUAAAAAGUAAGAAAAAAAUUUAAAUUUACUUAUAAUAUUAAAGAAUGCGUGAUUGAAAAUAAAUUUUUUUAAAAAUAUAUAUAUUUUUUAUUUAAUAGAGCGCAAACAAGGGUAAGAAAUAGCUCUUCAGCAACAUGGACUUGUGGAUCAUUUGAAAGUUGUGAACGAGACAAUCAAUUUCUGAUAUCCUACUAAGCUCUCGUUUGGACUUCACUUUAAUGAGAUUUUGGGAAAAAAUGUAUUUUGAAAUAGUAAUUUUUGAAGAAUGCAUGGUUAAAAAGUAAGAAAUUUUUUUAAAUUUACUUGUAAUAUUAAAGAAUACGAGAUUAAAAAUAAUUUUUUUUAAAAUUUAAUAGAGCUCAAACGAGGGUAAGAAAUAGCUCUUCAGCAGCAUGGAUUUGUGGAUUAUGAUUAGCUUGCAUGGCAUUAAUGCUAUAUGACUCCAUCUCAAAGCAAUCAUGUUCAAGGCACGAAAAAAUUUAGUCCCUCAAAAAUAGCAAGGCACUUUCCAAUAAUUGGUUAUACCAGACCUCGAGUGGAUUUGGAUAAGGCGGCUUUCAUUUUUCUCUCGUGAUUUCUGCAAACAAUUCCAACCCCAAAAAAAUUUCCGUUCGUUUUUAGCAACAUCCACAUUUUUUUCUGGUGGUGUUUUUGUGCUUUGAUCUUAUAAUUCUAUAACAUUAUUGUGAUGAAAUAUUCUUGAUUGCUUGAGUAAAGAGCCUUCACAAAUGCUAUGGCCUUGUUAUGCAGUAUCUAUGCAAUCACUACUAGACGGAAUUGAAAAGUAUUAUGCAUAAAAUUUAACCCUUUUUUCUUAUUUAACUAAGUCUAUCUAGUCACGUCGAAUACUAUCUACCGAACAUGCACUUAAAAAAGAGCUAGGUUGAAACUUGAAUCUCUUACAAAUAGAGUGAAGAUAUAAGUUUUCAAGAAUAAAUAAGCAAGUGAUUCCUCAAUUGUGGCAAUUCUAAUUAAUUUUUUUAUGCUUUCACUAUUCAAUACGUAAAAGGAACAAGUAAUGAAUGGGAGGUGUGUGGCCAAGAGUUAGUGCCCCUUCCAUAUCAACAAUAUUGGUCAAACAAAGAGACAUCUUAUUAGUUGAAAUUUGUUGCUGUAGGAAUUGGUUCAAAUAAUUAAUCAAAAAUUGGAAAAUGAAAAGUUGUAUAAAAGUGGAAAAUGAAAAGGUGUGACUACGUGUCAAUUUCGACCAAAUAUUCGGACUUGAUCUGAUGGUCAAAUUACAAAAGUAAAUAGACCAACUUAUUCUACUCGUCGAGUAGAUCAUCGUGAUAUAUUUGGAAUCUCGAAACCAAUUCUGGAUGAAUGAGAAAUUACAGACCAAAGUUGGAAGAAAUAAAGUGUUGCAACUUUUCGAAAGGAUGCCGGCUUUGGCCAAGUGUUGCAACUUUUUGAAAUGAUGCAUAUUUUGGCCCACACUACUUCAUUUGCACACUUUCUACAUUUAUAAAUACAUGGUUUUGGGUACAUCAAUUGUAUUGAGCAUUCAUUCUCCUUUUGCAAUUCUCUCCUUUCUAAUUUCAUAGCAUUUUCAUUCAUUUCAUUGGUAGAGAGGGAAUUCCAUUCGAGUUCGCUUGCGGAAGUCAUUUGGAGUGCUCCUAUGGCUUGACGUGGUCGUUGUAUCUUGGGAGAUGAUUGUUGAAAAACCGUUAGCACUGAUGUGGGGCAAAUUCAUCUUAAGGAAAGAGUUAUACUCGCCUCGGCCAAUCGCAUCACUUACAUCUAAUUUUUUCUGAUUUCAUUUCUACUUGAUUUUAGAAAAUGAUUAAUUUUAUUUUUAUGGUUCAUGCAAUGUUCGAUAUGAAGAGUCACAUGUUUUAAUUCAAGAAUGGAAAUAGUCAAAUUCGAUAAUCAUUGGUUAGUUUCUCAAACUCCAUUUCGGUAAGUCGAAACCUUGUUUCGAUUUCGUGAUCAUAAACGGUAUAUUUUUUGUGAAUAUAAUAUGCACAUAAUUGGUGUAUUCUCCAACAAUAUUAAGAUGAAUUUUCUUAUGCAUAUUAUAUAUUAUUUGUAAUCGAAAUCAAGAUACUGCAUGAAUAAAAUCAUAAGAUAGAAUUUGGACGUAUCAUGAUUCUGGUAAAUGUGUUCUAUUACAACAUUUUAAUUAGAGAAAUUCAUGUGUAAUGAAUCUGUAUAUUAUAAUAGAAUCGAUAGUGAUUCUAUAACUUGGAAUCAUUCAUUUAUAUGUUGAAUUCAUUACAAUAUAUUUCAAGUUGAUUUGUGGACAAACAAUCUGAUAUUAUUCAAUCCUGCACCAUAUAAUGUAGACUCUGGUUUUGACCCAUUAGAAGAAAUUCUAAUAUUCAGAUAUUAGAGUGGAAAAUCUCAAAUUAGUGCACCAAAUUAUAUGAUAAUUAGUUGUGAAAUUCAUAAUACAUAUGAUAUUCAUGAACCGGUGCAUACAUGUUUGUGUAUUGUAUUUGUUGGUAGUCUCAUCUAUGAGUUUUAUUUGUUGGCACUCUUUUAAUCCAAAGUGUAUCUAUAUUAAAAGAUAAUUUGUGUCAGAAGUUGCCUAAGGAAUUUUGAUUGGGAAGGUUGGUAAAAUCUUGUUAACUGUUUGUAAACAAAUAGUAUGCAUGCUAUAUGGGAAAAUGUAUCUUUCCAAAUUAAAAACAGUUUUUAAUUUCUGAAAUAGUGUAAUCCGUUUGAAUUGUGUAGCAUGAAAUAUCUGUCCAGAUAGUAUAUAAAUAUAAAUUGAUUUGUAAAGUCAAAUUGCACAUGGACAUUGUGAAUUUUAUAUGAUAACCAUUGCGUUCCUUCAUGUUUAAACUGCCUCAAUUCAAAGUUAUCAAGAAGUAAAUUUACUAAACCUGCAAAAGAUGCAUGUUGGGAUAAUUUUAAUUGUUCAAAGCAUGUUGACUUUGACUUUGUCAAAAUCUAGUAAUGCUGAAAUUUAUAGUUUGUGCAGAAUUCCUUACUUUUAGUUUAUACGUAUAUCAUCCCAAUAACUUUUGUUCUCUCACUAUGGCAAAUCAUUAUGCGUUUGAGUAUAUUACUUGCAUGAGAAGACAUAUUUUAACUGAUAAAUAUGUUCAUAAUGGUAAUAACAUGAGUAUGUAUUUAUUUUAAGUAGCCAACUUUGUUGGGUAUCUAUAUGAUAAUCAUGUGAAGCGGAUUAGUGUAUUCAUUUGAUGAAUCCAUGCAAGCGUUUGGAUUUUGUAUAGACCUUUUUGGUUAAAAUGGUCUAGUUGGUUAAAUUUUCAUAUCUUGUUGAAAUUAUACUAACUUUGAUUAAUGUUGAUAGCCUCAUUUAAUCCUAUGGAAUUAAUUGGAUAUAAUUAUUUAGUUAUGAGAAUUAAACCACUUAAUUAUUUGAAAUAUUCUACGAUCAAUUUAGAUAAAAAGGUGUGUCCUUUCAUAUGAAUAAUCAUGACUUUUGGUAUAAUUAUUUUUCAAUGGGUGUGUCUCCCACAGAGAUUAAUUCAAGAGGUGUGUCAUUUUGUAGAGUUAUGUCUCUUGAAGAACACAACUUUUUAACCUAUGGUUGAUUCCUUCGUUCAAGUUUGAAUAUGAUGAAUAUGGUGAAUAUGUACCUUAUUAUUUGACAUAAAAUGAAACUAUCAUGUGAAAUGUCACAAAUGUGAUAAGUUGCAUAUCUUGCAAUGCUUAGCCCUUUUAUUGUUGAAUUUAACUUCAAUCAUGAAACCAAUUAAAUUGGUAUAUGUUUUGAAAGCAUUGUUGGUCUAUAUGAUGACCUUGAUUUAAUUUGAAUGAUCAAAUUAAAAUAAUUGGAUUGAAGUAUGUUAUAUGCAACUUUAAUUGAAAUAAAUUGUGAGUCAACGACCACUACUUUGGAAGUAUUUAGACUUUCACGAAGCACUUGAUAUGGAUAUUAUCUAAGAGAUAAAUAAAUUGAAUUAUGAAAGAGUUGCUAAACCCUAAGUUCAAUUGUAACCCAAAGAUGUGGGAGAUUAUCAUAAAUGCUCGUGAACUUGAAUGAAAAGUUUAAAACUUAUGGAUGCAACGUUACUAGAUUGCAUAUGUAUUCCUAAUUGAGGAAUUGUGGGGGGAACUCACUUUAAUAGUUACGUUUGCUUCUAUCUUAUAAUCAUAGAACGAUACCUAUGAAGGUGGAAAGAUAAAAAACCCUUAUACUAAUUAUAAGGAUGAUAUAUACUAAGUCUAAAGUGGAUGAAAUGGGUUGUAAAGCCGAUUAUGACGUUUGUUUAGACAUACAAGAACAAUUGAAAAAUAUGAAGAAUAUUCAUAAAGUUCGAAUGCACUGUUAUGUUUCAAUGAUGAUAUUGAAUACCCAUGACCCUGAAAUCCACUAGUAAACAUGGUUGAGUAGUGCAAGAAUUAGAUAGAAAUCAUCUAACAGUGUUGUUUGGAGAUUGAUCAAGCUUUAGAUAAAGCUAAUAAGAAGUAUGUAGCUUCAUGAAAGGAUUUCUUGGUGGUGACAAUUUGUAUCUAUUAAAUGAAAUCGAUCGUUUGCUAGCAAUAAUUGAUAAGAUACUAAGUCAUAUGUAAUGGUAGGUCUAGACGUAUAAGUCAUAGACAUAAUACCAUUAAGCAGUUGAUCUCAAUGGUGUAAACUCGUGGUACUUUUAAAAAAGAUUUAAAAAGAGAGAUCAAGAAGAUUGCAUAUCGAAGGGAAUGAGAUUGAAGCCUACUACGUUAGAGUCCUUGUAAUGAUAACCCUACCUUGUUAACUGGAGAUCCCAAGAUUUUGGUUCAAAGCGACAACUAAGUUAUGAGGAUUCCAGAAGCACUUAGGAAAAUAAUUUCCCAACUCAUUCCUAUGAUAUUAAAGUGCUUUCUGCAGAGUUGCAAGAGGUUAAAAUAAUCUUUUAAUGAUUCCUAUAUCUUUAUUAAGUCAAGUGGAGUAGGGCAGAAUACUCUUAAUAGGAGGUCACCUAUGUGAGUGUGAAGUGUGGCCGCUUCAAUGAGAAUUAUUCAAGGCUUAAAUUCUCUAAACACUCGCAAUACCAAGAAGGGUUCAGGGCCAAAAUGAACCAAUUCAUGAGAACCAUGAACGGUUUAGGGAAGACAUUGUGUGAGUAUCGUUGUCUUUGCUUACACUAAAGGCUGAAUGGUUCAAGACAUCACGUUCACCAAUUAGCCGAGUAAGUCCGAUGGUAUUUCACUAAGGGAGGUUCAAGACAAGAAGCUACAUUCCCUGAUGCAGUGUUUUUUCGCACCCUUUCUACAUUGCAUCAAUAUCAUCGCAUUUGCAUAUGCGUACCCAAUUUCCAUUCAUGUGGGGGGGGGGGGUUUUAGGAAUUGGUUCAAAUAAUUAACCAAAAAUUGGAAAAUGAAAAGGUGUGUAAAGGUGGAAAAUGAAAAGAUAUGACUACGUGUCAACUUCGACCAAAUAUUUGGACUUGAUCCAAUGGUAAAAUUACAAAAGUAAAUAGAUCAACUUAUUCUACUCGUCGAGUAGAUCAUCAUGGUAUAUUUGGAAUCUCGAAAAUAAUUCUGGAUGAAUGAGAAAUUACGGACCAAAGUUGGAAGAAAUGAAGUGUUGCAACUUUUCGAAAGGAUGCAGGUUUUGGCCAAGUGUUGCAACUUUUCGAAAGGAUGCGGGUUUUGGCCCACACUACUUCAUUUGCACCAUUUCUACAUCUAUAAAUGCAUGUUUUUGGAUAUACCAAUUGCAUUGAACAUUCAUUCUCCUCUUGCAAUUCUCUUCUUUCUAAUUCCAUAGCAUUUUCAUGCAUUUUCUUGGUAGAGAGGGAAUUCCGUUCGAGUUCGCUGGUCGAAGUCAUUUGGAGUGCUCCUAUGGCUUGACGUGGUCGUUGUAUCUUGGGAGAUGAUUAUCGAAAAAUAAUUAGCACCGAUGCGAGGCAAAUUCAUCUUAAAGAAAGAGUUAUACUCGCCUCGACCAAUCGCAUCACUUACAUCUAAUUUUUUCUGAUUUCAUUUCUACUUGAUUUUAGAAAAUGAUUAAUUUUAUUUAUAUGGUUUAUGCAAUAUUUGAUAUGAAGAAUCACAUGUUUUAAUUCAAAAAUGAAAAUAGUCAGAUUCGAUAAUCAAUGGUUAGUUUUUCAAACGCCAUUUCGGUAAGUCGAAACCUUGUUUUGAUUUCGUGAACAUAAACGGUAUAUUUUUUGUGAAUAUGACAUGCACAUAAUCGGUGUAUUCUCCAACAGUUGCAAGUGAAUUAAGGGAAUUGAGACUUUGGAUUCACCCCUUUCCAACAUAUUAAAUAAAUUUGGAAACCAAUAGUGUCAUUAUAAUUACACCAAGGGAAGUAAGCACUACAUAUACCACAAUGAAUUAACUUAAAUUAAAUUUUAGUUAGCAUCUCAGGUAAAGAAUUUCUUAAUACUCCAGAUCAAAGUCUCAAUAUUAUAUUAUUUUUCAGAUAAAGGUUAGAGUAUUAUUUCCACUUUCAAAUCUCUUUAGUCCUCAUAAAUCAAAUUGUGUUUCCAUAAAUGUCGUGCUUAUAAAUAUUUCGUUGCUCAAACUACAGAACACAUUCUUGAACCGUGACAUUAUUAUCAACAAGCAGAGCCGGUCCUGUGGUCAGGCAAAUGAGGUCUGUGCCUCAGGCCCAAAACCAUAGGGGGCCUAUUUUGGCCCAAAAGUUUUUUUUUUUUUUUUAAUAUUAGAAGAAGGAAAAGGAAAAUAGUUUUUUCAUUAAUUGUGAGAUGAUUGAGAUAUUUGUUUGUUGCUCUAAUGUUAAGUUUUAAGUUGGCAAUAUGUUGCAUAAUACACCGUUGAAUUUUGUAUUUACGUUGAUUUUGGGGGGCCUAAUUUUUGGAUUUCACCCCGGGGUCUGACAAUUACAGGACCGGCUCUAUCAGCAAGCAACAUUUAUGCACACAAUAUGUAUAUGUGACUUAAGUCAAACAAUGAAUAUAAGAAAAUAACAAAGAGCUGUACCUCUUAAGCAUGAUGCUACACUUCCAUUAGCCAUAUAGGGGUAAACAAGCAAUCGUUCUGUAGGUGUCAUGCAAAAGCCACGUAACCGAAGUAGAUUUCGAUGCACAGCCAUGCUGAUCAUUUCUGCUUCGGUUUGAAACUGAAGCUCUCCACCUUGUGUACGUUCUUCUUUUAAUCUUUUAACUGCGACAAGAGAACCAUUAGCCAACCGGCCUUUAUGAACUUUGCCAAAUCCACCCCUGCCAAGAACAUUUUUGUUGCUAAAAUUAUCCGUUGCAACUUGGAGUUCAUGUAAAGAAAAUCUUUUGAGCUGCCCUAGAUGGACUUCUGGAUCCUCCUCAGCUGCCAAUGAAUAGAAGAUAAUUAAGAACACAUUGUACACAAUAGUCAUGAUAAACUAAAGCUUUCUUUAGAUCCACUAACCAGGAACAUCAAAGAAGUGAACAGAUUGCUUCCUUCGUCAGUACCAAGCAAGCGCUAUUGCAGGAGCAGCAAAGAGAAGAGCCGCUCCAGCAGCAACUCCUCCUGCAAUGGCCCCAGUUGCACUGUUGCCAACUGUAGCAGUAAUCAAGUUUUUGCAACUCAAACGACUAAUUAAAUGGUGAAGUGUGAGAGUUUGACAGAAAAAAAUAUUAUAUAUAUAUAUCCUUGACCUUAUCAGUCCUACAGUCAAAAAAAAUUUCAAUGCAUACCAAAUAAAAAAAUGUGAUGAGCAUAAAAAUAUGAUAAAAUUCUAUGGUUCGAAAAACAGGAGAACAAAAUUAUUAAAUAUAUGGUCCAAACAUCACAUUAAAUGGAAAUACAAAAAGUAGUCAGUAACUAUUUUAUAUAUUCCCGUUAGUUAAUGAGAGAGCAUUUCCAACUUCUGAUAUGUCUUAUGUUCAUAUUCACUAGGUCAUACUAGCAAAGCUUAUCUUCUUAAUAUGCUAUUGCCAUGAGCCGGGAAAGGAAAAAGAAAUUAUUCAGGAAAAAAAGGAUAUAUUAUAAAGAAUUAACGAACCUCGCGAUGAAGAUGGGUUUGUCGAUUGAAGUGGAGGUGAUGGAGAUACGGGAGCAAGUUUCAGGUUAGGAUUAUUUUUGAAGCUGGAAGAUAGGAUCUCAACAGUCAGAACAAGACCUCGAUGAGUGACUUAGUCUAGUGUGGAAAAGACAGUAAGACAGAAGUAAUUGCAUUAAACCUGAUAGGUGUGAAAAGCUGAAAGGAGCCAUUGAUUGGAGUCGUCCCUGAUAAAGUGUUAUUUGACAGAUCACUGUAUUUAUACUUGAAAAUGAUUAUUAGUCUGCCAAAAACAAGAUGCAAAGAAAACCACCAGUGAUAAAAGAAAAUCCUUUAAUCCUCUACUUACAGGAUUUGAAGGGUAGUGACGUUGGUCAGAGACAUAGGAAUAGUUCCAGUCAAAGUGUUAUUGUUGAGCCUCCUAUGUAGUCAACAAACGCACACAAUUUGGUUUUGAAGAAUCUGAGCAAUUAAUUAUAUAAAAAAAACAGUUUAUUCAAAGUAAUCUGAACAUUUCUCAAUAAUUAGUGUUGACCUCGAAAAUUGAUCCUUCCACGUGGUCAACUGAGAGCUACUCCACGUAUUCCUCCCUGCGCACAAUCAGUGAAUGGUCAGACGCACACGGUCGGGACCAGCGGGGGUGGUGGCGACCGUAUACACUCCGACGGUCAAGUCAGGUUUAGGUGGUCGGAACAGUACCCAAGAGUUGUGCAAAAUAAUGAUAAGGGGGAGGAGAAAUAUAUAAGCUUGCUAUGGAGUGCUAUGUAGUAAGAGUUUUCAUUACCUUUGUCUCUUGCCAAACCUUGGGUAUUUAUAGGUGGGAUGAGUCGUUGGAUGUGGGACACGUGUAUACAUCUGACGGUAUGAGGCGCCCGCUCAUAAGCGUCAAUCAGCCGCGUCUGUAGAGUGGGCGGACAACUUGUUUCUCCUGAGUUGAAUUGACAUAAAGUUAAUAAGUCACAUCAACUAGCCUCAUGAAGACGUCAAAUCAAUUUAAACUUUAGGUGCAGGAAGGAUCUUGGCACAAAUUUCUUUCCGAAAUUGGCGGCGGAUCUUCUAACCGGGGGCCACUUGGCCUCGGCUUCAGGGGCGAGGUGCUUCGGUCAAGUCAGUAGUAGGGAUCGCUUGUACUUCGCAGCGUGCUACUAGGUUGCAGACAUUGCUGAUAUCACUUCGAAAACACUUUGGACGAGUCUUUAUUAGGUCGAAAUAUAUGGUGGUGCGCGUUCCGAGGCGGAUCAGAUAGAGGCAUAACAGUGUCCAGGUAUAAAUAUUUAUAUCAUGGGUGGACUUGCUUUCCUGACCGGAUGUAUAUGUCUCGGUACUGGGGAUCGCGACUCGUGGGAGUUUGGGGAUUGAUCUUUUGCAGUAAUCGAGGUCAUGAUCCUAGGCAGAUGUGCCAAAGUUUCGUUACUGUGUAAGGGAAACAAUAACCAAUGUGAGGUCGAAGCACUGCAAGAUGGGACGAUUAGUAGGAAAAGAGGUUAACAUGACGACCGAGGCGAUGUCCCAGAGGGGGCUCGCGCUAGGUGCUUGUAGGUUAUGCGAAGGUGAGCAAGGAACUCAUCUGCCACCGGUGCGCUAACCCACAGGGCUAACGCAUUGGGAGAUGGCUAAAACUUUGUAAAGCAUGAGAGGGAACGCAGCGUCCGAGGCGAUGACCCAUAGGGGACUUCGCGUCAGGUGCGUCCAAACUUUGUAAAGUUGAGUGAGGAGCUCAUCUAUCACCGGUGCGUUGACCCAAAGGGCCGACCCGUUGGGAGAUGGCUAAAACUUUGUAAAGCAUGGGAGGGAACGCAGCAUCCGAGGCGGUGACCCACAGGGGACUUCGUGUCGGUACGUCCAAGCUUUGUAAAGUUGAGUGAGGAGCUCGAUCCGAGGCGAUUCAAACGUCAAAUGAUUUGACAACUGUUGCGUAUUUCCAAGGUGACAGUUGGGUGCCAUGCCCAUUCUCGUAAAAGGCUGUUGUGGCUACUUAUUAUUAUUGACGGCUGCAUGUAACCGAGGUGACGCAUUUUAAGCAAGCGUGAAUGUCACGGCGACAUCUUGGGCGUAGAUCAAAUCUGGCGUUUCAUUUCAACGGCCCAGAUUGAAGAUGCGAUGAACGGCUUAGAUUGAUCGCAUUUGAAUUCGAUGGUGGAGAUCGGAUUUGUCUUUCUAUAAAAGGUGGACUCUGAGGUUUUCUCAAGCUUUCUACCCUUGCGAAACAAACAAUAUAUUUUGCUCUCAAGUCAUUGGCGAUUUUCGGCAUUUUCUAAGCAAUUCCGACGAGAAAAUUGAACUUUCGACGACCUUACACCAUUUUCAGCUAGGAAAACCUUCAAACUCGUAAGUUUCAUUACCUUUUAGGGCUUUUAAAUUCUGAAAAAAUGGCCUCGGAGAGGAGUUUUGGUUCGGGGAGGGGGUUAGAACUAGUGAGGGUGGACGAGCCCAUUGUGGCGACCUCCUCAGAAAUAGCAGAGGCAAUAAUAGGGGGAAAAUAUAUGGAAGCGACCAAAUAGCCCAACAGAUACUUCUGUGCAUUGUGGGCAUGGGACUACCCAUCCAAAUUAAGAGAGGCCGACCUGGGGAGACUUAGGACGGAGUAUAGGAUCCCUGAUAGCAUAGAUUUGAUCCUCCCCGAGAGAGCCUGCUACCCUAGGCCGGUCUAUGUGGCAAUUAGCGAGGCGAUCCUUAGGGUCGAACUUAGGCUGCCAGUUCACCCAUUCUUUAGGAUGGUGCUUAGAUCCUAUGGGCUAGCCCCGACGCAAUUCAAUUCGAAUUCCUGGAGCCAAAUGGUGGGCUCCUGGAUGUUGUGGAAAGAGGCAUCAUUAGGGGUGGAGAUGCCCCUCUCCGUCUUCCAGACCCUUUAUAUACCUAAGGUAAUUGCUGGGGGGGGGGGUAAGACCCGGGGAUGGUAUUACCUUACUUCAUGGGGUUUCCACGCUCCAUUCGUGCUCGAUUUGCCGAGCUCCUUCAAAGAAUGGAAGAGCUCGUGGUGCUGAGCCACAUGGUGAUGGGACACAAUGGAGGGGGACCCCCUGGCGCCUCUUACGGUCCCGACGAAGUACUCAACACUUAGUGAGUAUAGUAGUUGUUUUUCCUUAUAUUUCUCUUCGGUUCGAAUUGUGCCUAACAUUUACCUUUCCUUUGCAGGUGCUCUUCCUCGGUGCGAGCUGUCAUCCGAGGACUUUGAAACCAUCUGCAUCAUUUAUCAGCUGCCUCAAAAGAAGGGGUCUUACCAUAGGCUGAUUCGAAAGAACAUCCACUUCAUUACUCACGAUCUGAUGGCAUCCCAAGGUAACUGGACCGAAGUCUUUACCCUUUAUUCUAAACUCUCAACACUUGUACUAAUUAAUCAUUCGCUCUUUGCAGACAACUUUAAUAAGAAGAUGCCUGUGCGCCCCAACUUUAAGACUAUCCAGAAGAUGAUGGCAGAGGCACGGGCGUUGAAGGCCUCUUCCUCCUCCUACAAAAAACAAAUGGAGGAUUUGGUGGAAGCCAGUAAGAGGCUUCAGCCUCCGACGGAGGAGGAGGUACCGGAGGACCCGGAGGGUGACCUUCGGAGGAACGGCAAGAAGAGUGCCGCCCCUCCAAAAUGCCCAACUGUGGCGAGGCCAUCCCCUGCUCUGAGGCAAACCACAAUCCCCACCGAGGUGGCCAUUCCGGAGAAGAGGCCCACCCCAUCUGAGCCUGCCACUGCCCCGGCCACAACACCCCUUGCUUUCGUGCCAAUUGAUCAAGUGCCGGGGCAGCAGAAGAGGAAGAGGCCCCGUUCCUCUAAGGAGGUCAACUUUCUGGGCAUAAACCAGAAGGAGCCCGUAAGGGAAGUGUUGGAGGCUCUUCCUCCAGAAACAGCUACGGUGGCGUUGGUCCACAGCAAAUACUGGACUGAGGAGUGAAGGGACCACACUGCCUCCUGCACAGUUGAGGAUUUGGUGGCUGCAAAUAGCGCCUGCGUGGCUCGGGCCCUGAGUACAAACAUCCAACUUGAGGGCUUGGUGAAGGAUCUGAACGCCAAGAGGAAGGACCUCGCCAAGCGCCUCGAGGAGGCGAUGCACUAUGGGGAUGCCGUGCGAGCGGCCCAGGCCAAGGCCACGCAGGCGAAGGAGGGAAAGAAGGAAGCUAACUGUCGCCAAAGCAGAAGUGGAACGGCUGAAGAAGGAGUUGUACGAGGUGGAGUGCCAAGUGGCUGCUGUGACUCGGUGGCUUGAUCACGCCAAUGAGCACCACAAGCUCGCCACCGAGGCUCUGGAGGCCUCCAACAAAGAGAAGACGGAGCUGCGGUAGAAGGCAAAGGCUCAGUCAGAGGAGAUUGCCUCUUUGAAGGAGGAGUUGAAGUCUGCAGAGGAGGUGGCAGUUCAGAACUUCGUCGACCACUUUGAAGACCAUCCCCUGUAUGACGACUUCGCCAAUUUUUGGGCCUCAUGGAGUUCCCAAAGCUUGUUGGGUCGACUGAAGGAGGUGUACCCCAUUUUGGACAUCUCCUCAUUGGAGGUAAAGUUCGGGGGCCCAACUGGAGGUCGGCCUGAUAGGCUUGCUGAGAAAGCUCCGGAGGCCCCGGAGGCGGCCGAUGUAGAAGUCCCUCCAGCAGAAUAGGGCUAUCUUUUGUAAUGGCUUCGGCCUCCUUGUACUUAAAUUUAUUCAAUGAAAUAAAAUUUUUGGUAAGUAUUUGUGCUUCUGUUUUUUUUUAAUCUUUUCGAUCUGUUCAUAUUUGUAUGAAUGACAAGCGUCAGACUAAUUGCCUCGUAACAGUAACCAGUUAAUAAUUGCGGAUCGGACCACUCAAGUUAAUAUAAGUUGAAUCACUUAAGCGAAUAUGAAGCGACUCUUACUGCUAACCUGUUAACAAUUUGAGGUCGGACCACUUAAGAUAAUAUGAAGCGAACCACUUAAGAAAACAUGAAGAGCCCCUUAAUAAUUGAAGAUCGGAUCGCUUAAGUGAACCUAUUGAAGGACUGAGGAAACUAUUUACUAACUGAUGUGGUUCAGAAUCGAAGUUUCAUUACUUGAGAUAAAUUACACCACCCUUUACCAAGGAGAUAAAUUACACCACCAUUUACCAAGGCGAUUCUAGCACUUAGUUAGGGAAUUUACAACUGAGAUCAGAUCAAAACAAUCGAUCCAUUAUACCAUAUUGAGAUCGGAUUGGAACAAAGGCUUAUCAUUGAUAGUACUUCCUCAAGUGUUCGAUGUUCCACUGAUGCGGUAGCGCCUUUCCUGCCAUGUCUUCAAUUUCGAAAGUACCCGGUUGGGAUUCCCGGUGGAUGCGGUAAGGGCCUUCCCAGUUCGGGCCAAACACUCCUGACCCGGUUGGUUUAGAGGAUUGGAAGACUCUUCUGAGGACGAGGUCGCUUUAGCGAAGAGUUCUGUUUCUGACUUUGGAGUUGUAAUAGCGGGUCAUCUUUCGAUGAUACUUUGCCAAGUUCACUUGGGAGGCAUCCCUCCUUUCCUCAAGGAGGUGUAGUUUGCUUAUCCGAGCCUCGUCAUUGCUGAUCUCAUUGAAGUAUAUCCGUCGAUGUGAUGGGACCCCGACUUCGACCAGACUCAUGGCCUCGGCUCCGUAGGUUAUGAAAAAUGGUGUUUCACCUGUUGCAGUCCGGCAAGAAGUUCUGAUAGCCCAGAGAACGUGGGGGAGUUCGUCAACCCAGGCCCCUUUUGAGGUAUCAAGCUUCCUUUUCAGGGUGUGCUUGAUAGUCUUGUUCAUUGCUUCAACUUACCCAUUUGCUUGGGGGUGAUGAGGUGUUGAGAAGUCCUUCUUUACCCAGUUCGUCGCAUAAGUCUCGCAUCUUCUUGUUGUCGAACUGCCUUCCAUUAUCAGACACUAAGGAGUGGGGGAUGCCGAAUCUACAAAUGAUGUUCUUCCAGAUGAAUUUGGUAGUAUUCGCCUCGAUAAUCCUGGCAAGGGGUUCUGCCUCGACCCACUUAGUGAAGUAGUCAAUGGCGACAAUGGCAAAAGUUGCACUUCCUCUUCCUUUUGGGAGUGAACCAAUGAAGUCAAUACCCCACUUGGCGAAAGGCCAAGGACUGGUUACUACGGAGAGGCUCUGAGCAGGCUGUCUUUGUAUGUUCGAGAAGCGCUGGCACUUAUCACAUUUCUGGACAAACUGGCAAGCAUCCCUUUUCAGGGUCGGCCAGAAGUAGCCUUGAUGGAGAAUCUUGUGUGCCAGAGCCGUUCAUUCGGAGUGAUUUCCACAGAUUCCCUUAUGAAUUUCCCUGAGUAUGUAUGUGGCCUCUUCACCUCCUAUGCAUCGAAGAAGCGGCGAGGCGAACCCUCUCUUGUAAAGGGUAUCUUCUUCCAGGACGAAGUGUGCUGCCUUUCUUCUUAACUUCCUCACCUUGCUUCUAGAAGCAGGCAGUGUUUGAUCCUUCAGGUAGGCGAUGAUAGGCUGCAUCCAUAAUGGUGUGCCUUCUAUCCAUAGUAUCUCUUUACCCCCGGAGGUGGAGAGCUUUGAUAAGUGCUAAAUAGGGAUGACCUUUAGCAGCUCUGAAUCCAUGCUCCUGGCCAAUUUUGAAAGGGCGUCUGCAUGUACAUUCUCUAGACGGGGGAUUUGAGUCAGUUCGAACCUUUCAAAAUGAGGAACUAUGUCCAGAACCAACUUCAAGUACGCAAUCAUGCUACCAUCUUUGGCUGCGAAGUUCUCAUUGACCAGAUUUACUGUAAGUUGAGAAUUACUGCUCGCCGGGAGCCUUCUGACCCGCAUCUCCUUAGCAAGUCUAAGACCUGCCAAAAGGGCCUCGUAUUCAGUAGCGUUAUUCGAGGCUUUGAAACCGAACCUCACUGCACAAUUUAGCUUGUGGCCUUUUGGGCUUUCCAACACGAUUCUUGCCCCUGCACCAGUCUCUCCCGAGGACCCAUCUACGAAUAGUUUCCAUAUGGGGGGCUCGACUGGUUCCAUUAUCGCCUCCAUUUCUGGGGCUUUGGCAAACUCAACCAUAAAAUCAGCAAGGGCCUAGCCCUUGAUGGCGUGUCAAGGUUGGAACAUUAGAUCGAAUUGACUGAGCUCGAUUGUCCAUUUUAGCAGGCGUCCUGAUGUAUCUGUUUUCUACAUCACCUACUUUAGUGGGAAGUUGGUGAGAACUUGUAUUGAGUGGGCCUUGAAGUAUGGCCUCAGUUUUCUUGAGGCUAUGAUAAGGGCGAGUGCCAAUUUCUCCAUGUUUGGGUAGCGUGUUUCAGCUGGGAGAAGUGCUUUGCUGAUGUAGUACACUGGCAAUUGGUGCUCACUUUCUUCUCUGACUAGGACGGCGCUGAUCGCCACGUUCGAAAUCGCUAAGUACAGUAGUAGAGACUCAUCCGGUUGAGGUUUCGACAAGAGGGGCGCCUCCCCAAGGUGCUUUUUCAGAGCCUCGACGGCUUCUUCACACUCCGAAGUCCAUUGGAAUUUCUUUCCUUGUUUCAACACAUUGAAGAAAGGUAAGAUUUUAUCUGUAGCUCUAGAGAUGAAACGACUGAGUGCGGCUAUCCGACCGUUGAGACUUUGGACCUUCUUCGGUUUCUGAGGUGACCUCAUCUCUAGCAAGGCCAUUACUUUCAUUGGAUUCGCCUCAAUUCCUCUCUGAUUGACAAUAUAUCCCAAGAACUGGCCCGAUGCCACUCCAAAGGUGCACUUGAGGAGAUUCAAUUUCAUAUUAUACUUUCUAAGUAUCUGAAAAGUUUGGUCGAGGUGACUCACGUGUUCGGCUGCCUGGAGGCUUUUGACCAGCAUGUCGUCAAUGUAGACCUCCAUGGUUUUACCAAUGAGUUCGGCAAACAUCAUGUUGACCAAUCUCUGAUAUGUAGCUUCGGCAUUCUUCAAUCCGAAGGGCAUGACUUUGUAGCAAUAUAGACCCCUGUCCGUAAUGAACGAUGUAGCUUCCUCAUCAGGUUGGAACAUGGGUAUCUGGUUAUACCCUGAGUAUGCAUCCAUGAAGCUCAGGAGUUCAUGUCCAACAGUAGAAUCCACAAGUUAAUCUAUUCUUAGAAGUGGGAAGUUGUCUUUGGGGCACGCCUUAUUUAAGUUCAUGAAGUCCACGCAUACCCUCCACUUUUGCUGGGCUUUUUCACCAGGACCGGGUUGGAUAUCCACCUUAGGUAGAUGGCCUCUCUUAUGAAAUCACUGUGGCUAAGUUUGUUUACUUCGUCUUUCAGUGCCUCGUACCUUUCCGGAUUGAAGGCACGCCUCUUCUGUCUAUGGGGGACAUAGGAGGGGUUGACAUUAAGGUGAUGGCAACUGAUCCUAGGAUCUAUUCCCACCAUAUCUUCAUGUUUCCAUGCGAAGACAUCCAAUUUCCCUUUCAGGAAGCUUAUCAUCUCUGCUUUUGCUUCAGGGGACAAUGAAUUUCCUAUACGCAAGACCUGACUGGGGUCUUCUGGGUUGGUGGGGAAAGUCUCCAAUUCUUCCAUUGGGGUCGCAUUUGGUUCAGAGUCAAUUAUUAGGGAAUCUAACUCAUCAAGAGGGUAUCCUUGUUUAGGGGCCUCUUCCAUGUCGACGUCUCCCUCUUGUUCAGAGGUAUGCCCUUGUUCAGGGGCGUCGAUCAUUUUCACGUACGUACUGACUUCAGCGGAUACCUCUGUUAGGAUUACAUUAACAGUUCAGGGCUCGAACUUUCGUAACAAGUUUAAGUAGCAUGCCCUGGAGCCCAUCUGAUCGCCUUGGACCGUAGCAAUUCCAUGUUUGGUUGGAAAUUUCAUGCACAAGUAGUGGAUGGACAUGACAGCCCAAAGAUCUUUCAAAGCGAGUCUGUCCAAUACUUCAUGAUAAGCCGAUCUGUGAUCUACCAUCAAAAAUUUCAUGAAGUGCUGGGCCACUAGGGGUGCCAAACCCAUCUCGACAGGCAGAGUGAUCUGCGCUCGUGGGAUGAUGUUGUCCCCGGUGAAUCCGAAUAGUGGAUCGGUCAUGAGGAUCAACCCAUGUUCAAUUUGCAUUUUGUCGAAAGUGGAGCCGAAAAGUAUGUUAACGGAACUGCCAUUGUCAACGAGCAUGCAUUUUAACCCGUUUCUAGCCACUACGACUCUUACAACCAAAUCAUCACAAUGGAAGUGGUGAACCCCAUUUGAGUCUUCCUGAAAGAAGGUGAUUAGGGCCAUCCUAUCUGCUGCGUGCGACUCGUUGACAAUGUAAGUGAUCGUUGGUGGGUCAUUUGCUUCUCUUGUGUAAUUUCUCUGGGCAUUCCUAGUAUUGCCACCGACGUGGGGUCCCUCAAUGAUAGUGUCGAUCUCCAUGAUGACCUAGCUCCCAGAAAAUUGGGCUUGGUUUCCCGGUCUUGAUUGACCCCAAUCCCUUGAUUCUAUUCUUCGAGGCGAUUAUUCUCUGUGCCCUCUAUCCCCCCUCCUCGGGGAGGCAGAUCUGUGAGGAUAUUCGUUCCUACUGGAGGGGUGUGGGUUGCUUCGAUCAGGGCGUCGAUUGGCAUCUCGGUACUCACUAGUGUCAUGUCCAUAGAGUUGAUGGAACGUACAAAAUGUUACCCCUUCCAAGGGUCUGUUUGACCUCUUCUUCUUUUUCUUCUUGUUAUCAGCUCUUCUAGAUGGUCCCGCUUCAGUAGGGAUAUUCUCAUAUGUCAACACCGGUACUGCAUUCAAUGUGGUGGAAGCCAGGGCCUAUCCGGAUGUGGGAGCUAUUGUAUGACCUGCUUGGGUCCAUUGCUGAGUAACAAGGUGUGCUGUGGGUCCUCGACCUACCUACCUCCGAGGCGGAGGGAGUUCCUACGCGGCACGGUUGCGAUGAUCAAUCAUUUCUUCACUAACAAUUUCCACUCUCAUCGUUGCAACCAGCUCGUCAUAUGUGGAGGGAUUCUUGCUGUGCACGUCCCUCUAGAACAAAGUGUUCAUGUUGAGCCCACCUUUCAAGGCUGAAAGGGCUUCUCUGUCAGUAACCUGUUCACAGUAGGUGAUUUCGUCUGUAAACCUGGCGAGAUAGCUUUUCAACGUCUCCCCAGGGGCCUACCUCAUAUCUUGCAGGCGUUGCAUUGGUGCCUCUCCUUCCCUGCGUGAGAGGUACUGGUUUAAAAAUGCUUUCUUCAAAUCUGGCUAACUUCUGAUGCUUAGGGGAGAAAGCCUACUGUACCAUACUUUGAUGGCCCCGCCUAGCGUUAAAUGGAAGGCUCUGCAUUUCAAAGCAGGCAAGGCUUCCCUAAGGCUCAUCUAUGUCAUGUACUUGGUGAGGUACUUCUCCGGGUCCCCCUUUCUUUCAUAUUUGAGGAUCUUAGGGGGCAUGAAAUUUGCUGGCAUUGGGAAGCUUCGGAUCUCCCUUGAGAAAGGGAGGUUAUCAUCAUCAUCGUCGAUCUCAUAAGAUCGACAGGGCCCAUCUGACCCUUCAUCAUCUUGAAUGUCUUGGGGACGUGGAGGUGCUUCUCCUCGACUUUCCCAGUCGAUUAGGUUCCUCCCGUCUCUCCUAUUUCUAGGAGAUCUGGACGAACUGAUCCUCUUACUGGGUGGAUCCUAUUGCUAGGACCCUCCCCUAUCUGGUCGAAGACGCUUGCCGACCUCUGGUCCUCAUGUUCUUGAGGAAAAUUGUCCCCCCAGUAUGGUUCUGAUGGCUAGCUCCCUUGCAUAUAAGAUGUGGCUUCGGUGUUCAUCUUCCUUUUGAGGGGACAUUCUGUGUGCCGGCUCAUGUGGCCUCGGGAGUGAGAUACAAGAGCUUCCCGCACCAGGUAAGAUCCUUGGGGCAUUUGAUAGCCCUGAUGACCCUAGGUUUGCAUGAAGAGUUCAUGCAUUGCCAUAUUCUGAACUGUGAUGUUUCUCAUACCCACAGCUAUCUGAGCCAUUCCUUCAGUGAGUAUGGCUAUUCUUCCACCUCGACGACGCCGGUGAUGUGGUCUCUGAUGAGUAAUAUUGUUAUGGAGUACCUCUUCUUCAGAUUCCUCUCUCAUGGGGUUGUCGUCUUCAUGGCUAUAGCUCAUCCUACCUCCUUUUUCAAGGUUGGUGAGAACUUGGAUUGUAACUCGACUUUGUUCUUUUUCAAGAACGUCCCCUUUUCAGGGUUAGUCGCUAGUUUUUCGGUAACUUCUCCGAUGGAGAAUGCAGAACUUCGAACGGGAAGUUUUUCCCACAGACGGCGCCAAUCUGUUGACCUCGAAAAUUGGUCCCUCCACAUGGCCAACUGAGAGCUACUCCACGUAUUCCUCCCUGCGCACAAUCAGCGAAUGGUCAAACGCACACGGUUGGGACCAGCGGGGGUGGUGGCGGUCGUAUAAACUCCGACGGUCAAGUCAGGUUUAGGUGGUCGGAACAGUACCCAGGGGUUGUGCAAAAUAAUGAUAAGGGGGAGGAGAAAUAUAUGAGCUUACUAUGGAGUGCUAUGUAGUAAGAGUUUUCAUUACCUUUGCCUCUUGCCAAACCUUGGGUAUUUAUAGGUGCGAUGAGUCGUUGGAUGUGGGACACGUGUAUACAUCUGACGAUAUGAGGCGUCCGCUCAUAGGCGUCAAUCAGCCGCGUCUGUAGAGUGGGCGGACAGCUUGUUUCUCCUGAGUUGAAUUGACAUAAAGUUAAUAAGUCACAUCAACUAGCCUCAUGGAGACGUCAAAUUAAUUUAAACCUUAGGUGCAGGAAGGAUCUUGGUACAAAUCUCUUUCUGAAAUUGGCGGCGGAUCUUCUAACCGGAGGGCACUUGGCCUCGACCUCGGGGGCGAGGUGCUUCGGUCAGGUCAGUAGUAGAGAUCGCCUGUACUUCGCAACGUGCUACUAGGUUGCAGACAUUGCUGAUAUCACUUCGGAAACACUUCGGACGGGUCUUUAUCAGGUCGGAAUAUAUGGUGGUGUACGUUCCGAGGCGGAUCAGAUAGGGACGUAACAAUUAGUAAUGAACCUAAUCAAAGAGAGUUGAUGCAUUAAUACCUUCUUCACAUAUAAUUUGUCUAUUGGGCAUUAAUAUUGUAGGAGCUGAAAGAUUCAAGCAUUGUCCAAUUUUUCACUUGGUAAAUUGUAGGGGGCAUGAUAAUUGUAGCAAUUCUCAAGAGACAGAGAACAAAAUUAUUUUCAAAAAAGAGAAAAAUAUAGGAAAAACAAUUAAGAACUCUACACAAUGUUCAUAUUGGGGCUUUCAUAAAAAACUAUCUAAGGCCAAUUUGUAACCUUUCUCAAUGGCAAAAAUUUCAAUAAAGAAAAGGAAAGAGACCAAAAAAAUAUAUUUAUACAAGAAACCAGAAAGUCUUAUCACGUACAGAAAACGUAAUCUCUUAAGAUGGCCUAGGGGCGUGGGGAUGGGACCACUUAAAUUGUUCUAGUAAAGAUCCAAGCUCACCGAGUUUGUUAAGUUCCCAAGAUCAAUUGGAAUUCUCCACUUAAGUUGUUACCAGAAAGUUCCCUACCACAUACACAUCAAAAAAAAAUAAAAAAGGAGACGUACACAACGGUUAAGAUGAUAAUAUGUAAAUUAAGCCCUUGUUUGAGCCCCUUUUUCUGGGAUUAAAAGAAUUUGGAGUAGUGAUUUUUUGGAGAAAAUGAGUUUUGGAAAAAUAGGGCUUGAACAAGGGCUAAAUAUCACCAAUAAAAAGAGCAGCUUGCAAAAAUUAUUGGCACAAAGAAAUAGACAUGUAAAUCUAAGGUCUCUCAAAUGUCUAAUACGUGAUAUUCAGACUACAGAUCAACGAAUAAAAUGCUUUAACAGCAUUGUAGUUUAUAGAAACAAAUAAAUUUCAAAAUAUAUAAUUACAGCAAUAUUACUACUUGUCCUUUGCAUCAUCAUAUGAGGAAAGGACAAAGCACGGGAAAUUAAACCCUUUUUAGCUUUUUUUUAGUAAUACAGUGAUUAAAUUAAAGAAUGUAAAACGUCAGUGAAGGGAUAAAAAUAUAAUCUUUGAGUAAAUGAAUUAAAAAGAAACCAAAAUUUAAUAGCUUUUGAAAUAUUGAACAUAUAAUUUUCCACGGACCUCACAGUACAGUCGGCAUCUAAAUAGGAUAUUGAUAUGUCCUUCUGAACCUCAACAGUUCAUAUUCUCCUCUUGGACCAUCAACAGAAAAUAAAAGAAAUAUUCGAAGAUUUCAUCUCUCAUCUGUAGGUCGAAAAAUGUAUAAUGUGAAUCCAUAGUACGGUGAUACAGCUAAGAGUGUAAACAAAUCAACAAGAAAGUAGUGUAAAAAUGUGAAUGAUGUGAUUAUGUUUUGCAAAGCAUGACUUACAAGUACUGCGAAUUCGGGAGUAGAUCGAGCACCGGAACCAGUUGACCGGACAAAUUUGCGUUUACGAGAUCACUGAGCACACAGAAAAAUUAUUUCCAUAGUUGGAGGAUCAUGUUAAUACUAAAACGCAACUCGUGUAGCUAAUUAUGGAAAGGACAAAGCAGUCUCACACUCUAGUAACAUUAUUGUCACUGCUGCAUGUAAUAUAAAACCAAGUGCAAGGAUUGACAAGUGUAGAAUCCCAGCUCUGAAGAACGUUGUUAGGAUCUGCCAAGUUUGUCUUAAAAGCACUCAAGGCAUCGCCUGUCGCGUGUAAAUCAAUUUGCAAAUAUCGAGGACCAUUUUCUUUACAAAAUUAAGUUAAGCUACUGCCGAACAAAUCUACACAUUUAUUUGCAAGGCCAAUUAAAUAUGAGUUAACUAGUUUAUAAUAAUUCGCCUCAGACGUGCCACACAAAUGUUUUUCUUCAUUGUUACAAUGGUCAAGUCAAGUCAACAAUUAAACUUUCCCGAACAGAACAAAAAAGGAGAAAAUUUUCCAAAGUUACAGCUAAUAUAAAACGGAACCCUUUCAUUAGCUUCAAAAUAAAUCCUAACGAAUCCCCCAACUUUGUAAACAAAAACUUACUUGGUCUUCAAUCUGUGAUUUGAGUUUACAAUAAACAAGAAACAGGCUGGAAACACAUCAAUUACAAUACAGUCAAACUCAAUUCAAGCAUAAAAAUCACUUCAGUUGAAAUACAAAAUAGAAGAACAGACCGCUACAUUAUUGCGAAACCUGUGAAAAUUGCGAAAUCCCAAAAAUUAAGUAGAGAAACCCCAAGAUUGUGAUCGCAAAUACCGACCGCUACAUUAUUAUUUCACCCCAACCUAUCACUUAAAAACUUGGAUUCCACAUUAAAAAGCUAUAUGUUCCCCAGUCCCCACUACUAUAAACUAUGUAAUAAUUGAAAGGAACCAAAAUAUUACCAAAUCCUGUCACAAAAAGUACAUAAAUCCUCCAUGUUGAAAUCAAUGAGAAGAUUAAAGGGGAAGCGUACCUAAUCCAUAGAUGUGGGCAUUUUCAAUAGGUUAUGAUCUUCCAAUUGUUACUUAAUUCCUUUGGAAAUACUUCUCUGUUGAUGGGGAGACGUGUACAAGGAGAAAUCUCAGUCAAGUGUCUUCUUCAACAUAAGCUAUUAUUGUUAAUUUCCUUAAGAUCUUUGAAGGCUCGAAGAUUUUGUCCUGAUAAUUUCUGGUAAACUUGAGUCCAAAUUAGGUGAUAUCCUCAUCAAACUCUCAGUUCUAUUAAUCGAAUUAUUUCCUUGUAUUUGUUGAUUGUUUGGUUAGAGAAGAUUUUCUCAUAAAAAUAAGCCUCUCACAAAUGGUUGAUGAAACCUGUACCUCCACUUCAUUGGCCAAAUGAUUAUAUGCCCUCUUUUGUAAUAAGGCCAUCACACUGCACUUUCUUAUGGGUUUGGCAGAUCAGCAACAAUGAAAAUGUGUUGUUUGGUACCAUCAGGAUAGAAACGUGUUUUUGGUGAAAUGCUGCCUUAUUAUUUUUCUUUCUUCCUUUUGUAUCUCAUCGGCUGAUUGUGAAUAUAGGCACUGAACCUUUGUAUAUAUUUCUGGCAUUCCCUCAUAUUUAACCAACCCAUGACAAUAAUCUACAGUUCGGAUUCAUGGGAUAUGUUGUUCUGCAACCUGUUGGAAAAUUUGGUAUAAUUAGUUGGUUUGACCAACUUUAGACCAAUUAUUUAGUGGGUCCUGUUAGUUGGAUAAAUGAUUUCUUUGGCCAAGUGCAUUCUACUCUAUGAGUAAAAUUGAUAUAUGUAUUUUUUCUCAAAACUAAUUAAGAGUGAAUGAAAAAUUAAAUCCAAAAUAUGACCACUUGAAGUUGAAAUAAAUUGGAAAUAAAAAAUUGGUGGGAAAUUGGAAAAUGCCAAUCCCACGUAGGAAAACUAAAAGAAUAGAAACCACUUUAUAUAACUCAAGUCUGGGAUUUGGGUUUGGGCCCUAAGAUAAACCACUAGUUUUUGAAUGGGAGAGAACCUAUAUACUAGUAGGUUGAGCUAAAACCCACACGCACCCGUCAUCACCGUUCGAUUGGCCGGCUCAACAUGCGCACAGGUCGUGCACAUGAGCAUGGGCCCAAUUAGUAUAUUUAUUUUUGGUACAAUAAUAUUUUAAUUAUAUUAUUUUAUGAAAUUAAAUAAUAUAUUCUAAUUAUAUUAUUUUUUCAUUAAAUUUUCUGUGUUCAACACGUGGCUUCUUCUAUAACUGGCGGUUGUUGAUAGUUUUAACUGCCUAUCCAAACGAGUUGUCUCUGUUCCAAGACACAACUUUUCGACUGUUGUGUCUUUUGGACAUAUCUUUCAACUUCUAUAAAUAUACCCCCAUAUACCCAUUUUUGUUCAUUCCAAAAAAAAAUUUCUGCGUUAUAUUAUUUUUUCCUUAGAAUUUUCAGUGCGCGACACGUGGCUUCUUCUAGAAUUGACUGUUGCUAACAAUUUUAACUAUCUAUCCAAACGAGUGUGUCUGUUCCAAGACACAACUUUUCGACUUUUAUGUCUUUUGGGCAUAACUUUUCAAUUUCUAUAAAUAGACCCCCAGAUCCCCAUUUUUGUUCAUUCCAAAAAAUUUUCUGUUUUUCUCUCUUACAAAAUACCGUCAUUCCAUCCUGCAGUAUUCCAUAUUUUGGAUUUCAGUCCAAAAUAGUAAUUUUGUACAUUUUAGUCCUCCAAUUUUUGAGAAAUCAAAAUAUUAGUAGGUUUGUUGGAUUUUAUAAUUUAGAGUCAUACUAUUACAAGUUGAGGUCAUUGUAUCUUGGGAGACAAAUGCUAGGAGACCGUCAACACCAGUGCGGGGCAUUAUCAUUUUAAGAAGAAAGAGUCGAACUCUUGCCUCAACCAUUAUCAUUCUAAUUUUAUUACGCUCAUUUUGUAAGUCGAAAUUCUGCCAAACUGUUUAUUCACUACUAAUUUAUAUAAAUUAUUGCACGACAUUCUCAAAAUUUCUUCAACACAACCAUGGUUUGAGAAUAAUUUUAUUUGUACCGAAUUGAGGGUACGAAAAAGUUGUCCCCCCUCACAAAGCAAGCAAGCCCCGCGUGAAUAUAAAAAUUUUCAAAUAUGGUCCCCACCCUCUAUUAUAAGUAGUAGGUAAAGUAAUAGGUUAUAAAAUCAUGUACAUGUUACAUUGUCCAUGAUUUAAUACUCUAUCUUGAAUUCUCAUUGUCCCUCUUUCGCGACAUUCUCUGCAACAUUUUUAUUGAUUGAAUGCCAAUAGACUUUCUAAGAUUUACUAGCUAUUUUAUUUUGUUUAUGUCAUCAUUACAUGGUUAAUUGGUUUUUGGGUUAUGACAGGCUGAGUUCAAGAGAGUUGUUUCACCCUUGAAGUACCAGACAAGGUAUUUAGCUGCUUUCCCAGUCAGCAAGGUUUCUUAGUAAGUUCGUUCUGACUCUCUGUGACUUAAGUUUAUUCUGUGGAUUAUUUUUAAUCUGCUGCUGUGUUUUGUUAUGUGAUGUUCUUAUCUUGUAUUGGUUACACAUAUUUUGCCAGCUUGAUUUAAAAUGUAGCUUCUCAAGUUGUGCCGUUCAUAGAUACUAGAAGAUCUUUAAAUAUUUUUUAUGCAUAUACUUAUUUGAAUACAUCUUGCUUGAUUAUAGCUAGAAUGGGAGUUCUGCAGGAACAAGUACUGACAUUAUCAAGGAUAGUAAACUGAAAUUCGGGGAUACUUCCAUUUGUAUGCAAAUUUAAGUAGUAUUGAACUAUAACUUCACUAAAUUGUCAAAGAUCAAAUCUUAAAUUCGUGGCUAAUAGCAUGCUUAUCUAUAUGGGGUUCAUAAAUUUCUAAUUAUCUCCAACUUCUAAAAGAUUUAUUUAAUCAGUUUAGCUUUUAUGUUAAGAGGUUCUUACUUCCUAAUUAUUCUCAUUGACUACUUCCCAAAUUAUGAUCUCAAUGCUACAAGAAUUUUAUGUUAUUGUGCUAAAAAGAUUGAUAGAAUUCGUGUUUUCUUUAUUGAUGACCUGGAUCUUAUACUCUAUGUCUUGUCUCAGAUACAUCACACAUUUGCAACGUUUGGAUCUGAUGGAGCCUUCAACUUUUGGGACAAGGACAGCAAAAAGAGGCUGAAGGUAUUAUGGAAUCCUUCUUGUCAAGUCUUGGAAAUGCUUGGAGUUAUCAUUGUAUUCUCAAUUGCAUUGUUUCGCAUGCUCAUGAGUGUUCAUCUUAUCACUGUGUUUCUUAGGCUAUGUCAAGGUGCAGUCAGCCCAUUCCUUGCAGCACUUUCAACAACGAUGGCUCCAUUUUUAUGCAUAUUCGGUGAGCCUUUGUUAAUGAACAAUUUGUAGAAUAAUUAGAAUUGGAAGCUCUGAUUAAUUCAUUGUCUUCAACUACUUAAAUACAAAAAAUACGGGACAAAUCUCAUAUAGAAAAUCCAUGAUUCUAGGAGCUAUAAAAGGCUAAAUCAAAUUUGUAAAUUGUUUGCUAUCUAUGCAGAUUUCUCCAGCAAUAUAUCAGCAAUACUAAUUUGCUUAAUUCUAGCGAUUGAUUGCUUCAUUUUCCUUCAACAGUAUUGACAACAUCAUUACCAAGAUUAUUGUAAUAAUUUCCUUUGAUACGCCCCCUCAAGUUGGAGUGAGAAUGGUCAUGAACACCCAACUUGCUUCGAAAUACAGUAAAGGCAUCUCUAGGUAAUGAUUUUGUAAAGAUGUCUGCUUGUUGAGAGGAAGAUGGAAUGUAACAAGUUACAAGUGUUCCCAUAACAACUUUUUCACGAACAAAGUGGUAGUCGAGUUCAAUGUGUUUUGACCGGGCAUGAAAUAUUGGAUUGAUUAACAUAUGUAAUGCGCUCAUAUUAUCACAGAACAAUUGAGGAGGCCGUGAGAGUGACACACCCAAAUCUCGUAGCAAAAAUGUUAACCAUGUAAUUUCAGCUGUUGUGGAUGCCAUGGAACGGUAUUCAGCUUCAGAGCUUGAUCGAGAAAUAGUCGAUUGUUUCUUAGAGCUCCAUGAAAUGCAAUUAGCUCCAAGAUAAACACAAUAAUCAGUAGUGCUUCGUCGUGUAGUAGGACAGCCAGCCCAAUCGGCAUCACUGAAGCCAUAUAGUGAUAUGGGACUUUGACAGAGAUAUCUUAAACCCAAAUUUUGAGUACCCUUGAGAUAUCGCAAAAUUCGUUUGGCUGCCUUUAGAUGUACGAGAGUAGGAUUGCUAAAAUUUUGGCAUACCCGAUUAACUGCAUAAAUUAUAUCAGGUUUUGUGAAUGUAAGGUAUUGCAAAGCCCCAACAAUACUUGAUCACCAUCAACAGAUGUAGGCUUCUCUUUAAGGGUCAUAGGAGUGGCAUUUGAAGUACUUUCCAACAUCUUAGUUCUCCGAAGAAGAUCUUAUAUAUAUUUACUUUGUGAAAGAAAAACACCUCCAUUGAAAAAUUUAAGUUCCACGCCAAGGAAGUAAUGCAAAUUACCAAGGUCUUUUAUUGCAAAUUCAUGCCCAAGCUGCGUGACUAGAUGAAAGAGAAAAUUUUCGAUGUUGCCUGCAAGGAGAACAUCAUCCACAUAUACUAGUAGUACUGCAGUAAUAUCAUUAGUGUGGUAAAUGAAUAGAAAUGGGUCUGCUUUGCUGCAUUAGAAACCAAGGUGAAGCAAAAAUUGGGAGAGUCGAUCAAACCAAGCACGGGGUGCUUGUUUUAAUCCAUAUAAUGACUUUUUCAAUAAACAAACAUGGUUUGGCAUAUUUGAAUUAAUGAAACCAGGUAGCUGUUCCAUGUAGAUAAUUUCCUUUAGAUUUCCAUGCAAAAAUGCAUUUUUAACAUCAAGUUGUCUCAUAGUCCAGCCAAAGGAGAGAGAGAGUGCUAUAACAAGUCGGAUAGUAGUCGGUUUGACUACUGGACUAAAGGUUUCAUCAUAAUCCACACCACAUACCUGAGUAAACCCCUUAGCUACCAAACGUGCUUUGAAUCAAUCAAUGGAUCCAUCUUCUUUAGUUUUAAGGCGAUAGACCCACUUUGAACCCACAAUGUUAACAUUCUUUGGUCGAGGUACAAGCUGCCACGUAUCAUUAUUUUGAAGUGCUUGCAAUUCUUCUUGCAUUGCAACAAUCCAUCGUGAAUCUUUGAGAGCUGAUCGAAGGUUCUUUGGCUCUGGUGGCAAUAGAAUAGACUCCUUGUUAGUUGCAAGUGCCACAUAAUCAUUCAAAUAUGCUGGACGACGUCGAACGCGAACAUCUGUAGUGGGUAUUAUAUUGACUACCUCCAAAUUUUGUGGAACUAAAUCUGUAGAUUUUUGCUCAGACAUUUCGGUAAUAUCAUGGCUAGGAUUAGGUUCAUCUGUUGCAUUGAUAGCAUCUGAAUUUUGCGAAAUCAAAUCUGUAGAAUUUUUGUUGCAUGUUUCAGAGAUAUCAUCAUGGCUUGGAGAAGAUUCACCUGCUAGAUUGAUGACAUCUGAAUUUCCUGGAAUUAGUUCUGUAAAAUUCUGGUUAGAUAUUUCACCAAUAUCAGUAUUGUUCAAUGUUUUUGUCUCAUCAUCAUUUCCCAGAAUAAUAGUAUCAGUCUUUGGCAAAUGAUCACCUAGAAACUUUGAUUUGUCACCAAUCCAUUCAUCCAAUGAAGUAAAUUCUAACAGCACCAAAGAAGAAGAAUUUGCAGUGGUUGGCUUCAUUUUAUAAGGAAAGGUUUCUUCAUCAAAUACAACAUGUCGUGAAAUGUAAACUCUUCUUGAUGUUGGUUCCAGACAACGAUAACCUUUGUGAAUUGGACUAUACCCAAUGAAAACACAGGGAUAAGUUUUCUUAUCAAAUUUGGACCUGUUUUGAUGUCUCAGUGAAGGAAAACAACGACACCCUAUCACCCGCAAGCUAUUAUAAUCAGGUUGCCGCUUGUAGAGUUUAGAGUAAGGACUUUCAUUGUGUAACACUGCAGAUGGAAAACGGUUUAUUAAAUAUACAGCAGUCAGAAAGAGUUCAGCCCAUAAUGUUAGAGGUAAAUUUUCGUGAAAGAGCAUUGUUAAGCCCGUUUCGACUACAUGCCGAUGCUUUCGUUCUGCAACUCCGUUCUGUUCAGGAGUUCCUGGGCAAGAGACAUGCAAUUCUAUCCCACAAUUCUGUAAGUGUUCAGUACAAGCAUUAGAGCUGAAUUCACCCCCACCAUCACAUUGAAAUAUUUUUAUUCGACUAUCAAACUGAUUUUCAACCAGUUUCUGAACUUGAGAAACUGAUCAUAAAAUUCCAUUUUUCGUCUUAAAGGAUACAACCAUGUAAAUCGCGUAUAGUCAUCCACAAAGAGUGCAUAAAAUCGAAAUUUCUGAGUAGAAGGCAAUGGGGCUGGACCCCAAAGAUCACAAUGUAUCUUUUCAAGAGGAAAUUGAGAAGUUUUAUUUGAUCUUUUAAAUGGCAGUUUACAACUUUUGCCCAAUUGACAACUAACACACAAUGAAGGUUGAGUUAUCCAACGAGUGAUAUCAAUUGCCUUCUUCUCCUUUAACAAAGAUAGUAACUUUGAAUGAGGAUGGCCGAGCCGUUGAUGCCAAAUAGCAGACGAUGUACUGCCUUGUUUUAUUGCACUCAAAGCCUCUUGAAAAACUCCAUCUAAUGCAUAUAAUUGUCCAUGCUUAUGCCCCUUCGCGAUCACCCUUUGAUUUUGAUCCUUAACAAAAAAUCCAGUUGCAGUGAAUUCAAAGGAACAUGAAUUAUCUUUAGUAAAUUUCCCAACUGAUAGCAAGUUCUUUUUCAAAUCAGGUAACACAAGAACAUCUUUCAAUUUUAAUUGUCCUCCUUUUGUAUUAACACAAGCAUUACCAACAUGAGAUAUAGAUAAACCAUUGCCAUCUCCAACAUAAAUCAUAUCAUUACCUCUAUAUGGUUCAAUAUAAGAUAACUUACCUGCAUCAUUUAUCAUAUGUGAAGUAGCUCCAGAAUCUGCAUAAAAUGACUCAUCGUUUGAAGCAUUGAGAUUGAAUGCAGCAAAGGCUUCAGGAAGAUUGUCUGACUGAUAUGAAUAAUCAAACCUGUACCAGCAAUCAAUGGCAGUAUGAUUUGAUCUUCCACAAAUUUGGCAAGUAAGUUUGUCACUGGGAUUAAUCUGAUGUUGGAGUGGUUGUUCAACAAGAUUUUCCUUUUUGGCCUGUGGUUUUGUAUUGUUGUUUGAUGGUCCAGCAUUUGUGUGAAAAAAUUUUCCACCAUUUUGAGAGUUGUAUCUUCCGGCUGGAGUGAACCCUCUGCCUCGAGAGUUGAAGUUUCCUCUGCCACCACGACCAUUUCGACCACAACUUCUUUGGCCAAAAUAAGCUUGUGCAUGUUCCAAGUAUGUCCUCUCAUCUUCUCUCAGUGAAAGUAUAGUUUGUUCGUGCCCCUGUAAAGCUAAUAAAAAUUGGCUGAAUGAAGGGUAUGGAGGCUUUGUAAGCAUGGCUGUUCGAAAAUCCAUAUAUUUUUGACCCAAGCCAUGAGCGAACUGGAAUACUUUGUCGUGGUCUGAAACUGGCUUCUUGAUGGCAGCGAGAUUGUCACAGAUUGACUUGAAUUCUUUCAAAUACUCAUCAAGGGAUUUUGUCCCUUUUCUUAUAUUCAUGAGCAUAUUUUUCAGCAGUCCUUUCUCCACAGUUACAGGAAGUAAUUGUUCUUCAAUGGAAGUCCAGAUCUUAUACGCGGUAUCAGCCUCACAAUAAAUUAAACUCAUGACCUCUUCCUUCAUGGUCCCAUUCCUUCAUGGUCCCAAGAAGCCAUGAAGAAAGUAGUCCAUCAUUGUUAAUCCAUGGCUGGUACAACGGAUUUGGCUUACUUUUGCCCUCGUCAUCUUCGAUUUCCUCUUUUGGUUUUUCAUCACUAGUAAGAUGAUGAAACAAACUAAGACUACGGAUUAAGGGAGUGACUUGGGAACGCCAUAAGAGUAGAUUUAAUGUGCUUAGUUUAACUGAAAUUAAGCUAGAGCACUGGUGGAAGGCUUGAAUUCCAAGAGUGGGUUCUUUAUUUUGGUUGGAAGAUGAAGACAUAAUUUCAAGGCUUGCAGGUUUUUGGCUCUCAUACCAUGAACAAUUUGUAGAAUAAUUAGAAUUGGAAGCUCUGAUUAAUUCAUUGAUCUUCAACUACUUAAAUACAAAAAAUACAGGACAAAUCUCAUAUAGAAAAUCAAUGAUUCUAGGAGCUAUAAAAGGCUAAAUCAAAUUUGUAAAUUGUUUGCUAUCUAUGCAGAUUUCUCCAUCAAUAAAUCAGCAAUACUGAUUUGCUUAAUUCUAGCGAUUGAUUGCUUCAUUUUCCUUCAACAGUAUUGACAACAUCAUUACCAAGAUUAUUGUAAUAAUUUCCUUUGAUAGUUAACACGUCUAAAUAUAUAUUAUCUGAUGUUCAUCAUUUUCUAAAUCAUAUUAUUAUUAGGGAUUGUUAUUUCCUAGAGAAAAUCGGUGCAUAGAAAGAUAUUUUCUAUGAUGUUGCAUCAUUGUUUUAUGCCUGCGAUCAUGAGAUGGAUAUUUCUUUUACUUCCACUGCAAUCAGCUUGAGGAAGUUCUAACAAUUUGUGUGGAUGCCAAAUUUUUUUAACGAUUAUAAUCCUCAUUAAUCUUUCUCAAUAUAACUAACCAGAAAACUUUCAGAUGAGUCACUGGGCUGUCCUAACUCUGAAAUUAUCUUCUUUUCUGAAAAUUUUGCCUGAAUAUUUUGUUUUCAGGUUGUUAUGAUUGGAGCAAGGGUGCAGAAAAUCACAAUCCGACAACAGCAAAACCAUAUAUCUACGUGCAUUUACCAUAGGUCCUUUUCUUAACUUUUUGAAUCUAUUUUUGGAAAUGUUUUACCUUUGACAUUAGAAGUGCUUUAAAUCCUGAACACACUAUGUUUUGUUGUUUGAGCAGGAGGCUGAAGUCAAAGGCAAACCAAGGAUUGGAACAGGAGGUAGAAAGUGAAUCUUGUCAUCCUAGUUUGGAGAAGGGAAAUUUGGAGAUGUGGCCAAAUCUGAAGGGUGGAUUUGAAAUGAGUCUACUUUUAAAAACUUCAAAAAUGGCCACUUUUUUAUGCAAAAUGUCAUAGAUGCCCUUCUGUAAAAGUGGCCACUUCUUCGUAUGCUCAAGAUUUCAUAGUACUUUGUAGUUGGUGCACAAAUUUUGAGAGUAACAUAUUAGUUUCCAAGGGAGGCUGUUAGAUGCAAUUUUCCAUAGGAUAACAUCAGUUAGUACCAAAAUAAUAAUAAUAAUAAUAAAUUAAAUUAAAAUAUAUAUAUAUAUAUAUAUAUCAUCUUUCUUGAUGUUUGAACUAUAUUUUCAACUAUAAUAAUCUCUUUUUUUUGGGGCAAAAGUAUGUAGUUAUUUACAAAAAAAGUUAGAAUCCUUGAACAUGGAGUUACACGUUUCUUGAAAAUCAUCUUUUUUUCUCCAAAUACAAAAAAGGACAAAAACUCUAAACCCACGCUUUUUAUAUAUUACAAUGGUGCAUUGUUCUAAAAAGCGUAAAACGUGAUCAGGCGUGAAGUCGAAGCUUCAAGCUUUAUGAGCUUAAGCGAGCCUAGGUGAGGUUUUAGCUUAAAAAAAAUGUUUUUUAAUUUAUAUUAUUAUUUUAAAUUUUUAGUCAUUUUAAAAAUCUAUUUAAUAAUUAAAAAUAAUACAUAUUAAACAUCUAAAAUUAUCAAAUACAAUAUUUACUUAAUAACUUCUACCAUUAGUCAAUUAUACAAUUUUCAUGUUUUCGAAAUGUAAAAUUAGAAUAUUUUUCAUAGUUUCAAUUUUUAAGUAGACAAGUCCUACUUAGCACCUAUUUGAGGGGCAUUAUUUCCUCAUAAAAAUGGCUUUUUGACCGUUGGUGUACAAUCUUCCAAGACUUGGUGAGAUGCAAGUCAAAAAUAAGGGCUGUGUGGGAUCUAAUAAAGGUUGGAUUUCUUUUGAAAAUGAGAAAAUAAUGCCCCUCAAGCAGGGGCUUAAUAAAUUUAUAGAAACUUCUUACAUACUUUUGAAAUUUGUAAUAAAAUGAGUCUAAAGAUCGUACUUAAUAUAUUUAUGGGAACUUCAUACAUGCUUUUGGAGUUAAUAUUAAAAUGAGUCUCAAGAUCGUAAUUUCAUAAUAUAGAUAACACCAAAACUUAAAUCUUAUUUAGCUAUUUAGAUAAAGCCAUUUUUAACUUUUGUGCAGACAAAUUUUUCUAAAAAAAAUAAUAAUAAAAGAAAAAGUCAAAUAAAGGACUUUUAAAAAAAGACUAAUAAAGCGCGUCUACAAAUGACGAAAGAAAUGAAGGAAAAAAUUCAACCAUUUAGAAUUUGGAAGAAAAAAAAUUGUCUAGAUGUGAAAGAGUCGUUUUGCCCAAGCUUCGAGCCUAGACGGUGCCUAGGCGAGCUUUUUAGAACAUUGCAAUGGUGACAUUCAAGAAAUUGUAUUGGUGAAUUAUAGAAUUUGACGUUUUGAAUGGUAGAAUUCUACAAAUAACACAGAAUUUUACAAUUUUACAGUUCAACUGUUAAUUGUAGAAUUCGAUGAUUCUUCAAUAACAUUAGUUAGAUUUAUGUUAACAGAAAAUUGAGAAGAGAGAAUGGAGCUUGGUCUAAGUUGAUUCUUGAUAUGUUUAGGACUUUUUGCAUUUAGGAUUUUGUAAGCAGUGUUGGGCAAGGCGGAGAGAGGCAAAAAUGUAAGGAUGAUUUUUGAGUAUGAGAAAAAAGUUGAGGGAUUUAGGAGAGAGGGUGUUUAAAAAAAUUGAGAUUUGGCAUUGGAAUUUGACUUUUUGGUAUUCUUGAAUCUGAUUCCUAUCGUAUUGGAGUUAUCCUUUCAAUUUUGAUUAAAAAAAUGACAAUAAAUAAAUCUUUAUAUCAUUUAUGUCCGUUGGUCCUUUUCAUCUUUUAUUUUUUUGAUUGAAGUCUCGAACCUUUAAAUUAAUAUGUAAUGCGAGGUCCUUUGAACGAUUUCACUAAAAAGACCGUUAUUGACUUACAAGUUACAUAUUCACCAAUAUUUGACCAGUUUAAAGAGGAUCUUCGCAUCAUUUCUCGUUUAAAACAAUUAAAAUAUUUCAAAAAGAAGGGGGAAAAGGGGGAUAAACAAAAAAAUUUAAAAAAAAAAUGUGUAAGAAAAUGAUUUCCUCUCCACCUCUCCACAUGCCGCCGUAGCUGCCGCCACCCACUCUUGAAUGAAUCAAUCAAUUAAUGCUAGAAGAAAACCAUUUUCUUUCUUUUUUUAUUUUUUUUGUUUAUGCAUUUUUAUUUCUCCUUUUUGAAACAUUUUAAUAAAUGAGAUAAUACAUUAAGUGUUGUAAAAUGGUAAAUUUAUUAUUAAAUGACAAAUGUACUCUUACAGUCCUAGAAAUUAUUGUCAUUGUAUCCUUAAUUCUUACAUAUAAAUAUAGUACUUUUAUUCUUAAACAUACUAAAAUUUAUUAACUUUCGUUCUCUCUUCUCUUUUUAUCUCCUUUUAUAACACUUUAUAAGCACAAAAGCUUAAUUCUUCAAAGUUUAAUGAAUGUAAUAAUUUUUUAGCAUAAUUAUCUAUUUUAUGUACCAAAAUUAAUUUGAUAACGUGAAAAAAAAAUUUCAUACAACACACUAAUUUGUGUGCAUCUAAACUUUCUGCCAUAAUAUUCAUGUACAAUCAUACGUAUAGCUAACAUCUUAAAGUUGUAGCCCCCAGGGCAUAUCUCCCAGUGGCAAAGGGGAGGGCGGAUAGGGCUCAGCGCGGCAGUGUGCAGAGUUCGAUUCCCCGCAAGGUAGAAUUGGCUUUGUUGCAAGCGGGAGUUACCAUAUGGGUUAACAGCCUUGGCCUAUCCAUGUGCUCUCCACCCUGACUCCUGGGAGGCACAUCCUGCGAUUUACCUCCUCCACGAUGGCCCAAGGCAGGGUCGGUGGGGGCCCUUAGGGUUGGGGUUCAACCUUUUUUUUUUUUUUAACAUCUUAAAGCUGUAACCAUCCGCUUCAAUUAAUUUGGAUUUAUCAAUUUAUUUGCAUCAUCAUAUGUUUCUUAUAUUCAUUAUUUUCUACUGCUGCCACAAUAACCCUCAUUUUGAUUCUUGAAUGCCAUUUGCCUAUAUCAAUUAAUUAAUUAUAUUUGCCUUUAAUCUUGCUACAACCAUUUACAUGUGUUUGUCGAAAUCAAUUUAUGUUUGAAGUUUUUUUGCAUGUUUGGUAAUUAAUAAGUUUAUAUCAUGUCUAUAUGGUAAUUAUUAUUUUUAAUCUGGUUAAACAUUUUUAGAUGUUCUUCUAUAAAUUUUAAGUUGAUAAUUUAUUAUAUUGUUACUCCUGAAAUAACACAAUAUUAUAAUUAAUAUUAUUGAAGAAUAUUACUUGCUCCUAAAGAGCAUAAAUUAUAAUUUUUAAUAUUUCAGGAAAAAUAUUGACAUAUUGCUUUUGAAGAAACAAUAAUAAAAUACAACAUGCUUUCAAAGUAGUACAACAUUAUGAUUAAUAUUCUUGAAGAAUAUUACUUGCUCCAAAAAAUUAUAAAUUAUAAUUAUCAAUAUUCCAAAAUAAUAAUGACGUGUUGCUCCUGGAGAAGCAAUAGUAAAAUAUAACUUACUCUCAAAGUAGCACAUGUUUUAAAAAAUAUAUUAUUUUAAAUUAGUGAUUAUCCCUGAAAAAACUCAUAACUUAUGUCAUCUUGUUAUUAAUUGAUUAACCAUUACGUGAUGUUUAAUUAUAUUUUUUGAAACUAAUUGUAUUUUCUUUAUUGUGUAGUUAAUCAAAUUGCAAACAUUACAAAACUUGUGUUUGUUGCACUUGACAUAUCUGACAAAAAAUAUCUAUCCUUGAUGUUGACAUUCAUCUCAUCUCAAAAGAUUCGUGAGAAACAAUAAAAGAGGGAAACAAAGAAUCCCUGCAAGAUCGUGCAAAAACACUCAUCUUCUUUCAUCAUCAUCUUCAUGAUGGAUUAAAAAUUGAAUAUCUCACAGAGAAAGAUCCAAAAUCCUCUACGAAAGAAUGCACAUUCGUUUGCAAGACUUUAAAACUGUUAGUGAGUACUAUUCUUAACAGUUCAUAAUAUUUCAAAAUUAAUUGUGGAGAAAAAAUCACUGGUGAAAAUAUGUUGAAGAAAAUAUUUUUCACCAUUCAAUCCUUGAAUAUGCUCCUGCAGAGCAAUAUCGUGAGCGUGAUUUCAUAAGGUACUCAAAACUCAUAUCUUGCAUGCUUGUGGACGAACAAAAUAAUGAACUGUCAAUGAAAAAUCAUGUAUUAUAUCUAACUGGUUUUGUACCAUUGGCUGAAGCAAAUAAGCAAAUGAUACUCGUUGCCUAAAACAAAUGCAAUAUCAAGACAAGGACGUGGAUGUAUACGUGAAAUAAGUCAUAGAUGAAAUAAUCAACAAAGCUAUCAACAACAAGACAACAAUUUCAAAAAGCACAAACAAAACAAAAGUAGCACAUCCAAAAAGGAGUGUGAAAAAGUUGCUUAGAUGUGAAAUGAAAGGGUAUUGAACACGCGGCUACCAUACGACAAAAUAUUUUGUGGAUCUUUACAAAAAAAUCAAUCAAGAAAAAGAAAAUAAUAGAAACAAAUUUUACUAAUUAUGAUGGUCUCAUUAACAUAAUUGAUUUGGAUGUUUUUUAUUUCUUUUCUGAUCUAAAUAGAAAUAUUGAUAACUUGAUUGGGAGUGGUGUGAUGGAAGAUAUAGAUUAGUUUAUUUCCUAUAUCUAUAGUAUUUUCUUUUAUUUUAGAAAUUUAGUUUGCAAUAUAUUUUUACUUUUCAAAAGAAAAAUUGAAACUUUAUUAUGUUUCGUCAAUUUCACAGAAUUGAAUUAUAUUUACCAUUUUAAAUUUAAAUUCAAGCUUUUUAAAUAUAUCUAUUUUGUUAUAUUGUAGAUUCAUGAUGGAUUGUCAAGAUACUUGCUUGAUUGAUAUUGCAACUAUACAUACCUUUUUCAAGACAAAAAAUAAUUUUUGGACUUAACAUUAGCAGAAAAUAAUUUAAUAUGAUAUCGAGUACAUCGUAUAUUGUUGAAGGCUCCAGAUGAGCUUGUAUUAUUUUAUUAAAGAAUACAAAAUUAUAAAUUGACGAUACACUUUAUUCUAGCAAAUCCAAAAGAAAUUUGCUUAGCCUUUGUUUGAGCCACAUUAUAUUCAUAAGAAUGCAUUUUUGAAUAGUGUAUUGAUGAAAAAUGUUUGGUUAAAAAAUGAAGAAAAAUUUUGAAUUUACGUGUAAUAUUAUUUUAUUAAGAAUAUGAAGUUGAAAUGAUAUCAAAUCACUGUUUAAGAAUAUAUUUUUUUUAAAAAUGCGGCUCAAACAUAGCCUUAGUUUUAAAGAUAUCCGCGGCAAUGGAUAUCACAUUAAGAUUAUACAAGAAAAUAAUAUUAAAUAUCUUUGUAUAACUUCUUUUGUAUUUGGAAAGAAGCCAUGUAUUAUACAUUUAUAAAAAUGUUGAAUCAAAUAUCAUAAUGAGCCAGAAGUUCGUUGAUCCAAAAAAUUUUAUACUUUGAUAAGAUCGACUUAGUCAUCCAAGAACUAUAAUGAUGAGUUGAAUAAUAAACAACUUAUAUGGAUAUCCUUUAAAGAAUCAUCAUAUUCUUUUACCUAAUAAUUAUACACGUGUUACUUGUUUGUAAGGUAAGUUAGUCAUUAGGCAUUCGACUACAAAAGUCAAUAUUGAAUUUUCAACUUUCUUAGAAAGAAUACAUGGAGAUAUAUGUGAGCCAAUACACCCACCAUAUAGAUCAUUUUGUUAUUUUACGGUAUUAAUCGAUUCUUCUAUUAGAUGGUCACAUGUUUGUUUACUUUCUAUUAGGAAUAUAGCUUUUUCUAGACUACUUACUCAAAUCAUAAAAUUUCAAGUGCAAUUCCCUGAUUACCUAAUCGAGAGUAUUCGUCUUAACAAUGCUGGUAAAUUUAGAUCACAAGUAUUCGAUGAUUACUGUUUGUCAAUUGGGAUUGUAAUUGAAAUUCUGUUACGCAUGUCCAUACACAAAUAGGUUAGCGAGUCACUUAUUAAACGUCUAUAACUUAUUGCUGAUCAUUACUUAUGAAAACAAAACUCCUAACUUCUAUUUCGGGUCAUGCCAUGUUAUAUUUUGCGUCAUUGAUUCGUAUUAGACCAACUACAUAUUAUCAAUAUUUACCUUUGCAACAAACAUUUGGUUUAAAAACUUGAUAUUUCUCACAUAUGAUUUUUUUAUUGUGCUGUCCAAGUCCCAUUUCACCUUACAACGUACUAAAAUGAGUCCUCAAUGAAAACUUGAGAUUAUGUGGGAUUUAAUACAUCAUCUAUUAUUAAGUAUCUUGAAUCUUUAAUGGGUAAUUUAUUUAUUGCACAUUUUGUAGAUUGUAACUUUUCCAACUUUGGGAGGGGAAAAACAACAUCCUAUAAAACAAAAUGAAAUUUAUUGGAAUGAAAUAACUUUGUCUUACUUUGAUCUCCGCAUCAAUCAUUGUGAGCAAGAGGUUAAAAAAAAUUGUUCAUUUGCAAAGAGUUGUAAAUCAAUUACUUGAUAUAUUUGUUAACAUAAAAAAAGUGACAAAACCAUAUAUUCUAGUAGAAAAUAUUAUAGCAAAAAUUAAUGUCCCUGAAUGACAAUCUGCUGUAGCAAAUGAAUCUCAAAUAUGCCAGAAGAGUGAUCGACAUAUUAGUUCAAAAUACUCUGUACCUUGAAAGAGAAUAGUACAAGAAAAAAUUCGACCAAAAAUUUCGGAAGAAGUAAUGUUAGAAAAAAUUGAUCAAACAAAUAUUGAAAAUGUGGACCCUGAAGAAUCACAAGUGUUCAAAAAUAAUGAGACUUCAAUAAAUUAUAUGUUAUUUCAUAAAUUAUGGGAACGAUAUAAUUUUGUUAUAAACAAUACUUUCGCCUUUAACAUGGCUCUUGAUAUUAUAUAACAUGAGAAUCUUGAACCACAGUCAAUUAAAAAUUGUCAAAAUAGAAAUGAUUGACCAAAAUGGAAAGAAUUCAUAUAAGCGGAGUUAAAUUCUUAAGAGAAACAAAAAGUGUUUAGACCUAUAGUUUGAGCACCUGAAAAUGCAAUCCCUAUAGGAUACAAAUAGGUUUUUGCACGAAAAUAAUGAAAUUACAAUAUACAAAGCUCGAAUCGUAACUCAAGGUUUCUCACAAAGACCAAGUUACGAGGAAAUAUAUUUUUCCGUAAUGAACACUAUCACUUUUAUAUUCUUAAUUAGUUUGACUGUGUCAUAAAAGUUUGAUAUACGUCUUAUAGAUAUAGUAACUACUUAGUUGUACGAUUCACUUGAUAGUGACAUAUAAUGAAAGUCCCCAAAGGACUUUAAGGUGACAGGAACAAACGAUAUAUGCCCCAAAACCAUGUCCUCAAUUAAAUUACAAAGAUCAUCAUAUCGAUUGAAACAAUUCGGAUGCAUGUGGCAUAAUCGCUUUAGCGAAUAUUUGUUAAAAGAGGGUUAUUUUAUAAAGAAAACAAUUAUUGAAUUUACAAUUGUGGCAAUAUAUGUUAAUGAUUUAAAUUUAAUUGAAACUUCUGAAGAGCUAAACAAAACUGUAUAUUAUUUGAAAAAUGAAUUUGAGAUGAAAGAUCUGGGAAAAACUAAAUUCUAACUCGAGAUACAAAUUGAACAUUUUUCAGUAAGAUUAUUUGUUUAUAAAUCUAUUUAUACAAAAAAGUCUUAAAGUGAUUUUAUAUGGAUAAUGCACAUUUAUUAACGUCAUCUAUGAUUGUUCGAUCACUUGAUGUGAAAGAAAAUCCAUUUCGUCCACUUGAGAAUGAAGAAAAUAUUUUUGAUCCUGAAGUAUCAUAUCUUAGUGCAAUUGGAGCAUUAACUUAUCUUGCGAAUUAUAAUAGAUCUAACUUAUCUUUUUCUGUCUUCUUGCAAGAUAUAAUUCUACACCAACUCACAGACGUUGGAAUAGUGUUGAACAUUUUUUUAUAAUCUAAAGGGCACUAUUGAUUUGUGAUUAUUUUAUUAUCAAAAGUCGAAAUUUGAUUUAAUGGAAUAUGCAGAUGCAGGUUAUCUCUUUGACCGAAAUAAAGCUAAUUUACAAAUAGAAUAUGUGUUUACACAUGGAAGAACAAUUAUCAUGGAAAUCUGUGAAACAAUUCUUGAUAGCAGCAUUGUCAAAUCAUUUUGAAAUUAAUGCAAUACAUGAAGCAUGACGAGAAUGUAUAUAAUUGAGGAGCAUGACCCAUCAUAUUCAAGCAUCAUGUGGAUUAACUUCAACUAAAGAUAGUCCAAUAAUUUUAUAUGAAAAUAAUGCAGUUUGUAUUGCACAACUCAAAAGAUGUUAUAUUAAAUGUGACAGGACAAAGCAUAUUUUCUUUAAAAAAAAUAAAAAUCUAAUACUUGAGUUUCAAAAAAAUGGCGACAUCAAUAUUCAACAAAUUCGCUCAAGUGACAAUAUAGUCGAUUUAUUCACAAAAGCACUGUUGACAUCUACAUUCAAGAAAUUAGUUCACAAGAUUGUAAUGUGUUGACUGAAAGAUUUUCAGUGAUCAACAUGAGAGGGAGUAGUUAUACUCUUUUUCCUUUACAUAGACUUUAUCCCACUGGGUUUUCCUAACAAUGUUUUAAUGAGAUAGCAUUUAUUUUUAAUACUCCAAAGUAACUGUACUAGUUUUCCUUCGUUUGAUUUUUUUCCAUUGAUUUUUUGUCAAACGAGAUUUUAACAAAACAUAUAUUUUGUAAUUUGUCAUUCAAAGAGGAGUAUUGGUAAAUUUAUUAUUGAAUGACAAUUGUACCCCUACAUUCCUAAAAAUUAUUACCGUUGUAUCACUGAUUCUUAAGUAUAAAUAUAGGGUUUUUGUUCUUAAUAAAACACACAAAAAUUUAUUGACUUUCAUUCUCUUUUUUUAUCUCUCUCUCUCUCUCUUUUCAUAACAUAAAGACCAUUUUGUACCUUUUUAAAUUGGUCAAAUUUUAAUCAAUGUGUGAUUUAUGGUUCAAUUAACGAGUUUGUUUCUACCGAAUCGAGAUCUCGCACUAGAUAUAAAUUUAAAAGUUUGAGACUUUAGAGACAUAAAUUUUGGAUCUUUUGAGACCUUAAAAUUGUCCUCCUUAAAUUAAGUGGGUACAUUCCUUACAAGCCUUUAAUGGCCAGUUUGGACGACAAUGGACAACGACCACUCUUUUAAAGGAAAACAUUCAGUUAGGGUAACCAAUAUAAAAUUCAAGUAUGAAUACAAUAAAGACGAAAAGUGCAAAAAAGUCGAUAGAAUUUAGGUUCCUUUCCAAAACUAUUUUAGUUCAUAUUAUUUAAAAAAUGAUCCUUUAGUAAAAAGUUAUAAAAAGUAGCUAUAUGUCAAAUUGUGUGGAAAUUUUCUCCAAUUUCCUAUUUGGAGAAUGAGUACACGUGGAACUUUUUGUUUCGACUUUCAUUUUGAUGAACAACAUCUUGAGUUGAGAGUCUUGAUAGUGAAUGAUGUUCUUGUGUUACUAGAACUACGGAUUUAGAUAUUCUUUAAGCGAUUAAACUCCCAAUAUCUCGAUGCAUAUCAAAAAUAAAGAACUUAUUGUUUUGUACGAGGAAAAAACAUUAAUUUUCCAUCGUAUCUGGUGGUGUUUUUGUGUUUUGAUCUUAAAAUUCUGUAACAUUAUUGUGAUUAGAUAUUCUCAAUUGCCACAAAUGCUACACUAGCCUCGUUAUGUAGUAUCUAAGCAAUCACUACUAGAUGGAAUUGAACAAUAGUAUGAAUAAAAUUUAACCUUUUUUUCUUAUUUAACGAAAUCUGUCUAAUCACAUCGAAUACUAUCCACCAAACAUGCACUUAAAAAGAGCUAAGUUGGAACUUGAAUCUCUUACAAAAUAGAGUGAAGAUACAAGUUUUCAAGCAUAAAUAAGCAAGUGAUUCGUCGGUUGUGGCAAUUCUGAUUAAUUUUUUUAUGCUUUCACUAUUAAAUACGUAAAAAGAAAUGUACAUUGACAGAGACUUCCAAAGCCAUUUCUGCUGCUUGCACAAGAAAAUGUCAAGUGGUGACCUACAAACAUCCCUGCGUCAUCAGAAUUCCGAAACAUGAAAUAAACUGGAAAACCUGAACAAAAAUCGAAAAAUAUAUUAUCAUUUACAAAGAAAGAAGACAAUUAUCAAUCAAAUUCAGAGGGCCUCCAUGAGUUUUAUAUAUGUUUGAUCAUUGAAGAUUAUCUUGGUCCGGAUAACUCAUCUGGUAGGACAUUGGAAGUCGAGACAGGAUUUGCCCAGCCAGUAUUCGGGUGGUAGAUGGGAUUUAACUCUUGUCGUAAAAUUUCUUCCUUCUGCCACUCAUCCCACUUCUCAGCCAAGCCAUCGCCUUCAAGCAUCCUGACAACAUCCGACAUCUUGGGACGCUCCGUAGGAUAACUUUGUGUGCAAAGCAAAGCCAUUUGAAUUAGCUGCUCCACCUCUUCCUCAAUAUAAUUGCCCUGGAGGUCUGCAUCGACUAAAGUUUCCAACUUUUUCUGCUUCAGAAGUUCCUUGACCUGAAAUCAAAGUCCAAAGUAGAUGAAAUAAUAAGUCCAAUGGGGAAAGCAUGCAAAAACACAAGUGCACAUUUUGUUUGGCAGUAUUAAACAAGAUUCAACGAUAUUAUGAAUAAUAUUUAAGCGUCUUUUCUUCCUUGAUAAUGUCCAAUCCUGUAUAGGCCAUAAAGGACUAGGGAUGGAUUUNNNNNNNNNNNNNNNNNNNNNNNNNNNNNNNNNNNNNNNNNNNNNNNNNNNNNNNNNNNNNNNNNNNNNNNNNNNNNNNNNNNNNNNNNNNNNNNNNNNNNNNNNNNNNNNNNNNNNNNNNNNNNNNNNNNNNNNNNNNNNNNNNNNNNNNNNNNNNNNNNNNNNNNNNNNNNNNNNNNNNNNNNNNNNNNNNNNNNNNNNNNNNNNNNNNNNNNNNNNNNNNNNNNNNNNNNNNNNNNNNNNNNNNNNNNNNNNNNNNNNNNNNNNNNNNNNNNNNNNNNNUAUUUCGGGUCAUGCCAUGUUAUAUUUUGCGUCAUUGAUUCGUAUUAGACCAACUACAUAUUAUCAAUAUUUACCUUUGCAACGAACAUUUGGUUUAAAAACUUGAUAUUUCUCACAUAUGAUUUUUUUAUUGUGCUGUCCAAGUCCCAUUUCACCUCACAACGUACUAAAAUGAGUCAUCAAUGAAAACUUGAGAUUAUGUGGGAUUUAAUACAUUAUCUAUUAUUAAGUAUCUUGAAUCUUUAAUGGGUAAUUUAUUUAUUGCACAUUUUGUAGAUUGUAACUUUUCCAACUUUGGGAGGGGAAAAACAACAUCCUAUAAAACAAAAUGAAAUUUAUUGGAAUGAAACAACUUUGUCUUACUUUGAUCUCCGCAUCAAUCAUUGUAAGCAAGAGGUUAAAAAAAAUUGUUCAUUUGCAAAGAGUUGUAAAUCAAUUACUUGAUAUAUUUGUUAACAUAAGAAAAGUGACAAAAUCAUAUAUUCUAGUAGAAAAUAUUAUAGCAAAAAUUAAUGUCCCUGAAUGACAAUCUGCUGUAGCAAAUGAAUCUCAAAUAUGCCAGAAGAGUGAUCGACAUAUUGGUUCAAAAUACUCUGUACCUUGAAAGAGAAUAGUACAAGAAAAAAUUCGACCAAAAAUUUCGGAAGAAGUAAUGUUAGAAAAAAUUGAUCAAACAAAUAUUGAAAAUGUGAACCCUGAAGAAUCACAAGUGUUCAAAAAUAAUGAGACUUCAAUAAAUUAUAUGUUAUUUCAUAAAUUAUGGGAACGAUAUAAUUUUGUUAUAAACAAUACUUUCGCCUUUAACAUGGCUCUUGAUAUUAUAUAACAUGAGAAUCUUGAACCACAGUCAAUUAAAAAUUGUCAAAAUAGAAAUGAUUGACCAAAAUGGAAAGAAUUCAUAUAAGCGGAGUUAAAUUCUUAAGAGAAACAAAAAGUGUUUAGACCUCUAGUUUGAGCACCUGAAAAUGCAAUCCCUAUAGGAUACAAAUAGUUUUUUGUACGAAAAUAAUGAAAUUACAAUAUACAAAGCUCGAAUCGUAACUCAAGGUUUCUCACAAAGACCAAGUUACGAGGAAAUAUAUUUUUCCGUAAUGAACACUAUCACUUUUAUAUUCUUAAUUAGUUUGACUGUAUCAUAAAAGUUUGAUAUACGUCUUCUAGAUAUAGUAACUACUUAGUUGUACGAUUCACUUGAUAGUGACAUAUAAUGAAAGUCCCCAAAGGACUUUAAGGUGACAGGAACAAACGAUAUAUGCCCCAAAACCAUGUCCUCAAUUAAAUUACAAAGAUCAUCAUAUAGAUUGAAACAAUUCGGAUGCAUGUGGCAUAAUCGCUUUAGCGAAUAUUUGUUAAAAGAGGGUUAUUUUAUAAAGAAAACAAUUAUUGAAUUUACAAUUGUGGCAAUAUAUGUUAAUGACUUAAAUUUAAUUGAAACUUCUGAAGAGCUAAACAAAACUGUAUAUUAUUUGAAAAAUGAAUUUGAGAUGAAAGAUCUGGGAAAAACUAAAUUCUAACUCGAGAUACAAAUUGAACAUUUUUCAGUAAGAUUAUUUGUUUAUAAAUCUAUUUAUACAAAAAAGUCUUAAAGUGAUUUUAUAUGGAUAAUGCACAUUUAUUAACGUCAUCUAUGAUUGUUCGAUCACUUGAUGUGAAAGAAAAUCCAUUUCGUCCACUUGAGAAUGAAGAAAAUAUUUUUGAUCCUGAAGUAUCAUAUCUUAGUGCAAUUGGAGCAUUAACUUAUCUUGCGAAUUAUAAUAGAUCUAACUUAUCUUUUUCUGUCUUCUUGCAAGAUAUAAUUCUACACCAACUCACAGACGUUGGAAUAGUGUUGAACAUUUUUUUAUAAUCUAAAGGGCACUAUUGAUUUGUGAUUAUUUUAUUAUCAAAAGUCGAAAUCUGAUUUGAUGGAAUAUGCAGAUGCAGGUUAUCUCUUUGACCGAAAUAAAGCUAAUUUACAAAUAGAAUAUGUGUUUACACAUGGAAGAACAAUUAUCAUGGAAAUCAGUGAAACAAUUCUUGAUAGCAGCAUUGUCAAAUCAUUUUGAAAUUAAUGCAAUACAUGAAGCAUGACGAGAAUGUAUAUAAUUGAGGAGCAUGACCCAUCAUAUUCAAGCAUCACGUGGAUUAACUUCAACUAAAGAUAGUCCAAUAAUUUUAUAUGAAAAUAAUGCAGUUUGUAUUGCACAACUCAAAAGAUGUUAUAUUAAAUGUGACAGGACAAAGCAUAUUUUCUUUAAAAAAAAUAAAAAUCUAAUACUUGAGUUUCAAAAAAAUGGCGACAUCAAUAUUCAACAAAUUCGCUCAAGUGACAAUAUAGUCGAUUUAUUCACAAAAGCACUGUUGACAUCGACAUUCAAGAAAUUAGUUCACAAGAUUGUAAUGUGUUGACUGAAAGAUUUUCAGUGAUCAACAUGAGAGGGAGUAGUUAUACUCUUUUUCCUUUACAUAGACUUUAUCCCAUUGGGUUUUCCUAACAAUGUUUUAAUGAGAUAGCAUUUGUUUUUAAUACUCCAAAGUAACUGUACUAGUUUUCCUUCGUUUGAUUUUUUUCCAUUGAUUUUUUGUCAAACGAGAUUUUAACAAAACAUAUAUUUUGUAAUUUGUCAUUCAAAGAGGAGUGUUGGUAAAUUUAUUAUUGAAUGACAAUUGUACCCUUACAUUCCUAAAAAUUAUUACCGUUGUAUCACUGAUUCUUAAGUAUAAAUAUAGGGUUUUUGUUCUUAAUAAAACACACAAAAAUUUAUUGACUUUCAUUCUCUCUCUCUCUCUCUCUCUCUCUCUUUUCAUAACAUAAAGACCAUUUUGUACCUUUUUAAAUUGGUCAAAUUUUAAUCAAUGUGUGAUUUAUGGUUCAAUUAACGAGUUUGUUUCUACCGAAUCGAGAUCUCGCACUAGAUAUAAAUUUAAAAGUUUGAGACUUUAGAGACAUAAAUUUUGGAUCUUUUGAGACCUUAAAAUUGUCCUCCUUAAAUUAAGUAGGUACAUUCCUUACAAGCCUUUAAUGGCCAGUUUGGACGACAAUGGACAACGACCACUCUUUUAAAGGAAAACAUUCAGUUAGGGUAACCAAUAUAAAAUUCAAGUAUGAAUACAAUAAAGACGAAAAAUGCAAAAAAGUCGAUGGAAUUUAGGUUCCUUUCCAAAACUAUUUUAGUUCAUAUAAUUUAAAAAAUGAUCCUUUAGUAAAAAGUUAUAAAAAGUAGCUAUAUGUCAAAUUGUGGGGAAAUUUUCUCCAAUUUCCUAAUUGGAGAAUGAGUAGACGUGGAACUUUUUGUUUCGACUUUCAUUUUGAUGAACAACAUCUUGAGUUGAGCGUCUUGAUAAUGAAUGAUGUUCUUAUGUUACUAGAAUUGCGGAUUCAGAUAUUCUUUAAGCGAUUAAACUCCCAAUAUCUCGAUGCAUAUCAAAAAUAAAGAGCUUAUUGUUUUGUACGAGGAAAAAACAUUAAUUUUCCAUCGUAUCUGGUGGUGUUUUUGUGUUUUGAUCUUAUAAUUCUAUAACAUUAUUGUGAUUAGAUAUUCUCAAUUGCCACAAAUGCUACACUAGCCUCGUUAUGUAGUAUCUAAGCAAUCACUACUAGGUGGAAUUGAACUAUAGUAUAAAUAAAAUUUAACCUUUUUUUUCUUAUUUAACGAAGUCUGUCUAAUCACAUCGAAUACUAUCCACCAAACAUGCACUUAAAAAGAGCAAAGUUGGGACUUGAAUCUCCUACAAAAUAGAGGGAAAAUAUAAGUUUUCAAGAAUAAAAAAGCAAGUGAUUCGUCGGUUGUGGCAAUUCUGAUUAUUUUUUUUAUGCUUUCACUAUUCAAUACGUAAAAAGAAAUGUACAUUGACAGAGACUUCCAAAGCCAUUUCUGCUGCUUGCACAAGAAAAUGUCAAGUGGUGACCUACAAACAUCCCUGCGUCAUCAGAAUUCCGAAACAUGAAAUAAACUGGAACCUGAACAAAAAUCGAAAAAUAUAUUAUCAUUUACAAAGAAGACAAUUAUCAAUCAAAUUCAGAGGGCCUCCAUGAGUUUUAUAUAUGUUUGAUCAUUGAAGAUUAUCUUGGUCCGGAUAACUCAUCUGGUAGGACAUUGGAAGUCGAGACAGGAUUUGCCCAGCCAGUAUUCGGGUGGUAGAUGGGAUUUAACUCUUGUCGUAAAAUUUCUUCCUUCUGCCACUCAUCCCACUUCUCAGCCAAGCCAUCGCCUUCAAGCAUCCUGACAACAUCCGACAUCUUGGGACGCUCCGUAGGAUAACUUUGUGUGCAAAGCAAAGCCAUUUGAAUUAGCUGCUCCACCUCUUCCUCAAUAUAAUUGCCCUGGAGGUCUGCAUCGACUAAAGUUUCCAACUUUUUCUGCUUCAGAAGUUCCUUGACCUGAAAUCAAAGUCCAAAGUAAAUGAAAUAAUAAGUCCAAUAGGGAAAGCAUGCAAAAACACAAGUGCACAUUUUGUUUGGCAGUAUUAAACAAGAUUCAACAAUAUUAUGAAUAAUAUUUAAGCGUCUUUUCUUCCUUGAUAAUGUCCAAUCCUGUAUAGGCCAUAAAGGACUAGGGAUGGAUUUUAGGUACGCAAUAAUGGAGCAAUGUAAUUUUUAUCAUCUAUAUCAAGGUUCGAAGUUAAAGACUACACAAGAAUCUCUUAUUAUCUAAUUGAAGGAUGUGCAAAAGGGGAAAAUGAUAGUGCUCACCCAAUCCAGUAACAUCACAUCAUCGUCAUUAGCAAGACGAGCCAGAUCGAAAGCUCUCUGCCCAGUAAUGAGCUCAAGAAGCAUGACUCCAUAUCCAAAAACAUCAGUUUUCUCGGAAGAUUUACCGGUGGAGAGGUACUCGGGAGCUAUAUGACCAAUUGUGCCACGUACAGCCGUGGUAACAUGAGUAUCCUUGUAGUCCAUGAGUUUGGCCAGCCCAAAGUCACCAACAACUGCUUCAAAGUCUUCAUCCAACAAUAUGUUUGCAGCUUUGACAUCACGGUGAAUAAUCUUAGGAUCACAAUGAUCAUGCAAGUAAG
rnacentral:lncRNA from 1 species